rnacentral:lncRNA from 1 species
UUAGCUCUAGUGGACCACCAAGCUGCUCUAACUGACCAAGCUCUCUCACAGUACUGCAACAGGAGCCAGUACCUGCUACAAAACAUGUAAGCGUCUGUAGGGAAGUGAGGUGUCCCAACUCAGAGGGUAUGCUCUUCAACUCAUCACAUCCAUGAAUAUACAGGUGACGGAGGCCAGUCAUAUACUUCAUUUCCUUUGGGAGUCGACUAAGUUUGCGGCACUUUGAAAGGUCCAGUGUUUGCAGAUUAUAUAAGAUGCUUAUUUCUUCAGGAAGUGCUUCAAUAUCACUAGAAGAGAGAUCAAGGUACCUCAGGUGAUGCAGAUACUUUGGUUUCAAGAAUGAACCUCGGCGGAUCUUUAGUGCACGUAUGGAUCUGUAUUUUGACAAAUGUUUCAGAUCUUGAUAUAAAUAUCUAGUGCAAAUCAGUGUUUGGACAGCUAUAGAUCCUUUUUCCAUAGAAGUAUUCAAAAUCUCUUCUGGUUUAUCAACAGAUAUAAAUAAAUGCCGAGCAGAAUAUGGGAAGUUGUUAUCACUCUGACUAGGCUCUGCUACUAUGGUAGCACAUUCGGCUCCCAUAGAAGACUGUGCAACAUCAUGCAUAAGAUCAUGGAUCUUACAAGUAACCUUUGUGUGAUGGAAUUCAAAAGGGACUCCCUUCACAUCCUGAAAAAAUGAUCUCGAGGCUAGAUCCAUGAAAAUAUGUUUACCAGUUAUUUCAAAAUGAACUCCAUGUUCCUCUGGAAUAAAACCAUUGGCCAUCCAUAGUUGGAUUAGCUUUUCCACAUCUAUCUCAUAGUCCUUGGGGAAAAUAGCACAGAAAGCAAAGCAUUGCCUCAUGUGCGAUGGCAACCCAUUGUAGCUGAGCUUGAGUAUCGGUAAAAUUUUAGACUCAUCAUCGCAAAUGGUGCUUUUGCUUAAUACAGCAUUCCAUUCUUUGGCAGUGGUCUUUGUAUGAAGCAGCGAGCCCAUUGCUGUUGCAGCUAAAGGAGAUCCAGCACAUCUUUUUGCUAUAUCACCAACCAUUUCAACUAACUUAGUGUCACGUUUGUUUGUUGAACUGAAUGCUCUUGUCUCAAUAAUUUCCUUGAUGAAACUUUCUUCUAAUCCUUUGAGAAUAUAUAGUUCAUUAGUUGUGCCCAUUAAUUUAGCAACUUCUUGAUCACGAGUUGUAGUCAGCACUAUGCUGCCGCUGCCACCAUGCACUAGGCAGGAUUUUAGCUUUCCCCACUUAUUGGCAUCACGACUCCAUACAUCAUCCAAGACGAGGAGGUACCUCUUCCCGCUCACUACUUCUUUAAGUUUAUCCAAUGGUGAUUUUCCACUUGGAUUGCUGGUGUUCUUCUCUUUAGCUUCUUCAACUAUGCUUUUAGCUACUAAAUCAACUACAAAGUUAUCAGAGACACAUACCCAGAGCUGCAACUGAAAAUGCUUCUUAACUUCAGGGUCAUUGUACACAAGCUGAGCUAAGGUGGUCUUGGCCAGCCCCCCCAUUCCAACGAUGGGAAUGACCAUAAGCUGCAGAUUGCUCGCUUGGUCACCAAUCAAUUUGUAAACAACCUCCUUCUUCUCUUUGUCUCUGGAGUUGCUAGCAAUUUUCUGGGGGUCAAUGAUGUUUGAAUCUGUCUGUCUCCAGUCCUUAGACAUUGGUGGCUGUGGUCUGAAUUUGAACCUGAAGGCAUGCAUCUCUGUGAUGAGGACCUCCAGUGCUGCAAGAAUCUGACAGAGCUUGUUGCCCAUCCUGUAAGGGAACACAACACGAUUGUGAGUAGGAAAGAGGUUUAUUACAUCAAACCCAAGCUUCUUGUAGUGUCCCUUCUUCUUGGCUUCGCGGCGGAGUGCCUCAUACUUGAACUCAUCCAGGACAUCAUUGGCCUGGUAAGCCACCUUCCGGAGCGCCUCAAGCCAAGCUUUUGGCCCUUCCCUGUGGGCUGCAGCCUGCUCCUCGGCGUCAGCGAUCACAUCCAGGAUGGCAGGCAGCUUGCGUUUGAGGGUCUCAUGCUGCUCCUCUAUGCCCUCCAUCACCUUGUAUUGGUCCAGGAGGUAGCUGGAGGCCUUGUCCUUCACCAUGGAAACGAGUGGCCCGACCACCAUGGUGGCCAUAACCUCAGCCAUCGGAGCGCUUAGAACACACAACACACGCGAAGGCAGGGUGCACGCAGAGAGAAGCGUGGUUCCAGGAUGAAGAUGAAGAUGGGUUCAGCAACUGAUUUUGAGGAAAAUGGGAAGUGAUAAUUAAUGUGAGCUCUGACCUUGCUUGACAACUAGUAUCACGUUCACAGCUGGACAGAUGACAUGCAGAUCGGAGCACAUAGAUUAACCAACGCAUGUGAGAGCAUGUGCGUUUUGCACUACAAAACAUCCACUUGCAUCUUGAUUCUCGGUGCCCAGCGGUUGACAAGGGAGCGCAAGAUUAGUUUAAUCACAAAUCAUCUAUUAUUAUUACUAGGGAAUAGUGCUCCUAUAGUGAUAUGACUUGUCAGUUCACACAGCCAAAAGUAGCACAGCUAAUCCCGUCGGCACAGCAUCUUGCAGCGCUUGGCUUCUAAAUCACGAUUGAAAGUAUUGUUUCUCAUAGAUUUAACAGAUAAGGUCAAAGUGAAUAUCUCCAUGAGUACUUCUUUUCAGUUUUCAAUUUCCUUUCCUUUCAAGGAACUUUUGAUUUUUCACACUUAUCUUCAAUAAAAGGAAAUGAACCAAAUUCAUAGGCAUAAGAUAAGAAUGCAUGUGCGUCAUCUGUUGGGCUGUCAGCCAGCCAUGAGUAAAAGAGGAGAGAAUAAAGCUUUUUCCUAAGAAAAAAAUGCCGCACAGUGCGGAUGUGCGCAAUGUUCCAGUCUUGGAGCGCCACUAGGGACGCGAAAGCUGAGGCCGCCGCCAGUACACGUCCACGCCUCCAUCCGCAGCAGCAGUCGUUGAUCCUUUCCUUUGCCUGUUGCCUCCGUGCGCCAACUGCGCGGACAGUCCGCGCUUCCGUGCGAAGCCGUAGCAACCGGUCCUCGCAUCCGUGCGCAACCACCGCCGCCGCCGGUCUCCUCACGACUUCGCCUUCGGGCGCAGCCGUAGUUGUAGGUCAGCCGCACCAGCCGCCGCCGCCAUUGCUUCGUCAGGGAGUGAAGGAGAGGGCGAGAGUGGUGAGCACUGGAGCUUUCGAUGGGCUAGUGGGCCACGCGUGGUGGAGCUGUGGAUGGACCUAGGCUGGUAAAUUGAAGUACUUUUAGCGGUUAUAGUAGUUGUGGCCUUGUGGGUUAAAUGCAGGCCCAUCAAAACGUAGCGGCAAAAGUCAAUUACUUUAGCAGAACUUGUUCCGAGCAGCUAUUUUUGGCUGCAGCCAGUGACUGAAACUUGAGGAAAAUAUACUAAUGCAUCCCUAAAUAUGUAUCUAACUCGCUUAAUUUUACCAUUUUUCAAAAAUAACGUAAUGGUACACCCUAAAUCUUAAUCUGGAUUAUCCACUUAUACCAUUCUAAAAAGAAUACUAAAUUAUUUUUUUAAAGUUUGGUCCUAGAUUACCACAUUUGUGAUUAUUAAAAAAACUGAAGUAACCUACACCUAAAUCGGCCGCUUCAGCCAUGUUAAAAAAAUAUCUCAAAGUACUCAUAUGUAUUGAUCUAAAUAUACCAUCAUUAAUAUAGAAAAAUGAAUUCAAGGUAUACAUAUAUGUCACCAUAUAUUGAUUAUAUAUAUACAUAUAUGCGGGGCUAGGAAAGUGAUGAGCAGAUCAAUUUCCAUGGUAAACACAUAGUCCCGACUAUUGUUCUAACUAAAUACAUGGUUCUAAAAAGAAAACUAAAUACAUGUAGACAUACAAUGCAAGAGGAAAUAUUCAUAACUAUAGUCUAUCAUGACUAAAAGAUAAAGGCCACAUGUGGCGCUAUAGGGGAAGACCAUACCAUCACGGCCAUCAUCUUUGCCUUCCUCACUAGCAUGGAUGUCGAGGCCACAGAGCUGCACUUGCACUCACAGUCACAUCACGCUCACAAAUGUCAUGCCUCUUACUGGUAGGUCCAGACGAGCAGGGGGAAGAGACGACCCCACCCGUUCCCUUGCUGGGAGAGCUCACUACUCACAGAUGAGCUCAUCCCCUGUUCGCCGGCGAGAACAGAGCCUGGUGGUACACAGCAUCGACACGUUUGGAACAAUGAGGUACUAAACAGAAAUAACAGUAAAGAGAUGCCAUGUUACUACUUACUUGGCAUAGCACACCUAGUGCAAGAUUGACCUAGGCCUUGUUUAGUUCACCCAACAAUCAAAAAACAUUUCAAAAUUUCCCGUCACAUCGAAUCUUGCAUCACAUUCAUGGAGCAUUAAAUAUAGAUGAAAACAAAAACUAAUUGCACAGUUUGCUUGUAAAUCGCGAGAAGAAUCUUUUAAGCCUAGUUACUCUAUGAUUGGACAAUAUUUGUCAAAUAAAAACAAAAGUGCUAUAGUGUCAAAAUCCAAAAACUUUUUGGAUCUAAACAAGACCCUAGUGCAAACAUUGCAGCCCCAUCCACUUGAGUCACCCCUCGAUUAGUGAUUACCACAACCAGUCCAAACUAGAGCAAAAAUGAAACAGUGAAUAUAUCAAAUAAUACGAAUGACUAAUAUGUUGUUGCUGUUGGAUUUAUUAUGGGCUAGACCCAUUUAGAUUUAAUAAAUCAAUAAACUCUAUGGUGUGUAAUUAUGGACAAUAUAUAUUGUACCAAAUUGGAAGUCCAAGAGUUGAAGUGGUAGUCAGGCUGACAGUAUGGGAGUUUCGACUCAAUUAUGUGUGAGUUUCAACUCACAAUCUACGGGUGUUUCGAUAGAUAACUGAGGGAGUUUCAACUCCGUGUGAAAACCCUUUAGAUGUCUGUCUCCUUAGCCGCUAACAGGGAGUCCCUUCCCCUCCUCUCCUCUCCAGCCACAAAGAUAAAUAGGAGACUCUCAUCUCAUUGGUAUAAAAAAGGAGAACACUCAGAACACAGUUUCAUUGCAAAGAAGGAAUCCCCAUUUCGUAACUCCGCACGCACGGAGGAGCGAGAGGGCAGGUGCCUCCGGAGCCCUUGCCAUUCGAGACCUUACACGGGGGAUCAGCAAUUUGGUUUUUGGGGAGCGUUUACACGACUGCCCAACUCCAUUGUUGUUGUUCAUCUUCUUCUCGGAGGUCUUUUGGUGUUGCCGGUCGCCGCCUUCUCCUUCCCGGUGAUUGGUUCGUCGUCUUUGCCUUCGUCUCUACUCCAUGGCGAUCGAGGAAGGACAAGGUUCUGGAAAUCUGAAUGCGGGAGUCCUAGGGUAUGAUCAGUUCAUCUCCCUUCAGUUUUAUGUCGCUCUGUUUUUGUUUUAGUAGCUCUGUCAUGCAGGUUCAGUAGUUGUGUCAUAUCUGUUUCAGUAGGUCUGUUUUGUUGUUUCGCAAGAUAUUUGUUGUCUAUUCUUGCUAUGUUUAAGUUCUGCAUAUAUGCCUCUGUUCUACAGUUUUGUUGUUUCGCUAGUAUCUGCUUUUCUUUUCUGUUUCAGUACAUCUGUUUAUCUAUUUUGAUAGUUAUAUCAUGUUUGGUGUUGUUACAGAUAGUUAUAUACCAUGCCAUGCUUUGAUGUUUGAUAUGCUUUAUGGAUCAUGUUUACAUGUUGUAAUUAUGAUUCAUAUCAUGUUAAUAUUUAUCAAUAAUAUCAUAUAUGUCAUCAUCAUAUUGUUAAUUUAUGGAAUUAAAAUGACAUGGAAAUUGCCUAAUAUUCUAACAAUCCAAAAACCUAAUUAUAGGCACUUUUCUGUCAAAGAUUCUGCUGCCGUGUUGAAACCUGAUCCUUUUGAUGAUAAAAACUUCUUGAUCUGAAAAGCUAAGGUGGAAUUAUGGCUAACUGCUAUUUCAUAUUAUCAUGCCGUUGAGGGCAAGCCUGCUAACUUGUCUCCUGAGGAUGAGGCUAAGUUUAAGGCUGAUGACAACCUCUUUCGACGUGUAGUGAUUAGCGCACUUAAUCCAAAAUUCCAGAAAAGCUACAUAAUUCUUUGAAGCGGGAAAGAAUUAUGGGAUACUCUUGUGGGAAAGUUUGGAGUUACUGAUGCUGGUAGCGAGCUGUACCUCAUGGAGCAACUAUAUGACUACAAGAUAGUUGAGAACCAAUCUGUAGUGGAACAGGCUCAUGAGAUUCAGGCACUAGCUAAGGAGCUCGAACUAUUUCCUUGUCCUCUUCCUGACAAGUUUGUGGCUGGCGGUAUAAUCGCCAAGCUUCCACCUUCUUGGAAGGACUUUGGCACAUCUCUAAAACAUAAGAGACAAGAGUUCAAUAUUGAGGAGCUCAUUGGUACUCUUGAUGUUGAAGAGAGGGCUAGAGCUAAGGACAAUGAAAAAGGUGUUGAGACCUCGACUGCCAAUGUGGUGCAGAAGAGGAACUUCCACAAGUUCAACAAGAAGAAAAACCGAAAAAAGAAAGAGAAAGUUCCUAAGCCAAUUCAGACCGCACAGUUCAAGAAAAAGAACAAUAACAAGAAGGGAGGCUGCUUUGUGUGUAGCAGUGAGGAUCACUGGCAAGUGAGUGCCCUGAUUGUAUGUUUCAGCAAGAAAAGAAGUCAGCAAAUGUUGUUACUACUAAUACAUCUGGUGGAACAUCUAGGUAUGGUAAUUCCUUACUAUUUGUUCUUUCAGUUUGUAAUUCACCUAAGUGGUGGAUGGACAGUGGUGCCAAUAUUCAUGUGUGUGCUGAUGUUUCUUUGUUUUCUUCAUACCAGGUCAGGAGGUUUGGCGCCCCGUUGAUGGGAAAUGGGUUGCAUGCGCAUGUUCUUGGUGUUGGUACGGUCAUUCUAAAUUUUACUUCGGGGAAGAUGGUGCCAUUGAACAACGUGCAACAUGUGCCCUCAAUAAAGAAGAAUCUUGUUAGCGCUUCAUUAUUAUGUCGUGAUGGAUAUUGCGUAGUUCUUGAGUCUAAUAAAUGUGUCGUGUCAAAACAUGGUUCUUUUGUUGGCAAAGGAUAUGAUUGCGGAGGUCUGUUCUGUUUAUCUCUACAUAAUAUGUGUAAUAAACUGGUGAAUUCUAUUGACAUUUCUGAUGAGACGGAUUUAUGGCAUUCACGGUUUUGUCACACAAGUUAUGGCUGUCUUAUGCGGUUAGCAAAUCUAAAUUUAAUUCCUAAGUUUAACUUGGUCAAAAAGUCUAAGUGCCAUGUAUGUGUUGAAUCAAAACAACCCCACAAGCCUCGUAAGGCUGCUGAGGCAAGGAACUUGGCACCUCUAGAACUUAGUCAUUCCGAUUUGUGCGAAAUGAAUGGUAUUUGACUAAAGGCGGUAAAAGAUACUUUAUCAAAUUUAUAGAUGACUCCACUAGAAUUUGCUAUGUGUAUCUCUUAAAAACAAAGGAUUAAGCACUCCAUUAUUUUAAGGCCUAUAAAACUAAAGUUGAGAACCAACUAGAGAGGAAAAUAAAACAUUUAAGGUGUGAUAGAGGUGGAGAAUAUUUCUCAAAUGAUUUCGAUGAAUUUUGUGUGGAACACAACAUUAUUCAUGAGAGGACAUUACCAUUCUGACGACAAUCCAAUGAGAUUGUUGAAACGAAAAACCGCACUUUAACAGAGUUGAUGAAUGCCAUGUUAAAUACAACGGGAUUAUCCAAGGAAUGGUGGGGUGAGGCAAUUUUGACCACGUGUUAUGUCCUAAAUAGAGUUCUCACUAAAAACAAAGAGAUCACUCCAUUCGAGGAAUGGGAAAAGAAGAGAAUAAAUCUUUCAUAUUUACGCACCUGGGGUUGUUUGGCAAAGGUGAAUGUGUCAAUCAACAAGAAGCGUAAAUUAGGACCUAAAAUUGUUGAUUGUGUUUUCCUUGGUUAUGCUUUCCACAGCGUUGGAUAUAGGUUCUUAAUUAUAAAAUCAGAUGUGCCUGAUAUGUAUGUUGAUACUAUCAUGGAAUUGAGAGACGCUACAUUUUUUGAGAAUGAGUUUCCCAUGAAAAAUACACCUAGUAAAACAAGUCAUGAGACUAUAAUACCCCAUGCGCAAGAAUUGUCUAUUCUUAUAGAUCAUGUAGAAGAUUCUCAUGAGCACAUCCCUGAGGUGGUUGACACUAUAGCCACUCAAAAGAGCAAGAGACCUAGGGCAAAAUCCUUUGGUGAUGAAUUUAUAGUGUAUCUUGUGGAAGACAUGCCAACCACUAUUGUUGAGGCAUAUUCCUCUCCUGAUACCGACUUAUGGAAGGAGGCAGUAAGGAGUGAGAUGGAAUAUAUUAUGUCCAAUAGAACAUGGGAGGUCGUUGACCGUCCCUAUGGCUGUCAACCUAUAGGCUGCAAAUGGAUCUUCAAGAAAAAGCUUAGGCCUAAUGGUACAAUUGAGAGGUACAAGGUAAGGCUGGUGGCCAAAGGAUAUACCCAGAAAGAGGGGGAAGAUUUCUUUGACACCUAUUCACCGGUCGCUCGAUUGACUAUAAUUUGCACUUUGAUUGCCGUGGCAGCUUCAUACAGUCUUAUCAUUAAUCAGAUGGAUGUUAAGACAUAUUUCCUUAAUGGAGACUUAGAUGAGGAGAUCUAUAUGGAUCAGCCAGAAGGGUUCAUUGCGGAUGGUCAAGAAAGCAAGGUGUGUAGGCUAUUAAAGUCAUUAUAUGGCCUAAAGCAAGCACCUAAACAAUGGUAUGAAAAGUUUGAUAGUACACUUAUAACUACAGGCUUUGUUGUGAAUGAAGCUGACACUUAUGUGUAUUAUCGGUAUGGUGGGGGUGAGGCUAUUAUGCUAUGCCUUUAUGUUGAUGACAUUUUGAUCUUCGGAUCUAAUCUCAAUGUGAUUGAGAAAGUAAAGAAACUCCUAUCGAGUAAUUUGAAAUGAAAGAUUUUGGAGAAGCUGGUGUCAUUCUUAACAUCAAGCUUAAACGAGAAGGUGAUGGUGGGGUAACUCUGUUACAAUCCCAUUAUGUGGAAAAGGUAUUAAGUCGCUUUCGAUUUAGUAACUGUGAUCUGGCGGGCGCAGGAUUUGAGGGCUGGUUAUUCAAAAAAAGCUAGACAAGUAGUAAAUGGCUUCAAAUUUUUUUGACAACCAAAUGGCUCAUAUUCGACAUGUAUAAUGCCAUAUAUGAUAUAUACUAUAUAUAGUUCAUGGUACCGAUGGAGUUUGAGAAUAUUUUUACGUAAUUCACCUUUGCACGAGUGUGACAAGAGGCAAUAUUUUUUUUGUUUUUCUUGUGUACACUAAUACACAUAUGUAUAAAUACUAUAUAUAUAAAUUUUUUGCCAAAAUUUUUGGGUAUUCAACUGAAUACCAAUGAACACAAUUGUGCCCGCCUCUGCCUUCUCCCACGCCUUAUGACCCUAGUGUGCUAUUGAGGAAAAAUUGAAGAAUAGCAAGGGAUCAAUUAACAUACUCCUAGAUCAUUGGCUCGCUUAUGUACCUUGUGAGUGCAACGAUACCUGAUAUUUCAUAUGCUAUGAGCAAGCUGAGUCGGUUUGUGUCAAAACUGGGCAUUGAUCACUGGUGUGCUCUUGAGAGAGUGUUGCGCUACCUGAAAGGGACUAUGUCCUACGGUAUUCACUAUACCGGAAACCCUAAAGUGUUGGAAGGCUAUUGUGAUGCCAACUGGAUCUCUAAUGCUGAUGAGCUUUAUGCCAUGAGCGAAUAUGUGUUCCUGCUUGGAGGUGGGGCUAUUUCCUAGAAGUCUUGCAAGUAGACUAUCUUAACGAAGUCUACAAUGGAAGCAGAACUCACAACAUUAGACACUAUUGGGGCUGAGGCCGAGUGGCUACGUGAUUUCCUGUUGUAUUUACCGGUAGUUCAAAAACCGAUAUUGGCUAUAUCCAUGAACUAUGACAACCAAACUGUGAUUACUAAAGUCAACAGUUCCAGGAAUAACAUGAAGUCUACAAGGCAUGUUAAGAUACGAUUAAAAUCUGUCAGAAAGUUGAAAACCUCUAGAGUUAUAACGGUGGACUAUGUCCAUACGUUGAAUAAUCUGGCAGAUCAAUUCACUAAGGGACUAUCACGUAAUGUGAUAGAAAGUGCAUCGAGAGAGAUGGGUAUGAGACCCACAAGUUAAUCUACUGUAGUGAUAACCUGCUCUAUAUGAUUGGAGAUCCUGUGAAGUAGAGUGGUGAACCAAGCUAUGAGUAGAUUGAGAGGAAAGUUCCCUUUUGAACCUAUCUCUGAUGUACAACUUUCCUUCUGUAAGGUAGGUUGGUAUUUACCUUAAUGUAUUCCAAGAGUCUUAUACAGAUGAGAUGUUGGCCUACAGAACAUCUUUUGAGGAGUACAGCUGAGUCAGACUGCUAGUCACACUCUAUGAGACUUGGGUAAUAUCUAAAUACUCAUGAAAGGCACUGAAGUGUGACUUAUAUGCUUCAAACAGCGGGGAUGCCUUGUGCAGCCAAGUAUCAGCAAAGGGCUUAAGUGGAUCUCAUCUCGCACAAAACUAUCAAUUCAAGGCUUAGUCCAUUGUUCAGUUGUGAGUGGGUGAAACUGUUGUUCUAGGUGGAUGUUCAACUUAAUAGUCUCCAUCAAAAUACUGGUAUAUCAAAGAACUGUAGUUCUGAUGCUUCAUCAUUACAAACCCUAGAGUUUGGUGGGGAUUGUUGGAUUUAUUAUGGGCUAGACCCAUUUAGAUUUAAUAAAUCAAUAAACUCUAUAGUGUGUAAUUAUGGACAAUAUAUAUUGUACCAAAUUGGAAGUCCAAGAGUUGGAGUGGUAGUCAGGCUGACUGUACGGGAGUUUCAACUCAAUUAUGUGAGAGUUUCAACUCACUAUUUGUGGGUGUUUCGAUAGAUAACUGAGAGACUUUCAACUCUGCGUGAAAACCCUUCAGAUGCCCGUCUCCUCAGCCGCCAACAGGGAGUCUCUUCCCCUCCUCUCUUCUCUAGCCACAAGGAUAAAUAGGAGACUCUCAUCUCUUUGGUACAAAAAGGAGAGAACACUCAGAACACAGUUUUGUUGCAAAGAAGGAAUCCCCAUCUUGUAACUCCGCGCACACAGAGGAGCGAGAGGGUAGCUGCCUCCGGAGCCCUUGCUAUUCGAGACCUUGCACGGGGGAUCGGCAAUUAGGUUUUUGGGGAGCCUCUACGUGACUGCCUAACUCCAUUGUUGUUGUUCAUCUUCUUCUCGGAGGUCUCUUGGUGUUGCCGGUCGUCGUCUUGUCCUUCCCGGUGAUUGGUUCGUCGUCUUCGCCUUCUUCUGUACUCCAUGGCGAUCGAGGAAGGACAAGGUUCUAGAAAUAUGAAUGUGGGAGUCUCAGGGUAUGAUCUGUUUGUCUUCCCUCAGUUUUACGUCGCUCUGUUUUUGUUUGUUUUAGUAGCUCUGUCGUGCAGGUUCAGAAAUUGUGUCAUAUCUAUUUCAGUAGGACUGUUUUGUUGUUGCGCAAGAUAUCUAUUGUCUGUUCCUGCUAUGUUUAAGUUCUGUGUAUAUGACUCUGUUCUACAGUUUUGUUGUUUCACUAGUAUCUGCUUUUCUGUUUCAGUACAUCUGUUUAUAUAUUUCAAUACUUAUAUCAUGUUUGGUGCUGUUACAAAUAGUUAUAUACCAUGCCAUGCUUUGAUGUUUGAUAUGCUUUAUGGAUCAUGUUUACAUGGUAUAAUUAUGAUUGAUGUCAUGUCUAUAUUUAUCAAUAAUAUCAUAUAUGUCAUCAUCAUAUUUUUAAUUUAUGGAAUUAAAAUGACAUGGAAAUUGCCUAAUAUUCUAAUAGUUGCUACACUAGGAGACCUAGUUGGGCAAACAUGUCGUUUCUUGGAGACAUCUAGCUCCACGUCCACCAUCUCCGGCUGACCCCCGGAUCAUCCAUUCAUGUUAGGUCUACUUGGUAGUUCAUUGUGUGUCUCAUCAUAUGUGGGGCAAGGAGUUUAACUUAACUGAGGUGUUGGGUAUUCUUAACAUCAUUACCAAAAGUAGAUUUAGUUUUCUAAAUCUAAUAACGGUGCCAAAAAUGCCAAACCUAUCCCUCAUACCACUUAAGCCAAGUUGUCAUUGUUGACGGUCCUUAAGUAUCAAAUUUAAUUAACAAAUAAACAAAGAAAAGGAUCCAAAUGAAAUCAACAUCUAGACUUAGGGUUUUAUCUGACAGAAUUCCACGAGUUUUGGUGUUUGUCUAUUUCUGCAGGGGGUUAUUAGGAAAUACGAAAGAAAGGCCCACAUGUCUGGAUUACAUAGAGAUAUCAACGCACCGCGUAAUUUUCUUCCAUCUAGAAGACUCCAGAAGCCACGAGAUCGAAGCGGAGGCGAAACGGGGCCAGGACCUGGGCGCCCGCCCAGUUUCCUUGGGCGCCCGCCCAGUUUCCUUGGGCGCCCAAUCAGGACUCUUUCUCUCGGGAGAUCUCCACCGACCUAUUGGAUCUAGAAUAACGUAGUACCACAUCGCCUACCGACCCAAAAACGCAUAGAAGGGGAGGACUAUAUAAGGAGACCCCCCUGGCCCCUGGAGAAGACAUGAAGAAAUUAUCAUAGAGAUUGAGGGGUGCCCUCGAAGGAAAACCUCUUCUCUAAUAAUAUUUCUUUUUAGGCUUAGCAACCAAUGUAAAGUAGAAAUAGAUCUUCUAGUUUCUACUAGAUUGAGAGAGAUAGAGUGGAGGUGUAGAUCGGAGGAAGGCCAGCCUAUCGGUGUCUACUCCGAGUUGUACCUGCGGGAUCAAGUCUCCUAACCCGAGGCUUGCUUCUAAGAUUCUUCAGUAAUUUGACUUCUAAUUCUAGUAAGUUCUUGUUUUAUUGUUCUUUGGUUUAUGAGUUUACUUUAAUCCUCUUCCGGUUGAGUAUUAGAGUAAUCACUUGCUAGCGUAAACGUGGUGUUUAGGCUAGGGUACUCAUAGAUAUCCCCUGACUAGCUGGACCGUGGUAGUAGCGAGGAACGUGACAUUUCCGAGUUACCUUUGCAGAUCACAUCUCGUUAGCAAGACGGGUAGGUUUAUAGGUGCGGGUCGAACAUCCUUUGUGUUGUCUAGAUUCCGUGAGCCUCCCCAAUAGAAUAGUAGAUCAUCCUUACCCAGGGUUAGAACGAGACUACGGUUGCAGUCUUCUCUAUAUAUCACUCACAUCGAGAAACAUUCUUUGUAGCCUAAAGGGGUAAUAGCAAUAGAUUUGGUUAGUCAGAUGCACCCUUUCUCCCAGUGGUAAAAAUAUAAAUACGAUACUCUAGAAAACCUCCCGGGUGAAAUGCUCACCGAUAUCCGUGCGCUUGCAGAUCAUUUUCUAUUUGCGUUACCAAAUAUCAACAAGCAUUUCUGGCGCCGUUGCCGGGGAGAAAGACGGUUUGCUGAGAUAACUUUGAAUCUUGCUAUUAUCUUGUAUUAUACUUUUAUACUUUUAUUAUUUUAUCUUUUUAUUUUUAUCUUUAUGGAUAACUCAAAUUCCAUACCUAUUAUUGAAUUAUUUGCACCUUCGGAGACUAGCCAUAGACCAUGGGAGUGAACACGUCCUGCCCCUAAUUAUGAUCUGUGUCCGGAGUUGAUUGCAAUAGGUCAAAACCAACCCUUUUCUAUAGCUGAGGUCCUAUCUUUUAAUCAAGAAGAUAAUGCACUUUUAGCUACACCUAGGGAAUCUAUUAAUCUUUCUAUAAAUUCUGGUUUAGACCUAGCCCUACAAGACCAUGUUUUUUCUUGAUAUUUUCAUAUUGGUCUUAAUCAUAUAACCAUUGGUAGAGUCUUUCUUUCUUUAUCUAUUAGUAAAGGAAGGUAUGUCUUCAUUUGUGGACAUCCUUCUUGUACUAGUCUUCAUAGAAAAAUCUUAGAGAUAGAGAAGGAAUCAUCUCCCAUACAAGGAGAGGAAGUUUCAAUAGCUGAUUUCCAAACAUUUCAAUCCCAUGAUUCGGCUAUCCAUCCCAUCCUUAAGCUUAAUAAAUUCUACUAUGCUCUUUCUCUUGAACCUCCCGAUGAUCCUAUGAAUCUCUCUAGACAGCCCAUGCAUAAAAGUUACCAAGACCAUAAGGAGGAUCGAGAAGAGCAACAUCAAUGGCUAGAGGGCAUUAAAAAUCCAUGUGCUAUCACCAUUGAAUGGAUAGAUAAAACAAACUUGAAAGACAAUCCUAGAGGAAUUUUAAGCAUUCAUGAAGAAUCAUCCUUGGAGUUUGAGAAUGAGAGAAACAACAGUGAGCAUGGAAGUUAUUUCAUAAAUACCUUACCAAGUCCUUGCUCAUAUAAAACAUCUCUCCAAUCAAUUAGUCUCUCCAUCCUUACCACAUUUGAGAUCUCCAACCCCCUCUUCCUUUCUUUUUAUAAAAACUUUAAAAGGGCGGUUGUUGAUGCAUAUGUCUAUAAUAAAUAUUGCAGAUCUCGUUGAGUUGAUCUUGAUAUAGGUAGGUGUUGGGGGGGAAACCACUUCACCAACAUAACUUGAUGGUUUCCCAAGGAUAAGCUUAGCGUCCUUAAACAAGCACUUAUCAGAUCGUAACAUGAAAUUAUUUGCAACAUUGCCUUGUGUAUUGAGCAUAUUGAGAUAAUUGUAGAAAUAUUCCUUCGGGUAUUCUUGCCACUAACCUUUCCAGGAUUGGAGCAAGAAGAUCGGAUGAAUGACAAGGUAUGUCCAACCAACCGUCAUACAACGUUGAAUUAAAUUCAUCCAAUCUUGAAUUUUGCAAAAUUCAAGCUUAGGGGAGUACUUUACAUAAAAACAUCCUUUGCCAAGUUGCUAUGUUGGUUGUCCUUACCUUUGAGACAUGCUCAAUUUGUUAAAUACUAAUCACACUACCUCAUCUCCACUUAAGUAGAUCUCUAUAAGCCAUCAUGCUACCUUUGUUUAUCCUAGUAAGCGUUAGUUUGGAAGUACUGCACAUACUUCUAUUGGCUUUUAAAUUAAGCAUGGUGCUUAGGUUAAAUAGCCUUCCUUAAUCUUAUUAGACAUGGAGUCUAGUUCGGUUAUUGAACUAAAAACUGCUUGUGUAGACAUUGGUCUAUUUUGUUGGACUAACCCCUGCAGGAAAACUUUCAAUAUCAACCUGGGAAGUCCUGAGAUAAACUCACAUUGAAGAUGAAGAAAGUGACACAUGAAGUUUAACAAUUUGCACAAGAAAGACAUAGCUCAUUCAUCAUAAAGAGAUGAUCCAUGGAGGGUGCCACAAACACGAUCCACAACCGCUAAGAAAAGGAAAGCUCCCACAAGGUGAUAUUGUACCGUCACUCUUCAAGUAAGGUAACAUCUUAAGGUACUUGACUAUCACUUUUAUAAGCCUCUCCUUGGUUCUGGCGUUCACAUAAAAUAAAGAGACAAACAUGUAUGAUCUGUAACUCCAAAUUAACCAACUCAAUUAAUUCAACAUGUUUAGUCCUUUAAUAUUUGUUCGUAGUACUACCUUUGUGAUCCCACACUCCUAAUCAUAUAAGCUAAAAUGUUGCACAUUCAAUCUUUGGAAGAUAUAAACAAAACAUAAAUAUAGAUAGAUUAUCUUUCCAUUAGGUUGAGCCAUCGGAUCUAACAAAUGUUUUAAAUGCUACACUCAUGAUCCAUCAACUUUUUCUUGCUAUGCUUAAGGUUAGAGAAGAACAAAUACACUUUUGGUUCUGUUGGUGUUUUCCACCAAUAGGGCCCAUGCACUUGAUCUCUGCCUUGUCUCUAUGAGCAGGACACAUUUUGAGAAACGUGAAGGCGUCUUACAACUCCCAGAUUCCAUCAAGUGAAGAACCGGGAUCUACGAGCACAAACACAAUGGAGAUCAGACACUUAGUUUCCCAAAGGAAAUAUUGAAGAACCUCUGUGUCCGAGUUAGUACCUUGUACACUCCAGCAAACUUCAUGGUGAUAGAGACUGGUACUGAGGAGAGGGCACCCAUCAUCUUAGGGAGGCCAUUCCUAAACACCAGAGCUGUCAUCUACGCUAAUGUUGCCAAGAUCAGUUUCUACAUCAAGGGGGAAAAGGAGACUUUCCUUCAAGAACAAGACUACACAAACUUCAGAGCGAUCCCGACAUGAACCAAGGAAGAGGACCAACAGGAGGAAAGCAAAAGUGGACCGAGUCAGCUAAGAUGGUCACUGCAGCUCAAGGAGGUCAAGAUCGUCGACUCAAGUCGCCUUUCCUAAUCAAGAAGGACGACCCUGGUGUUCCAAUCAUUGAGUGCACAAUCAAUAGAUACUCUUUUCAGAAGACACUCUACGACACCGGAUCUGAUGCCAACAUAAUGGCCGUAGUCACUAAUCAGCUCCUGCAUGAAACCAUGCCCCUACAACCAAGAUACAUUCAGCUCCAGAUGAUUUUCAGGUCAUUGACAUGGGAGAUGACGAAUAUGAUCCACCCACCAUCCUUGGAAGACCGUUCCACAACACUAUCAAAGCCAUCAUCUAUAUUGGAAUCGGAGAAGUCCACAUACACUUCUCCUCUGAGAAGGUAUGCCGCUGUUUUACUGACCCUAACUAUAUAGUUGAAAACUCUAAGGAGGUCAGGACAACACGAAGACAACGCAACCGCAACCAGAGGAGGCAAAUCAUCUAGGACGAAUGGGUAGACUACGAAGGAGAAGUGACAAGGUCUGAAGACAUACAGCUUUAACAGAACUGUCCUGAGGAGACCGUAGCACCGAGUCAGGUGUGGAAAGAGAAGAUAGUUAUACACGAAGAGGAGGCGCCGCCGGACUCACCGACUACGCCAUCCAGCAAAUCCCAGGACGACUGAGAAAACGGAGAGUCCCGUUUGGAGGACUUAAAAACACCGAACGCCUUGCCAAGAGGUAAACUUGGUAGUUAUCCUUUUCUCUUCAAUUAUUUUGUUUAGUUAAUCAGGUUCAUAUCAUCUCGAAAAGAAAAUAAAAAUGUUAAAAAACAGUAAGCCCCAUGUGAGUAUACGAGUGGCAUAAAACCCAUAAGUAUAUUCACUGUGGUGGCGUAAAAAUAAAAUAAAUAUAUUCCUGUCCUAUAAAUAUAAAAAUAUAAAAAUAAAUUUACAAUCCUACUAAAGAGAGUAACAUUUAUUGAGGAGGCUCAACAUGAUAAAGGCUAGAUAUCUACGCUAACACUUAACCAGUUCCACAAAGCUUUGUUGUCUAUUUGAGCUCUACAGAAUUCAAGGAUCAAAGAAGACUAGCAGACGGAGGACAUCCUAAUCGCUGUCGGGGUGCUGUCGACUUUCAAAUACACCUCCAUCACCUGCUAGCUACAUCAGAAGAAAUUACGUCAAAAUUCAGCUUGGGGGAGAGCACCACCAUUUAUCUCGCUAAGUAUUUCUAUCUAUCUUUAUACUUAUAUUAUGUUAGAAUAUUAAAAUACAUAAACUAUGAAAAACCCAAAUAAAGAUUUUGUGCUUUUAUAUAUAUAUCUUUGCUUAGUUUGCUAAAUAAAUAAAUAAAUAAAAUUUGCUAUGAACCCUCAUGAUAAGCUCUCUCAUGGAAAUGAUGAAUAGUUGCUCUGCCAUGACUAGUUUUUAAAAUUGAAAUCUCUCUCAAGUUUAGGCAUAACUGUUAUGAAUUAAGAUUUGCUCUAAACCUGAACUUGUGGGAAGAGUACUUGAUCUAAAGUCUAAGUUGUUAACGGAUAUGAUAUGGGAAGGUUGAGCUGCUGUUUAUCUGUUCCUAGAGAUGCUAGAAUUCUGGAGAAUUUUAUCUUUGAAAAUCUUUAAAAUAACACAUGAUGAGUUCCUGUAUGAUGAGAGUUUAAAUUCCUACCACAGCCAUAUAUACAUGCUUACUAGACUUUGAGCCACAUAUUUACUUUUCACUGCUUAUGAGCAUUGAGUGUGGUCAAGCUGUGUAGACCCUUAGGAGCUUGUCAUGUGGUUAAAAUCAAGAUUCACUUGCACGUUCACUCAUACAUGCUACUUCUACUCCGGAAGUAACAUCCACAUAUAUCCACUCACUUCCAUCUCCAGAGCCACCCAAAAUUAUUCUACUCCUAAUCCGGGAGAGAAUAGCCAAAAAUAUUUUCCUAUCCCUGUUAUUCCCUGUGAAAUAAAUGCUCGAGUUAUCUUGGUUACUACCACUUGCUAUAUUAUUUAAGGAGAUGAGUGCUCUAAAAAAAGAGGAAAAAUACGAGAAAAUAAAAAGGGGCAAGUGCCCGGAACCUCGAAGAAAAUAAAAAGUGAGACGAGAGGUAAAAAUGGACAAGUGUCGGACAGUAGAAUUAGGGGUACAAGAUACCCACCUGAGAGGAAAGAAAAAAAGAAAAUAUAGAGCAUCUCAUUCUCCCCAAAAAGCUUCAAAGUGCAAGAAAGGUAUGUAUCCCCUCAAAAGAGCAAAAGUAGAAUUAGACUUUCACCAUUGUUUUCAUCAUUGUUAUUACCAUCAUCACCAUACACCAUUCACUCGCCACACAUGCACAUCUUGAUUUGACUUAUUGACUUGUUCUUCUGGAUCCAUGGUUUGACUAUGCAAUAAAUGUCUUAUAAGUAUGUAUUAGCUGUCUCCCACCUAUGAGCUCCAGAUAUCAGAACCUUAUUAGAGUAGGGUGAGAGAGAAGGCAAUAUCACUAUGCCUCAUACCAAAAAUAUCACAUACUUUGAGAGAAGGCAUAUACCAUUACUGCCUUGGUAAAGAUCCAGAAAUACCACAAAAGAGAGAUCUGAGAGAGUCAUAUAAGGGAUCUCUGAGUUUUAUUUGAAAAUCUACAAAAACUCCAGAGCUAUAUCUGAUCAAGAAUAAGAGACAUGGCGCUUGACUUGACCGUUCUAUCUUUUAACUGCUCAAGACACAAGUAACGGUUACAAGCCCCAUGGUGAAAGGUAAAAUGAGUAAGUUUUAAGUCUUAACAGUUUAUUCUAACUCAGAGAUGAGAUCUUGCUUGAAUGCGUGUGUACUUUUAAGGCAUGAAACCACUGCAGAAACUCUUGAGUCCAUCCUUGCUCAGGGACGAGCAAGAGGUAAGCUUGGGGGAGUUUGUUGACGGUCCUUAAGUAUCAAAUUUAAUUAUCAAAUAAACAAAGAAAAGGAUCCAAAUGAAAUCAACAUCUAGACUUAGGGUUUUAUCUGACAGAAUUCCACGAGUUUUGGUGUUUGUCUAUUUCUGCAGAGGGUUAUCAGGAAAUACGAAAGAAAGGCCCACAUGUCAGGAUUACAUAGAGAUAUCAACGCACCGCGCAAUUUUCUACCAUCUAGAAGACUCCAGAAGCCAUGAGAUCGAAGCAGAGGCAAAACGGGGCCAGGACCUGGGCGCCCGCCCACCUGCCGAGCCCAAUCAGGACUCUUUCUCUCGGGAGAUCUCCACCGACCUAUUGGAUCCAGAAUAACGUAGUACCACAUCGCCUACCAACCCAAAAACGCAUAGAAGGGGAGGACUAUAUAAGGAGACCCCCUGGCCCCUGGAGAAGACAUGAAGAAAUUAUCAUAGAGAUUGAGGGGUGCCCUCGAAGGAAAACCUCUUCUCUAAUAAUAUUUCUUUUUAGGCUUAGCAACCAAUGUAAAGUAGAAAUAGAUCUUCUAGUUUCUACUAGAUUGAGAGAGAUAGAGUGGAGGUGUAGAUCGGAGGAAGGCCGACCUGUCGGUGUCUACUCCGAGUUGUACCUGCGGGAUCAAGUCUCCUAACCCGAGGCUUGCUUCUAAGAUUCUUCAGUAAUUUGACUUCUAAUUCUAGUAAGUUCUUGUUUUAUUGUUCUUUGGUUUAUUAGUUUACUUUAAUCCUCUUCCGGUUGAGUAUUAGAGUAAUCACUUGCUAGCGUAAACGUGGUGUUUAGGCUAGGGUACUCAUAGAUAUCCCCUGACUAGCUGGACCGUGGUAGUAGCGAGGAACGUGACAUUUCCAAGUUACCUUUGCAGAUCUCAUCUCGUUAGCAGGACGGGUAGGUUUAUAGGUGCGGGUCAAACAUCCUUUGUGUUGUCUAGAUUCCGUGAGCCUCCCCAAUAGAACAGUAGAUCAUCCUUACCCAGGGUUAGAACGAGACUACGGUUGCAGUCUUCUCUAUAUAUCACUCACAUCGAGAAACAUUCUUUGUAGCCUAAUGGGGUAAUAGCAAUAGAUUUGGUUAGUCAGAUGCACCCUUUCUCCCAGUGGUAAAAAUAUAAAUACGAUACUCUGGAAAACCUCCCGGGUGAAAUGCUCACCGAUAUCCGUGCGCUUGCGGAUCAUUUUCUAUUUGCGUUACCAAAUAUCAACAGUCAUCCCCAGCAUGACAUGAGAGACGCGGUAUUGAAAUAUGCAAUUGCUCUUCUAAAUAAUGAAUGGGAUCUGCAAGCGCACAGAUUAAUACCGAUGUAGCAUUUUAACCGGGAAGUAUUCCAGGUAUCGUUAUUUAUAUUUUUACCACUGGGAAGGGAUUAACAAUCAUCAAUAUUGAUUACAGAAUGGAAUAUGAGAUUGAGUAUCUAUCAUUGCAUGUAUAAUUGAGAACAUUUAUCUAAUUCUUUCAUACAGGGAUAAGUGUCACAUAAAAGAUAUAUGAAAUAAUGAAUAGUGACAAAGAUAAUUAAUCUGAUCAGCAUAACUUAGCCACAUAAUAAAUAUGAUAAGCACCUCAAUUAGAUAUUCUAGAAAGUCAUUAGCAUGGAAUUAGAACGAACUACAAGAAUAUUUCCUAAGUUAUUCUCAACUAUAUAGUCUAGCAUUAUCAUAGUUAGUGCAAGCAUACUUAGCAAUCAUUGUGAGACAAGACUAUGCCCAUGCAUAGUGAUAUUAGCAAGGUAAACGAGAAACAUAGCAAUCACUCCCCUGUAAUAAUGUUGCUCUGCCUGCCCAAUACAUGAGAGGGGGACUAUAUAAGAAUCAAUGAAGCUGUCACUAUCACGAACUACCCCACGAUCUGGCAUAUUGGGUACAAUCGCAGAUAAAUACGGUAUAAGCACCACGCCUACACAAUAUCUUUCAUUUACCCAUGGAUCUGAUGGAUAAACGCUAUACGAUCCUAAGCAUGUAUAUAAAUCCAAUCUAACUAAGCCAAGUAUAUAACCAUGAUAAACUAAGAACAAUAUAAUCUUGAAUAUAAACAAGUAGAGCAAAGUCAUAAGCAAUAUAUUGAAGUAGAACAAAGUCAUAUUCAUAAUAUUGAAGAACAAAGAUAAUUAGAAGAACACUUAGAAGCACAAUUAGAGAAUUACCAAGAAUCCUCUUGACAGAUCCGGAAACCAAUCGAAGAUUGACUCCUUCUAGUUCUAAUCCUAUGUAGCUAUGCUAAUCUAGAUAUCUAAUUGAUGUGGUGGCUCUAAUCUUGAUCAGAGGCUUCUUCUCCCUUGAGAAUAAUGAAUUAGGGUUGAGAGGCUCUCUCCUCCAGGGGCUAGGGGGUCUGGUUUUAUAGUCCCUUCAAGUGAAUGUGGGCCGUUGGAUCAAACCGACAUUGAUUGAACGGUUAUCCUUGAUCCUUUAGGUCGGUGGAGAUUAGUCCCGAAAGAGAGUCCUGUUUGGACUCCAGGAGGGGUGGGCGCCCAGGUCAACUAGGCGGGCGCCCAGUGCCUGGCCCCGUUCGGCCUCCGCUUCCUUCCCAUGGCUUCUGGAGUCUUCUAGAUGUAAGAUAAUUGCGCGGCACGUUGAUAUCUCUAUGUAAUCCCGACGUGUGGGCCUUUCUUCCGUAUUUCCUGAUAACCCCCUACAGAAAUAGACAAACACCAAAACUCGUGGAAUUCUGUCAGAUAAAACCCUAAGUCUGGAUGUUGAUUUCAUUUGGAUCCUUUUCUUUGUUUAUUUGAUAAUUAAAUUUCAUACUUAAGGACCAUCAACAUGAGGCUCACAUAACUGAUGAAGGCAUCCUUAGUGCCUCCGUGAUAUCGCAAUUUACAUGGGUUGUCGCAAGCGGCACAAGCUCCUUUGGGUACAACCACACACACCAGUUUGUAGGCCUCGAUGCCUCCACAUCCUAUUUUGCAAUGUUGAAGUCAUAGAAGUUGAACUCAAGCGAAUUACAGGGUUCGUCAUCGUUGUUAUGACGACGAGGAGGUUGUCGUCCUUAUCGCAUAUGGUGAGCUCGUCAAUGUUGGCCUUUGAAAGAGCAUCUACCCUAAUGAUUUCGGUGAUUAAUGACAAUGUUGAUUACUGUGACUAACGUGUGUUUUGCAGAGGCAAAGUCAUUAGUAAGGUCAUGGUAAUAGGUACUCGAUGAACAGGGACGUACAUGCCUACUUAAUAGUGGAAAUCGUUUUGGUUUUCAAAGGAUGGAUGGACAUCGUCAAGACUAGACUAGGUCUAGGUGCCAUAUGAUGAAGAAGGGCACUUAGAGUUGUUUAGGACUUUGUUUUCCUUUGACCGUACUAUUAAGAGGGGCUUUGAUCAAGUAGCUUGACUUAGGCAAGGCUUUAGGUUUAGGUGUGGUGCACACUUGGUAACCUAGCACUAGGCAGCUCAGAGAUAGUCCUUGGAUCGAGAGGAACCAACUUCGUUUUGGAACGGUCGCGUUUCGACGAAGUUAGGGUGCCUAAGUAGGCACUGGACGCUGCAUCGGACGCUCUGUGAGUGCGUCCGGUGAGGUCCUUUAGCCGUUGGAGUGUUUGGUGCUUAGGGUUAGGCACCGGACGCUAUCACCGGACUCACCGGGCAGCGUCCGGUCUCAUACCCAGGGAGUAUGUAAACUUGCCCUAAGCACCGGACGCUAGCACCGGACGCACCGAGUAGCAUCCGGUCUUAAACUCAGGGAGUUUGUAAAACUCCUUGGAGCACCGGACGGUGCCACCGGACGCUAGGAAGUAGCGUUCGGUGACCUGUCAAACACAGGUACAGUUAGCCGUUGGGUGUCACCGGAUGCUCGGUGCAGAGCGUCCGGUGCAACAUCAACAGCGUCCGGUGACCCCGUUUUCAGUGGAAAAUAGUUGGCCGACCCUUGAACUUCAUGGGGUGUAUUUAUACUCCUCCACCUCAUCCAUGAGAGGUCUCUUGCCCAUUUGAACAUCUGAGAAACUUGUUGUGGAGCAAGAGAGUAGCAAUAGCCUAGAGAGGAUUGAGUUUUGAGAGAUUUCUUGUGAGAAUCCUUCUCUAGUUGAAUUCCAAGAGUCAAGUGUGCAUCCACCACUCUCUAGUGCCUUGUUUGGGUCAAGUGAGAGUUCUUUGCUUGUUACUCUUGGUGAUCGCUAUCACCUAGACGGUUCGGUGGUGAUUGGAGGCACGAAGACCGCCCAGAGUUUUUGUGGGUGGCUCGUGUCAAGCUUGUGAGCAGUUUUGGGCGAUUCACUGAGACGGAGUGUCGAUGAAUCAGCCCGUAGAGAGCACUUGGUCCUUGCACGGACCAAGGGGGAGCAAGACCCUUGCGCGGGUGCUCCAACGAGGACUAGUGGAGAGUGGUGACUCUCCGAUACCUCGGCAAAACAUCGCCGAACACUUUCUUCCACUACUCCUUUACUUUCUAGCAUUUACUUUGUGUUUUUACAUUCCUAGAAUUGCCAUGCUAGAAUAGGAUUGGAACUAGGUUGCAAAUCUUUUUAUCCGGUAGCUCUCUAGUCACACUAGGCACAAGGGGUUGAAUUGGAGCUUAUAGGUUGCUUAAAUUUUUAGAGAAGCCCAAUUCACGCCCCCUCUUGGGCAUCUUGAUCCUUUCAAUUAGUAUCCGAGCAUAGUGCUCAUUAUUUAGGCUUCACCGCCUAGAGAAAGAUGUCUAACGGGGAUGGACCGCCACCCAUGUUCGAUGGGGAUGACUUCCCGUAUUGGAAAAUACGGAUGGUGUCAUACCUUGAGGCAUGUGACUCAAAGUGCCUAAAAGCCGCGACCGAAGGGUUUACCCCUCCGGCAAAAGACACCGUUGUUACUCCACAAGAACAAGAAAACGAAAAGUGGAAUGCAAAGGCCAAAAACCAUAUCUUUAGAGGUCUUUGCAAAGAGGUGUUCAACCGCGUUCGGAACCACAAAACCGCCCAUGCUCUAUGGAAGGAACUUUGUGCGCUCCAUGAGGGAUCAAAGAGUGAACAUGAGGAACGCUAUCACCUUGUGAUGAACAAGCUUAAUACAUUUGAGAUGCUUCCUAGAGAAAAUGCUAAUGAAAUGUAUUCUCGCUUGAAUGUCAUUGUAGAGGAGAUAAAUGGACUUGGGCUCACUCAAAUGAGUGCGGUGGAUGUUGCAAGAAAGAUACUAUGUGUGCUUCCCAUUGAGAAAUAUGGGCACAUAGUAACCGUGCUUCAUCAAGGCGAUCUCUCCACCGCUACACCAACGGCCAUAUUGGGGAAGAUCAAUGCUCAUGAGAUGUAUAUGCACAUGAACGAGAAGAUUGAAGUUGAAGUCAUCAACUUCAAGUGAUGAUGAUGCAUCCAAGGAGAAGAAAUACUUUGCCCUCAAAGCUUCUCACAAGGGAAAAGCCAAGAAGAUUGAAGUUGAGUCAUCAACUUCAAGUGAUGAUGAUGCAUCCAUUGCCCUCUUGGUGAGAAGAACCACCAAGAUGUUGAAGAAGCUCAACAAGAAUGGAGUCAACUUCGACUCCAAGAAGAAGAAGUUCUUCACAAGUAGCAAGAGAAAGCCCAUCUCCGAGAUGGAUUGCUACAAUUGUGGUGAUCUUGGUCAUCUUGCUCACCAAUGUCCAAAGCCCAAGAAGGACAAGUACAAGAAGAAGAACAAAGAGCAUGAUGACUCAAGUGAUGAUGAGAAGAAUGACAAGAAGCAACACAAGAAGAAAGGUGGCAAGAAGAAGGAGUACCACAAGAAGAAGAAUGGCAAGGCUUACAUUGUUGGUGAUUGCCUCACCGACAUUGAGAGCUCAAGUGGUGACUCCUAUUGAUGGUCCUUAAUGCUCAUAUUUAAUCAUCAACUAAUCAUGGAAAAGGAUCUAAAUGGAACCAACACCUAGACUUAGGGUUUUAUCUGACAGAAUUCCAUGAGUUUUGGUGUUUAUCUAUUUCUGCAGGGGGUUAUCAGGAAAUAUGGAAGAAAGGCCCACACGUCGGGUUUACAUAGAGGUAUUAACGUGCCGCGCAAUUUUCUACCAUCUAGAAGACUCCAGAAGCCACGGGAACAAACGGGAAGGUAAUCGGGCUCGGAGGCAGGGCGCCCACCCUACUCUCCUGGGCGCCCGCCCACCUACAGUGCCCAAACAGAGUCCAAUUCGGGGAUCACGCUCCACCAACCUAAAGGAUCAAGGAAAACCAUGCGAUUAAUGUCGGUUUGAUCUAACGGCCCAUAUUCACUUGAAGGGACUAUAAAACCAGACCCCCUAGCCCCUGGAGAUCAUACCUCUUCUACAGAAUCAAAGUUAGGGUUUCAAUUCUUCAUCCAAGUAGAGAGGAUCCCUCUUGUUCUUCUAGUUCUACCUCUAGUUCAUCUAGAUCUAGUUCUAGUUCAUCUAGUUCUAGUUCUAGUUCCUCUAGUUCUAGUUCUUGUUAGUUCUAGUUGUAAUCUAGAAAAUAGGGAGAGAGAAGAGGAGAGCGGAGGAGGAGGAGCCGGAUCUGUCAGAUCUUCCUCAACAUUGUACUUUUGCAGGUUUGGUUCGUUCUUCAUCGUUCUCUAGGUUCUUCAAUUCAUAAUUCCUGAGUUCUCUAAUUACUUUUAUUUACAUUCAAGUUAUUUAUUGGAUUCCCGCUUGCAUCAAGUGCUCUAAUCUUUGAAACAUUAGAGUAGUAAUUAAUAGAUUAGACGUGGUGUUUAGUCUUGCAAAUACCUGGAAUUGCACCCAAUCCUGCGGAUUGUUGUGGUAGCCUUAGGGUAGUGACAGCCCUAACGGUCGACGUAUUCCACCUCGUUCGGAUCGGUGUUUGUAGGACCGUAGUCGGAGCUUCCUAGCCCCCUUCUCAUCUCUUUCUGUGGUUAGUGUUCUGAUGUCCCGAAAUAGAUAAUCUUGAAGUAAUUCUUGAUUAUUAGAUCAACUAAAGAACUCUUAGGAAACUUCCUCUCUUCCCACCAAAAAUAAUUAUAUAGUUAUCCUUGGGCGAUCUUGGAUCUUAAUUAGUACACUCACGUUCUCUGUGGAAAAUCGAUACUCUGGAAUACUCCCGGGUGAAAGCUACAUCGGUAUCCGUGCGCUUGCGGAUUUUUCUGUUUGCGUUUAAAAUACCCAACAAGCUUUCUGGCACCGUUGCCGGGGAACGGUAGCUGUGCUAGUUUCGAACCAAGUCGUCCGUGUAUCCUUUUUCUUUUCCUUUUUUACCACACUCACCUUAUCAUUUUCACCAAACCACAUGGAUUUCACUCUAAGCAUUAAUGAGCAUGGAAUUUAUUUCAUAUCCACUUCAUUUACUCCACGCUCAUAUGCAACAUCUUCACAAUCCAUUGGUCUCUCCAACAUCACCACAUUCGAGAUCUCCAACCCCCUCUUCCUUUCUAUUCAUAAAAACUUUAAAAGGGCGGUUGUCGAUGCAUAUGUCUAUAUUAAAUAUUGCAGAUCUCGUUGAGUUGAUCUUGAUAUAGGUCAGCGUUGGAGGGGAAACCACUUCGCCGACAUAAAUUGAUGGUUUCCCAAGGACAAGCUUAGUGUCCUAAAACAAGCACUGAUCAGAUCGUAACAUGAGCUUUUAAUUAUUUGCAACACUACCUUGUGUAUUGAGCAUAUAAGGACAAUUGUAAAAAUAUCCCUUUGGGUAUUCUUGUCACUAACCUUUCUAGGAUUGGAGCAAGAAGAUCGGAUGAAUGACAAGCACAAGGUAUGUACAACCAAUCAUCAUACAACAUUGAAUUAAAUUCAUCCAAACUUGAAUUUUGCAAAAUUCAAGCUUGGGGGAGUACUUUAUAUAAAAACAUCAUUUGCCAUGUUGCUAUGUUGGUUGUCCCUACCUUUGAGACAUGCUCAAUUUGUUAAAUAGUAAUCACACUACUUCAUCUCCACUUGAGUAGAUCUCUAUAAAAGCCAUCACGCUAUGUUUGUUUAUCCUAGUAAGUGUUUGUUUGGAAUUACUGUACAUACUUCUAUUUGUUUUUAAAUUAAGCAUGGUGCUUAGGUUAAACAGCCUUCCUUAAUCUAAUUAGACAUGGAGUUUAGUUUGGUUAUUGAACUAAAAACGACUUGUGUAGACAUUGGUAUAUUUUGUUGGACUAACCCCUGCAGGAAAGCUUUCAAUAUCGACCUGGGAAGUCCUGAGAUAAACUCACAUUGGAGACAAAGAGAGACACACAUGAAGUUUAACAAUUUACACAAGGAAGGCAUAGCUCACAAGAGAUGAUCCAUGGAGGGUGCCACAAACACAAUGCACAACCGCUAAGAGAGGAAAGCUUCCACAAGGUGAUACUGUACCAUCACUCUUCAAGUAAGGUAACAUCUUAAAGUACUUGACUAUCACUUCUAUAAGCUUCUCCUUGGUUCUGGCGUUCACAUGAAUAAAAGAGACAAACAUGUAUGAUCUACAACUCUAGAUUAACCAACCCAAUCGAUUCAACAUGUUUAGUCCUUCCACCUUUGUGAUUCCACACUCCUAAUCAUAUUAGCUAAAAUGUUGCACACUCAAUCUUUGGAAGAUAUAAACAAAACAUAUAUAUAGAUAGAUUAUUUUUCUAUAAGGGGAUUAUUUUUCUAUAAGGUUGAGCAAUCUAAUGUGACAAAUGUUAAAUACUACACUCAUGAUUUUAUUAUCCAUCAACUUUGUCUUGCUCACUAUGCUUGAGGUUAGAGAAGAACAAAUACACUUUUGGUUCUGUUGGUGUUUUCCACCAAUAGGGCCCAUGCACUUGAUCUCUGCCUUGUCUCUAUGAGUAGGUACACUUCGAGCAAAAUAUGAAGGAGUUUUACAACUCCCAGACUCCACCAAGUGAAGAACCUAGAUAUAUGAGCACAAACACGCUGGAGAUACUGGACACUCAUGCAAACACUGCCCUGAGAUGCUUGAGGAUGUAACUACUGGAGUAACCCCGUUGUGGAAGUAAUUACUGACCUUCUACUGGUCAAGAGAGACAAUCUAGGACGCCCCGUCAUCCCGAUCUCCAUCGGCAUGGUGGACUUCCUAGAAGCACUCUGCGACUUUGGCUCCAGCGUCAACAUUAUACCCAGGGGAGGCCAUUCCUGAACACCUCGGGAGUUGUCAUCUACGCUAGUGCUGCCAAGAUCAGUUUCUACAUCAAGGGGAAGAAGGAGACGUUUUCCUUCAAGAAACAAGACUACACAAAUCCCAGAGCAAUCCCGACAUGAACCAAGGAAGAGGACCAACAGGAGAAACAAGAACAAGCAAAUGUGUACCGAGUCAGCUAAGAUGGUCACUGCAGCUCAAGGAGGUCAAGAUCGUCAACUCAAGUCACCUUUCUUGAUCAAGAAGGACGACCCUGGUGUUCCAAGCAUCGAGUGCACAAUCAACGGAUAUUCUUUUCAGAAGACACUCUACGACACCGGAUCUAACGUCAACAUAAUGGCCGCAGUCACUUAUCAGCUCCUGCAUGGAACCAUGUCCCUACAACCAACAUACAUUCAGCUCUAGAUGAUUUUAAGGUUAUUGACAUGGGAGAAGACGAGUACAAUCCACCCAUCACCAUUGGGAGACUGUUCCUCAGCACCGUUAAAGCAAUCAUCUACAUUGGAACCAGAGAAGUCCACAUACACUUCCCCUCUGAGAAGGUCAGGACAAGAAGAAGACGACGCAACCACAAUCAGAGAAGGCAAAUCAUCAAGGACGGAUGGGUAGACUAUGAUGGAGAAGUUGUAUGGUCUGAAGACAUAUAACUUGAACAGAACUAUCCUGAGGAGACCGUAGCAUCGAGUCAGGUGUGGAGAAAAAAGAUAGUUAUACAUGAAGAGCAGGCUCCACCGGAACCAACGACUACGCCAUCCAGCAAAUCCCAGGACGACUGAGAAAAUGGAGAGUCCCGUUCGGAGGACUUAAAAACACCGAACGCCUUGCCAAGAGGUAAACUUGGUAGUUAUCUUUUUCCUUUCAACUAUUUAAAAUAGUUUGCUUAGUUAAUUAGGUACAUAUCAUCUUGAAAAGAAAAUAAAAAUGUUAAAAAUAGUAAGCCCCAUGUGAGUAUGCUCAUGGCAUAAAACCCAUAAGUACAUCCACGGUGGUGGCGUAAAAAUGAAAUAAGUAUAUUCCUGUCCUAUAAAAAAUUAAAUUAUAAAAAUAAAUUUAUGAUCCUACUAAAGAGAGUAAUAUUUAUUGAGGAGGCUCAAUAUGAUAAAGGCUAGAUAUUUAUGCUAACACUUAACUAGUUCCACAAAGCUUUGUUGUCUAUUUGAGCUCCACAGAAUUCAAGGAUCAAAGAAGACUAGCAGACGGAGGACAUCCUAAUCGCUGUCAGGGUGCUGCUGACAUUCAAAUACACCUCCACCACUUGCUAGCUACAUUAGAAGAAACUACGUCAAAAUCCAGCUUGGGGGAGAGCACCCCCAUUUAUCCAGCUAAGUAUUCUACUCACGUUUAUACUUUACUCUAAUAAUAAAAAGAUACAUAAUCAUAGAAACCCAAAUAAAGAUUUUGUGCUUAUAUAUAUAUAUCUUUGCUUAGUUUGCUAAAUAAAUAAAUAAGUAAAGUUUGCUAUGAACCCUCAUGAUAAGCUCUCACAUGGAAAUGAUGAAUAGUUGCUCUGCCAUGACUAGUUCUCAAAAUUGAAAUCUCUCUCAAGUUUAGGAAUGACUGUUAUUAAUUAAGAUUUGCUCUAAACCUGAACUUGUGGGAAGAGUACUUGAUCUGAAGUCCAUGUCGUUAACGGAUAUGAUAUGGGAAGGUUGAGCUGCUGUUUAUCUGUUCCUAGAGAUGCUAGAAUUCUAGAGAAUUUUAUCUUUGAAAAUCUUUAAAAUGUUGCAUGAUGAGUUCCUGUAUGAUGAGAGUUUAAAUUCCUACCACAGCCAUAUAUACAUGCUUGUUAGACUAUGAACCACACAUUUACUUUUUACUGCUUAUGAGCAUUGAGUGUGGUCAAGCUGUGUAGACCCUUAGGAGCUUGUCAUGUGGUUAAAUCAAGAUUCACUUGCACGUUCAUCACACAUGCUACUUCUACUCCAGAAGUACCAUCCACAUAUAUCCAUCCAUUUCCAUCUCCAGAACCACCCAAAAAUAUUCUACUCCUAAUCCGGGAGAGAAUAGCCAAAAACAUUCUCCUAUUUAUGUUUUUCCCUGUGAAAUAAAUGCUCAAGUUAUCUUGGUUACUACCACUUGCUAUAUUAUUUCAGGAGAUGAGUGCUCUAAAAAAAGAAAGAAAAAAAAAGAAUACGAGGAAAUAAAAAGGGGCAAGUGCCCGGAACCUCGAAAGAAAAGAAAAAGUGAGACGAGAGGUAAAAAUGGACAAGUGUCCGACAGUAGAAUUAGGGGUACAAGAUACCCACCUGAGAGAAAAGAAAAAGAAAAUAUAGAGCAUCUCAUUCUCCUCAAAAAGUUUCAAAAGGGCAAGAAAGGUAUGUAUCCCCUCAAAAGAGCACAAGUAGAAUUAGACAUGCACCAUUGUUAUCACCAUCAUCACCAUACACCAUUCAUUCGCCACACAUGCACAUCUUGAUUUGACUUAUUGACUUGUUCUUCUGGAUCCAUGGUUUGACUAUGCAAUAAAUGUCUUGUAAGUAUGUAUUGGCUGUCUCCCACCUAUGAUUCUCCAGAUAUCAAAACCGUAUUAGAGUAGGGUGAGAGAGAAGGCAAUACCACUAUGCCUUAUACCACAAAUACCACAUACUUUGAGAGAAGGCAUACACCAUUACUGCCUUGGUAAGGAUCCAGAAAUACCACAAAAGGGAGACUAGACAGAGUCAUACAAGGAAUCUUUGAGUUUUAUUUGAAAAUCUGCAAAAACUCUAGAGCUAUAGUUAAUCGAAGAGCAAGAGACAUGGCGCUUGACUAGACCGUUCUAUCUUUUAACUACUCAAGACACAAGUGACGGUUGCAAGCCCCAUGGUGGAAGGUAAAAUGAGUAAGUUUAAAUCUUAACAGUUUACCCAAACCUAGAGAUAAGAUCUUGUUGAACGCAUGUGUAUCUUUAAGGCAUGAAACCACUGCAGAAACUCUUGAGUUCAUCUUUGCUCAGGGACGAGCAAAGGUUAAGCUUGGGGGAGCUUGUUGACGGUCCUUAAUGCUCAUAUUUAAUCAUCAACUAAUCAUGGAAAAGGAUCUAAAUGGAACCAACACCUAGACUUAGGGUUUUAUCUGACAGAAUUCCACGAGUUUCGGUGUUUGUCUAUUUCUGCAGGGGGUUAUCAGGAAAUAUGGAAGAAAGGCCCACAUGUCGGGUUUACAUAGAGGUAUUAACGUGCUGCACAAUUUUAUACCAUCUAGAAGACUCCAGAAGCCACAGGAACGAACGGGAAGGUAAUCGGGCUCGGAGGCAGGGCGCCCGCCCUACUCUCCUGGGCGCCCGCCCACCUACAGUGCCCAAAGAGAGUCCAAUUCGGGGAUCACGCUCCACCGACCUAAAGGAUCAAGGAAAACCAUGCGAUUAAUGUCGGUUUGAUCCAACGGCCCAUAUUCACUUGAAGGGACUAUAAAACCAGACCCCCUGGCCCCUGGAGAUCAUACCUCUUCUACAGAAUCAAAGUUAGGGUUUCAAUUCUUUAUCCAAGUAGAGAGGAUCCCUCUUGUUCUUCUAGUUCUACCUCUAGUUCUAGUUCAUCUAGUUCUAGUUCUAGUUCCUCUAGUUCUAGUUCUAGUUAGUUCUAGUUGUAAUCUAGAAAAUAGGGAGAGAGAAGAGGAGAGCGGAGGAGGAGGAGCCAGAUCUGUCGGAUCUUCCUCAUCAUUGUACUUUUGCAGCAACUGGUUCGUUCUUCAUCGUUCUCUAGGUUCUUCAAUUCAUAAUUCCUGAGUUCUCUAAUUACUUUUAUUUACAUUCAAGUUAUUUAUUGGAUUCCCGCUUGCAUCAAGUGCUCUAAUCUUUGAAACAUUAGAGUAGUAAUUAAUAGAUUAGACGUGGUGUUUAGUCUUGCAAUUACCUGGAAUUGCACCCAAUCCUGCGGAUUGUUGUGGUAGCCUUAGGGUAGUGACAGCCCUAACGGUCGACGUAUUCCACCUCGUUCGGAUCGGUGUUUGUAGGACCGUAGUCGGAGCUUCCUAGCCCCCUUCUCAUCUCUUUCUGUGGUUAGUGUUCUGAUGUCCCGAAAUAGAUAAUCUUGAAGUAAUUCUUGAUUAUUAGAUUAACUAAAGAACUCUCAGGAAACUUCCUCUCUUCCCACCAAAUAUAAUUAUAUAGUUAUCCUUGGGCAAUCUUGGAUCUUAAUUAGUACACUCACGUUCUCUGUGGAAAAUCGAUACUCUGAAAUACUCCCGGGUGAAAGCUACAUCGGUAUCCGUGCGCUUGCGGAUUUUUCUGUUUGCGUUUAAAAUACCCAACAACUCCUCCGGCAAUGAGAGUGAUGAUGAGAAGGUUGCCGCCAUUGCCAUUGAUGCUUCAUCACCAUCAUCUUCACCACCAUCUACAUCCUCUACACACCUAUGCCUCAUGGCUAAGGGUGACCGGAAGGUACAAAGUGAGGAUGAGAGUAGUGAGAGUGAUAGUGAAUAUGAAUCACCUUCUUAUGAUGAACUUGUAAAAUAGCUAAACAAAUACACAAAAGUCAUAAGAAAGACUAGAAGUGAAAAUGAGAAACUUGAACUUGAAAAUGAAUCACUUCUAGCAAAGCUUAAAUCUAGUUAUGAGCUUAGAGACCAAAAUGAGAUCAUGACCACCAAACUCAAGGAGCUCAAACUCUCUUUAAAAGAGCUCAAAGAAAAACAUGAUAAACUUGAGAGUAUUCAUGAUGAGCUUAUCACUAGAUAUAGAGCAAUGAAGGAAGAGCUAACAACUCUAAAAGCAAACUAUGACAACCUUGAGAUAGCUUAUGAACUUGCAAUUGAUGAAACACAUGUUGCUACUAACCAUGUUGCUAAGCUUGAUGUAGCCACAUCUUGUGAUGACUUACUUGUGGAGAGCACAAGCAAAUGUGUUGAUUGCAAGGGCAAGAAAGUGGUAGAGGCCGAGAGCUAUGAGGACACUAUCAAACUCAAGGAAGAAAUUGUCAUGCUCAAGAAAGAGUUACAAGAGCAAGCCAAGCACAAAACAAUUGUGAUUGAGUCACUUGAUCAAGACAAGAAGCUCGCAUAUGAGAACAAGGUACUCAAGGAAGAAAAUCAAUAUCUCAAGCUUGGUUUGAUGUAUGACAAACAGGAAGAAGAUGAGACAGUCAUCUUAGAUGAGUUAGCAAGCAACAAUGACCCAAUCAUCAAGAAGCUAACUCAAGAGAAUAGCAAGCUCAAGAAAGAGAAGGAACAUCCAACCAAGGGGUUAGCAAAGUUCACAAAAGGGAAGGACCUUCAAAGUGAGCUAUUCAUGAACACCAUCAUGAAGAUGGACAAGAGUGGGAUUGGUUACAAAGCUCAUCAAACAAAGCUCAUCAAGUCACUAACUACUCAUUAUCAACCAAGCAAGCCAAAGCCAAAAAGAUGCUUUGAGUGUGGACAAGAAGGACACUUUCCUCAUGAGUGUGAGGCACCACUACCACCACCCUUGCCCAAGCAUGCUAGACCAUUUGCCUUCAAUGCUCACUACAUUGUAAGGAAAGACAAGAGUGGCAAGGUCAAGGUUAGCUUCAUGGGGCCGCCCAACAAGCAAAGGCCAAAGAAGAUUUGGGUGCCAAAACAACUAGUAGAGAAGGUCAAGGGCCCUAAGCAAAUGUGGGUCCCUAAAUCUCAAGCGUGAUAGUGAUUGCACUCAACAUAUGACCGGAGAUCACAUUGGGUAAUCGAUAGUGGUUGCACUCAACAUAUGACCGGAGAUCCCCGAAUGUUCACCUCACUUGAUGAAGAUGUUGACAACCAAGAGAAGAUCACAUUUGGUGACAAUUCAAAAGACAAGGUCAAGGGUCUAGGAAAGGUUGUGAUAUCAAAUGACAACUCCAUCACCAAUGUGCUCUAUGUGCAAUCAUUAAGUUUCAAUUUGCUCUCGGUUGGACAACUUUGUGAUCUUGGUUUUGAAUGUCUAUUCAAGAAGAAGGAAGUAAUAGUGACCAAGGAGGAUGACAAUGAAAUGGUAUUCAAAGGCUUCCGACAAAACAACUUAAAUGUAGUUGAUUUCUCAUCCGAUGAAGUUGAUGUCAAGACUUGCUUAUUCACCAAGACCUCUCUUGGGUAGUUGUGGCAUAGAAGGUUAGCACAUGUUGGAAUGGGUACACUCAAGAAGUUGAUGAAGAAAUAAUUGAUUAGAGGCUUGAAGGAUGUGACCUUUGAAAAGGACAAGCUUUGUAGUGCAUGUCAAGCCAGCAAGCAAGUUGCAAACACUCAUCCAACCAAGGCAUAUCUCUCUACUUCAAGACUGCUUGAGCUACUCCACAUGGAUUUAUUUGGACCAACCACAUAUGCUAGUCUUGGAGGCAACAUAUAUUGCUUAGUCAUUGUUGAUGAUUACUCCUGGUAUACUUGGACAUUCUUCUUGCAAGACAAGGCCAAAGUUGCAUCCAUAUUCAAGAAGUUUGCAAAGAAUGCCCAAAAUCAAUUUGAUGUCAAGAUCAAGAAGAUAAGAAGUGACAAUGGCAAAGAGUUUGACAACACCAACAUUGAAGAAUAUUGUGAUGAAGUUGGAAUCAAACAUGAGUUCUCCUCAACAUACACACCACAACAAAAUGGGGUUGUAGAAAGAAAGAACCGGACAUUGAUCACCUUGGCAAGAACAAUGCUAGAUGAGUACAACACUUCGGAGAAGAUGUGGGCUGAGGCAAUCAACACCUCAUGCUAUGCAUCAAACUAGCUCUUUCCUCACAAGUUCCUAGAGAAGACACCAUAUGAGUUGCUCAAUGGGAAGAAGCCCGAUGUCUCAUUCUUUAGAGUGUUUGGGUACAAAUGCUACAUCUACAAGAAGUGACAACACUUGGCCAAGUUCCAAAGAAGAUGUGAUAUUGGCUACUUGGUUGGCUAUUCAUCAAAGUCCAAGGCAUAUAGGGUCUUUAACCAUGCCACAAACAUGGUUGAAGAAACAUUUGAUGUUGAAUUUGAUGAAACUAAUGGCUCCUAAGGAGCUAGUGAUAAUCUUGAUGAUGUAGGUGGUGAACCAUUGAGGGAUGCCAUGAAGAACAUGUCGGUGGGGGACAUCAAGCUAAAAGAAGAUGAUGAUGUGCAAGUCAUUGAGCCAGCACCCACCUCACAUGUGCCACAAGAUGAAGACAAGGAUGUGAGAGAUGCCCAUGAAGACACUCAAGUCACUCAUGAGCAAGCGGUGGCACAAGCACAAGAUGUUGAUGCUCCCCAAGCAACCCCUCAAGUGGCGCCAAGAAGAUCAUCACAUCUCCUCCAAGAUCACUCUCAAGAUCUCAUCAUCGGGAGUCCAUCACGUGGUGUAACUACACACUCUAGACAUGCUUUAUUUAUUGAACAUCACGCUUUUGUCUCUCUUCAAGAUGAACCAAAGACUAUAGAGGAAGCUCUUCGUGAUGUGGAUUGGAUCAUUGCCAUGCAAGAGGAGUUGAACAACUUCUCUCGCAACCAAGUGUGGACACUUGAAGAGCGACCCAAAGAUGCAAGAGUGAUUGGAACAAAGUGGGUCUUCCGGAACAAGAAGGAUGAUCAAAGCAAGGUGGUGCGCAACAAGGCAAGGCUCGUGGCAAAAGGCUUUUCACAAGUGGAAGGUCUUGACUUCGGUGAAACCUUUGCACCGGUGGCAAGACUUGAAGCAAUCUGUAUCCUACUUGCAUAUGCAUCUAGUCAUGAUAUCAAGUUGUUUCAACUGGAUGUGAAAAGUGCUUUUUAAAUGGUUAUAUUAAUGAGCUUAUCUAUGUUGAGCAACCCCCUGGUUUUGAAGACCCUAUGUACCCCAAGCAUGUCUAUCGGUUGUCCAAGGCUCUCUAUGGUCUCAAGCAAGCUCCUAGAGCUUGGUAUGAGAGGCUUAGGGACUUUCUCAUUGAGAAGGGCUUCAAGAUUGGGAAAGUUGACACAACACUCUUCACCAAGAAAAUGAAUGGGGAAAUCUUCAUUUGCCAAGUUUAUGUUCAUGAUAUUAUUUUUGGCUUUACUAAUGAAGAUUUUUGCAAGGAAUUUGGUGAUUGAUGUCCAAGGAGUUUGAGAUGUCCAUGAUUGGCGAGCUAUCCUUCUUCCUAGGAUUUCAAGUGAAGCAAAUGAAGGAAGGAGUCUUCAUCUCUCAAGAGAACUACACUCAAGAUCUUCUCAAGAGAUUCAAGAUGAUGGAUUGCAAGCCAAUCAAGACUCCCAUGGCAUCAAAUGGGCAUCUCGACUUGGAUGAGGGAGGUAACCCAAUUGACAAGACUCUCUAUCGUUCAAUAAUAGGAAGUCUACUCUACCUCACCGCAUCUAGGCCCGAUAUCAUGUUUAGUGAGUGUAUUUGUGCUAGAUAUCAAGUAAUGCCUAUGGAUCUCACUUGAUUGUCGUUAAGAGAAUUCUUAGGUAUCUAAAAUACACACCUUGCCUAGGCUUGUGGUAUCCCAAAGGUGCAAGAUUCCAACUUGUAGGCUAUUCCGAUUCGGAUUAUGUCGGGUGCUGCAUUGAUAGAAAAAGCACAUCCGGAGGGUGCCACUUCCUAGGUAGAUCACUUGUCUCUUGGAUGUCAAAGAAACAAAAUAGUGUUGCCUUAUCAACGGCCGAGGCGGAAUACAUUGCCGCCGGUGCUUGUUGUGCACAAAUACUUUACAUGAAACAAACUUUGCUAGACUAUGGAGUAGUACUAGACAAAGUACCUUUGUUGUGUGACAAUGAAAGUGCCGUAAAACUUGCAAACAACCCGGUUCAACACACCUAUACAAAACACAUUGACAUCUGCCACCACUUCCUUAGGGAUCAUGUUGCUAAAGGUGACAUAUCUCUAGAGAAUGUGGGAACAGAAAAUCAAUUGGCGGAUAUCUUCACAAAACCCCUAGAUGAAGCUAGGUUUUGUAUGUUAAGAAAUGAACUCAAUGUGCUUGAUCUCUCUAACUUCUCUAAAAAAUGAAGUUGUGUGUUGACCUUGUAAAUAGCUUUUGUUUUGCAUAUCAUGCAUACCAAAACUAAAAAUACAAAAAAUUGUGUGUAGGGCUUGCCUAACAUGGUUAAGAUAACCCCCUUGUGUGUGUGAAAAAGCUUAACCUUGGAUCAAACUUGACAAGCCUUAGUUUACUUUCAAGUAUUGCAUUUCACCUCAUAUCAUAUGCAUGCUUGUUAGUUGAUCGUUUCUUUUUGGUUAUGCUUUGAGCAUCCGCUGUGUUCGUCCAUAGAUAUGGGGAGCAUUCAAAGCUCAUUAUGAUUUUAAACUCCUAGCUUUAUGGCCACACGAUGCUCCUCGGUGCUUUCUCUUGACUAUUUUCAUAAAAACUACUAAGCCUAAGGCUAAAUAUUUGUGAAAAUUUGAGGGUUUGAGAGAGAUCGCUCAUACCAGUUACAAUUGGUGUUUAUUUGAGUCUUCUUGAAGUUGGAACUUGGUUGGGUAAAAGUCGGACGUAGUUCUAAGUUGAAAAACAAGCCAGAGGUGCACCGGACGAUGCACCGGACUCUCCUGCAGAGCAUCCGGUGUGGUGAGUCUGCUGGACAACACUCACCGGAUGCAGGAACAGUGUCCCUGCAGCAUCCGGUGAGGUGUGUCCGGUGCUCAUCCAGGCAUGCCCUAGGGCACCGGACGCUAAAGCCAGCAUACGGUGGCCAUCGUCCGGUGAUCGGGUCAUCUGGGUUUCUCUCUGUGUUUUAGUCCGGUGGUCACCGGACGCGUCCGGUGCCACAUAAAGAGCGUCCGGUGGCCCCGUGGACAGCCCAUAUAACCUACGCCCGGAGACUUUUCGCGCAGGCAGUUCUUUUUCUCCCGAUCUCCUCUCGAUCCGCCGUCAGCCAAGCCCAUGCCCUAACUCGUUGUGAAAACUCCGCCGCUGAUGGAUUUGAGUUUCCUCUGCGGAUGUUCCUCCCCCCGCGCCAAAUCUGCUCUAAGGAGCCCUCCUCUUUCCUCUCCUCUCGCAGGAAUCCCCAUCUCGCGAGAAGGUUAGGUUUUGGGUGAGUUCUUGGACCCUUGCCCUCAAGGUGUUUGGUUUUAUGUGUCAAUGGAUUAGAACGAGGUUUUUGACCUCGGUUUGCUCCGUUUCAUCUGUGCAGCACCUUGAGGAGUUGAUUCGUGUUCUCCGGUGGAUUGCGUUCGAGAUCUUUUGUCCGGAACACGUCUCAUCUUUGGAUCGUAAGCCGUUCACGCCCGUUCCUUAUCUAAAUCUUGCGAUCUAUAGGGUUAUCUCAUCUCUAGCUAUUAUGUUUGCUUAUGUAUACCCUAUCUAUUCCAUCUCUUGCAGCGCGUUGAUCUCUCUCGGCAGUUUGUCAGUUGCUUAGUUUUUGAUGGUUUCAGAGGCAGUUUUCUUGCAAUGGAACGUUGCAAGAAUGUUAGUGGUCCGGCAGCUAGCACUGGUGGCUCUCCAGGAGGUGAUGGUGGAGGUGAUCCUCUCCGUGUCCUGUCAGCGGUAGAGAAGGGAAAAGGCAAGAAGCUGGCCACCAAGAAGAGGAAGGCAAGUGACAGAGAGGCUGAGGUGGCCGAGGCAGUUGCAGCAGCAGCUGAGGCAGCAGAGAGGGGUGGACGCUCAGGUGUCCUGAGGAUUAGGGCCGAUCUCAUGCCACGGCAGAGGCGUGCAGUUCUUCAGGUUGAGGCGCUUCAUGGAACUCCACCUGGCACCAUCAUGCUAGGGGGUCACCCUGUUCGCAUUGACGUGAGAGAGUCAGCUCAGGAGGACACAAACACCGAGACUGAGACAGAGGUCCAGGCAGAGGGCCCAACAGAGGCUCAGUAGCAGGAGCAGCCCCUCAGGAGGUCGACUCGCACGCGUACCCAGGCCAUCCCUAGGACUGGUACGCAGGGCCAGUCUACCUCCACUGCUCGCCCUACUCCAGCACAUGGUACUCCAGCUCCACGUCCAGCGCCAGUGAGGAUUCACAAGGACUACACCCAAGCCUUCGCUCGAGAGAUCCAGGAGCUACGAUUUGUUCCUUUUCCUACUUGGUUUCCGGCUACCAGAGAUCCGAGAGCCAGUGCCAGAUUCUAUACAGUUGUUCAGGAGGAUCUGUAUGAGGCAUUCGUCCGCUCAGAGGCUCAGUUCAGGGAGCACAAGGUGCUUGACCUUAAGGUGCUUUGGAAUGUGGUCGGUGCGGACAUCAGGCAAUGUUUCACUUAUCUGACCGGUCUCCUAGAGCUGCUUGCUUUACGUGGUACCUAUUGUGAGGAGUGGGUCUGGGAGUUCUAUGCCUCAGUGUGGGUUUCUCCAGACCGUAGCUACAUCCACUACGCACUGGCAGGCACAGACUAUAGGGUGUCAGCUCGGAGGGCUAGAGAGGUUCUUGGAUUGGUAGCCUCUUCCACUCGGAUCCAUCAGCUUUGCUAUGGGGACUUCGAGCCCCCUCGACGACCACAUGGUGGUGAUCUACCACCGGUUGACCUAGUGGCUCCCUGUUUCCAUCAACCCUUUGGAGAGGGCUCCACCAGGAUAGUGGGUGAUUUGACACACCCAUCCAGGAUCCUUGACUUUGUGUUGAGGAAGACUCUCUUUCCCAGGACAGGCUACAGAGAUGGCUUCACCAGGAUCCAGCAGUGGUUAGUGGCUCAUUUGAUUGCUCUGCGGCUGUUUGAUCUGUGGGACUUGAUAGUGUCAGAGAUUGAGGACACUAUAGCAGAGAGCUUCAGGGGUCGUCGUCACCUGCCAUACGCACACUGGAUCACAUUGCCUAUACUUCAUGCUAGGCCAGAGCCUCUUCCAGCUCACCUCUAGAGAGAGCUAUCAGAUGCUGACACUGUGUUCCCCCACUACGACCCCCAACAGAUGCUGAGAGCGCAUCAUGACCUUAGAGCCCCACCACCUCCUCCAACACCAUGUGGCCAGGUGCCACCACCUUCACCGAGGGCUACCCGCAGUUCAGGGGCAGUCCAUGAGACAGAGGAGGAGCAGGACAUAGCCAUUGGGGCAUUUGCAGAUGCUGAGGCUGAGGAGGAGUUUGAGUUUGCUUCGGAUAGCUCAGACGAUGAUUAUCGUUUCCCUGUGCUAGAUCUUCCUCCGAGGCAGCACGACCACGAGGCAGGAGGUUCGUCCAGUGCUACAGAUCCAGCGUUGCUAGCUAUUCUCGAGGGGAUGAGAGCCAAUCAGCGGAAGGCAGCUGAGGAGCAGGCUAGGAGGGAUAGGGAUCAGGCUGCCAUCAAUGCAGCCAUACAGGCCAGGCAGGACAAGCUCCAAAGAUAGUUUCUAGCUUUCCAAGCACAGCAGACUGCGAUGAUGGCGGCUCUUAUGGCUGCUUCAGGGAUUCAGUUGUCUCAAAUUCAGCUUCCAGGCACAUCUUCAGUCAGGCCACCGACUCCAGUAUCUCAGCCGAGUCACUUUCAGAGUUAGUCCCAGCCGCCGCUCCAGCUCCCUGCUCAGAGUCAGCCAUUCUCGACUCCUCAGCACCAGGUCUCCUAGGGUGCUAUUUAAUCUAGCUUUGAGCAGGUACCUUAGUUUACACCUCUGUGCUCUGGAUUUACACCUCAGUCAGCUACAGCGUCGCAGCUAGUGUUGGACUCCUCGAUAGGGUAGCAUAUCAGCUUCUCCUACAGUGCUCUGACUGGUGACCCUACUCCUUCACCUCUGCAGGCUCCUGCAGCUUUUACGGUCCCAGUUACCACUACUGAGCGUCUAUCGUCGUUAGUAGCUUCGUCUGAGCAGCUUGCACCGUCAUCCAUAGUGCUAGAGAUGUCAGCUACAGCGACAGAGUCCGUGUCAGCUUCGUCAGCAGGACUUGAGCAGCCAGCACAGCCCGUGACAGCUUCAGAGCCCACAGAGCCGACUGUUGAUGGUCCUUAAUGCUCACAUUUAAACAUCAACUAAUCAUAGAAAAGGAUCCAAAUGCAACCAACACCUAGACUUAGGGUUUUAUCUGACAGAAUUCCACAAGUUUUGGUGUUUGUCUCUUUCUGCAGGGGGUUAUCAGGAAAUACGGAAGAAAGGCCCACACGUCGGGUUUACAUAGAGAUAUUAACGUGCCGCGCAAUUUUCUACCAUCUAGAAGACUCCAGAAGCCACGGGAAGGAAGCGGAGGCCGAAAGGGGCCAGGCACUGGGCGCCCGCCAAGUUGACCUGGGCGCCCGCCCCCUCCUAGAGUCCAAACAGGACUCUCUUUUGGGAUCAAUCUCCACCGACCUAAAGGAUCAAGGAUAACCAUUCAAUCAAUGUCGGUUUGAUCCAACGGCCCAUAUUCACUUGAAGGGACUAUAAAACCAGACCCCCUGGCCCCUGGAGAUCAUACCUCUUCUACAAAAUCAAAGCUAGGGUUUCAAUUCUUCAUCCAAGUAGAGAGGAUCCCUCUAGUUCUUCUAGUUCUACCUCUAGUUCAUCUAGAUCUAGUUCUAGUUCAUCUAGUUCUAGUUCUAGUUAGUUCUAGUUGUAAUCUAGAAAAUAGGGAGAGAGAAGAGGAGAGCGGAGGAGGAGCCGGAUCUGUCGGAUCUUCCUCAACAUUGUACUUUUGCAGCAACUGGUUCGUUCUUCAUCGUUCUCCAGGUUCUUCAAUUUAUAAUUCCUGAGUUCUCUAAUUACUUUUAUUUACAUUCAAGUUAUUUAUUGGAUUCCUGCUUGCAUCAAGUGCUCUAAUCUUUGAAACAUUAGAGUAGUAAUUAAUAGAUUAUACGUGGUGUUUAGUCUUGUAAUUACCUGGAAUUGCACCCAAUCCUGCGGAUUGUUGUGGUAGCCUUAGGGUAGUGACAGCCCUAACGGUCGACGUAUUCCACCUCAAUCAAAUCGGUGUUUGUAGGACCAUAGUCAGACCUUCCUAGCCCAGGCCUUCUCAUCUCUUUCUGUGGUUAGUGCUCUGAUGUCCCGAAAUAGAUAAUCUUUGAAGUAAUUCUUGAUUCUUAGAUCAACUAGAGAACUCUCAGGAAACUUCCUCUCUUCCCACCAAAAAUAAUUAUAUAGUUAUCCUUGGGCGAUCUUGAUUCUUAAUUAGUACACUCACGUUCCCUGUGGAAAAUCGAUACUCUGGAAUACUCCCGGGUGAAAGCUACAUCGGUAUCCGUGCGCUUGCGGAUUUUUCUGUUUGCGUUUAAAAUACCCAACAAGCUUUCUGGCAUCGUUGCCGGGGAACGGUAGCUGUGCUAGUUUCGAACCAAGUCGUCCGUGUAUCCUUUUUCUUUUCCUUUUUUACCACACUCACCUUACCAUUUUCACCACACCACAUGGAUUUCUCUCUAAGCAUUAAUGAGCAUGGAAUUUAUUUCAUAGCCACUUCAUUUACUCCAUGCUCAUAUGCAACAUCUUCACAAUCCAUUGGUCUCUCCAACAUCACCACAUUCGAGAUCUCCAACCCGUCUUCCUUUCUAUUUAUAAAAACUUUAAAAGGGCGGUUGUCGAUGCAUAUGUCUAUAAUAAAUUUUGCAGAUCUCGUUGAGUUGAUCUUGAUAUAGGUUAGCGUUGGAGGGGAAACCACUUCGCCGACAUAAAUUGAUGGUUUCCCAAGGACAAGCUUAGUGUCCUAAAAUAAGCACUGAUCAGAUCGUAACAUGAGCUUUUAUUAUUUGCAACAUUACCUUGUGUACUGAGCAUAUAAGGAUAAUUGUAAAAAUAUUCCUUCGGGUAUUCUUGUCACUAACCUUUCCAGGAUUGGAGCAAGAAGAUCGGAUGAAUGACAAGCACAAGGUUUGUCCAACCAAUCAUCAUACAACAUUGAAUUAAAUUCAUCCAAACUUGAAUUUUGGAAAAUGCAAGCUUGGGGGAGUACUUUAUAUAAAAACAUCCUUUGCCAUGUUGCUAUGUUGGUUGUCCCUACCUUUGAGACAUGCUCAAUUUGUUAAAUACUAAUCACAUUACUUCAUCUUCACUUGAGUAGAUCUCUAUAAAAUGCUCUCAUGCUACAUUUAUUUGCUUUAGUAUAUGUCUAGGUUUGGAGUAGUUUCAUUUAUCUCUUAAUUAAGCAUGGUGCUUAGUUUAGGAAUGAUGAUCUUACUUCCAAGGGAUUUUAAAUUAAGCAUAGUGCUUAGGUUAAAAUGCCCUUCUAAAUCAAAUUAGACAUGGUAUCUAGGUUGAUUUUUGAGCCGAUAGUAUGCUAUAGUAGACAUUGGAUAUUUUGUUGGACUAACCCCUGCAGGAAAACAUUCAAUAUCGACCUGGGAAGUCCUGAGAUAAACUCACAUGGGAGACAAAGAGAGAGACACAUAAAGUUUAACAAUUUACACAAGGAAGACAUAGCUCACAAGAGAUGAUCCAUGGAGGGUGCCACAAACACGAUGCACAACCGCUAAGAAAGGAAAGCUUCCACAAGGAGAUACCGUACCAUCACUCUUCAAGUAAGGUAACAUCUUAAGGUACUUGACUAUCACUUUUAUAAGCUUCUCCUUGGUUCUGGCGUUCACAUGAAUAAAAGAGACAAACAUGUAUGAUUUAUAACUCUAGAUUAACCAACCGAAUCGAUUCAACAUGUUUAGUCCUUCCACCUUUGUGAUUCCACACUCCUAAUCAUAUAAGCUAAAAUGUUGCACAUUCAAUCUUUGGAAGAUACAAACAAAACAUAAAUAUAGAUAGAUUAUCUUUCCAUUAGGUUGAGCUAUCUGAUAUGACAAAUGCUUUAAAUGCUACACUCAUAAUCUUAUUAUCCAUCAACUUUGUCUUGCUCACUAUGCUUAAGGUUAGAGAAGAACAAAUACACUUUUCGUUCUAUUGGUGUUUUCCACCAACAGAGCCCAUGCACUUGAUCUCUGCCUUGUCUCUAUGAGCAGGUACACUUCGAGCAAAAUAUGAAGGAGUUUUACAACUCCCAGACUCCACCAAGUGAAGAACCUAGAUCUACGAGCACACACACACACUGGAGAUACUGGACACUCAGGCAAUCACUGCCCUGAGAUGCUUAAGGACGUAACUUCUGGAGUAACCCCAUUGUGGAAGUAAUUACUGACCUUCUGCUGGUCAAGACAGACAAUCCAGGACGCCCCGUCAUACCGAUCUCCAUCGGCAUGGUGGACUUCCUAGAAGCACUCUGCGACUUUGGCUCCAGUGUCAACAUUAUGCCUAGGGUACUCUAUGAAAAAUUCUUUACACAUCCUUUAUUAGAAACAGCCAUGUGUUUGUAGCUUGCAGAUCAUACGCUAAGUUUCCCAAAGGGAAUAAUGAAGAACCUCUGCGUCCGAGUUGGUACCUUGUACGCCUAGCAGACUUCGUGGUGAUAGAAACCGGUUCUGAUGAGGAGGCACCCGUCAUCCUAGGGAGGCCAUUCCUGAACAUCUCGGGAGGUGUCAUCUACGCUAGUGCUGCCAAGAUCAGAUUCUACAUCAAGGGGAGGAAGAAGACGUUUUCCUUCAAGAACAAGACUACACAAAUCUCAGAGCAUUCCCGACAUGAACUAAGGAAGAGGACCAACAGGAGGAACAAGAAUAAGCAAAUGUGGACCGAGUUAGCUAAGAUAGUCACUGCAGUUCAAGGAGGUCAAGAUCGUCAACUCAAGUCACCUUUCUUGAUCAAGAAGGACGACCCUGGUGUUCCAAGCAUCUAGUGCUCCAUUAAUAGAUACAACUUCUAGAAGAUGCUUUGCGACACCGGGUCAGGCGUCAACAUAAUGGUCGCAGUCACCUAUCAGCUCCUGUUCGGAACCGUGCCCCUAGAACCGACAUACAUUCAGCUUCUGAUAGCAGAUCAGACAUUCCGAAAGGUUGAAGAUUUUUAGGUUAUUGACAUGGGAGAAGACGAGUACGAUCCACUCAUCCUUGGGAGACCGUUCCUCAGCACCGUUAAAGCAAUCAUCUACAUUGGAACCGGAGAAGUCCACAUGCACUUCCCCUCUGAGAAGGUACGCCACUAUUUUACUGACCCUAACUAUAUAGUUGAAGACUCUAGGCAGGUCAGGACAAGAAGAAGACAACGCAACCGCAACCAGAGGAGGCAAAUCAUCAAGGACGGAUGGGCAGACUAUGAAGAAGAAGUAGUAAGGUCUAAAGACAUACAACUUGAACAGAACGGUCCUGAGGAGACCGUAGCACCGAGUCAGGUGUGUAGAGAGAAGAUAGUUAUACAAGAAGAGCAGGCGCCGCCGGAACCACCGACUACGCCAUCCAGCGAAUCUCAGGAUGACUGAGAAUACGUAGAGUUCCGUUCGGAGGACUUAAACACACCGAACGCCUUGCCAAGAGGUAAACUUGGUAGUUAUCUUUUCAAUAGUUUGCUUAGUUAAUCAGGUUUAUAUCAUCUUGAAAAGAAAAUAAAAAUGUUAAAAAUAGUAAGCCCCAUGUGAGUAUGAUCAUGGCAUAAAACCCAUAAGUACAUUCACUGUGGUGGCAUAAAAAUAAAAUAUAUAUAUUCCUGUCCUAUAAAAAUAAAUUUAUAAAAAUAAAUUUAUGAUCCUACUAAAGAGUGUAACAUUUAUUGAGGAGGCUCAACAUGAUAAAGGCUAGAUAUUUAUGCUAACACUUAACUAGUUCCACAAAGCUUUGUUGUCUAUUUGAGCUCCACAGAAUUCAAGGAUCAAAGAAGACUAGCAGACGGAGGACAUCCUAAUCACUGUCAAGGUGCUGCCAACAUUCAAAUACACCUCCGCCACCUACUAGCUACAUCAGAAGAAAUUACGUCAAAAUCCAGCUUGGGGGAGAGCACCCCCAUUUAUCCAGCUUAGUAUUCUACUCACAUUUAUACUUUACUCUAAUAAUAAAAAGAUGCAUAAUCAUAUAAACCCAAAUAAAGAUUUUGUGCUUAUAUAUAUAUCUUUGCUUAGUUUGCUAAAUAAAUAAAUAAAUUAAGUCUGCUAUGAACCCUCAUGAUAAGCUCUCACAUGGAAAUGAUGAAUAGUUGCUCUGCCAUGACUAGUUCUCAAAAUUGAAAUCUCUCUCAAGUUUAGGCAUAACUGUUAUUAAUUAAGAUUUGCUCUAAACCUGAACUUGUGGGAAGAGUACUUGAUCUAAAGUCUAAGUUGUUAACGGAUACGAUAUGGGAAGGUUGAGCUACUGUUUAUAUGUUCUUAGAAAUGCUAGAAUUCUGGAGAAUUUUAUCUUUUAAAAUCUUUAAAAUAAUACAUGAUGAGUUCCUGUAUGAUGAGAGUUUAAAAUCCUACCACAGCCAUAUAUACAUGCUUGCUAAACUUUGAGCCACACAUUUACUUUUUACUGCUUAUGAGCAUUGAGUGUGGUCAAGCUGUGUAGACCCUUAGGAGCUUGUCAUGUGGUUAAAUCAAGAUUCACUUGCACUCACACAUGCUGCUUCUAUUCCAGAAGUACGCAUCCACAUAUAUCCACCUAUUUCCAUCUCCAGAACCACCCAAAAAUAUUCUACUCCUAAUCCGGAAGAGAAUAGCCAUAAACAUUUCUGUUUUUCUCCUAUGAAAUAAAUGCUCAAGUUAUCUUGGUUACUACCACUUGCUACAUUAUUUCAAGAGAUGAGUGCUCUAAAAAAAGAGAGAGAAAAAAGAUACGAGGAAAUAAAAAGGGGCAAGUGCCCGGAACCUCGAAAGAAAAGAAAAAGUGAGACAAGAGGUAAAAAUGGACAAGUGUCCGACAGUAGAAUUAGGGGUACAAGAUACCCACCUGAGAGAAAAGAAAAAGAAAAUAUAGAGCAUCUCAUUCUCCUCAAAAAGUUUCGAAAGAGCAAGAAAGGUAUGUAUCCCCUCAAAAGAGCACAAGUAGAAUUAGACUUUCACCAUUGUUAUCACCAUCAUACACCAUUCAUUCGCCACACAUGCACAUCUUGAUUUGACUUAUUGACUUGUUCUUCUGGAUCCAUGGUUUGACUAUGCAAUAAAUGUCUUGUAAGUAUGUAUUAGCUGUCUCCCACCUAUGAGCUCUAGAUAUCAAAACCUUAUUAGAGUAGGGUGAGAGAGAAGGCAAUGCCACUAUGCCUUAUACCACAAAUACCACAAACUUUGAGAGAAGGCAUAUACCAUCACUGCCUUGGUAAGGAUCCAGAAAUACCACAAAAGAGAGACUAGAGAGAGUCAUACAAGGAAUCUCUGAGUUUUAUUUGAAAAUCUGCAAAAACUCCAGAGGUAUAGUUGAUCAAGAAUAAGAGACAUGGCGCUUGACUAGAUCGUUCUAUCUUUUAACUGCUCAAGACAUAGGUGACGGUUGCAAGCCCCAUGGUGGAAGGUAAAAUGAGUAAGUUUAAAUCCUAACAGUUUACCCUAACCCAGAGAUGAGAUCUUGUUUGCACGCAUGUGUACCUUUAAGGCAUGAAACCACUGCAGAAACUCUUGAGUUCAUCUUUGCUCAGAGAGGAGCAAAGGUUAAGCUUGGGGGAGCUUGUUGACGGUCCUUAAUGCUCACAUUUAACCAUCAACUAACCAUAGAAAAGGAUCCAAAUGCAACCAACACCUAGACUUAGGGUUUUAUCUAAUAGAAUUCCACAAGUUUUGGUGUUUGUCUAUUUCUGCAGUGGGUUAUCACGAAAUACGGAAGAAAGGCCUACACGUCGGGUUUACAUAGAGAUAUUAACGUGCCGCGCAAUUUUCUACCAUCUAGAAGACUCCAGAAGCCACGAGAAGGAAGCGGAGGCCGAACGGGGCCAGGCACUGGGCGCCCGCCAAGUUGACCUGGGCGCCCGCCCCCUCCUAGAGUCCAAACAAGACUCUCUUUCGGGAUCAAUCUCCACCGACCUAAAGGAUCAAGGAUAACCAUUCAAUCAAUGUCGGUUUGAUCCAACGGCCCAUAUUCACUUGAAGGGACUAUAAAACCAGACCCCCUGGCCCCUGGAGAUCAUACCUCUUCUACAGAAUCAAAGCUAGGGUUUCAAUUCUUCAUCCAAGUAGAGAGGAUCCCUCUAGUUCUUCUAGUUCUACCUCUAGUUCAUCUAGAUCUAGUUCUAGUUCAUCUAGUUCUAGUUCUAGUUCUAGUUCCUCUAGUUCUAGUUCUAGUUCUAGUUAGUUCUAGUUGUAAUCUAGUAAAUAGGGAGAGAGAAGAGGAGAGCGGAGGAGGAGCCGGAUCUGUCGGAUCUUCCUCAACAUUGUACUUUUGCAGCAACUGGUUCGUUCUUCAUCGUUCUCUAGGUUCUUCAAUUCAUAAUUCCUGAGUUCUCUAAUUACUUGUAUUUACAUUCAAGUUAUUUAAUGGAUUCCCGCUUGCAUCAAGUGCUCUAAUCUUUGAAACAUUAGAGUAGUAAUUAAUAGAUUAGACGUGGUGUUUAGUCUUACAAUUACCUGGAAUUUCACCCAAUCUUGCGGAUUGUUGUGGUAGCCUUAUGGUAGUGACAGCCCUAACGGUCGACGUAUUCCACCUCGUUCGGAUCAGUGUUUGUAGGACCGUAGUCAGACCUUCCUAGCCCCCUUCUCAUCUCUUUCUUUGGUUAGUGCUCUGAUGUCCCGAAAUAGAUAAUCUUUGAAGUAAUUCUUGAUUCUUAGAUCAACUAGAGAACUCUCAGGAAACUUCCUCUCUUCCCACCAAAAAUAAUUAUAUAGUUAUCCUUGGGCGAUCUUGAUUCUUAACUAGUACACUCACGUUCCCUAUGGAAAAUCGAUACUCUGGAAUACUCCCAGGUGAAAGCUACAUCGGUAUCCGUGCGCUUGCAAAUUUUUCUAUUUGCGUUUAAAAUACCCAACACCGACCCAGACCGCUUCUCCAGCACGUGCAACUUCAGAGGGUCACUCUACCACCUCCGAGUCGACGGCCGAUGGAUCAUACAACGCAGCUGUUGACACUUGCUAACACCACUUGAAUACUAGGUUGUCAUCCCCAGCAUGGCACUAGAGUGUACUAGGGUAUUUAUGCGCACACAGAUAAUCCGCAAACGCACGGAUACCGUUGAAGCUUUUACCCGGUUAAAGGUUUUAUCGUAUCCACAGGGAAACGGGAGAACCAACUACGCUCUAACUUAACCAAGAUAAGUAAAUAGAUGUAAAUAGGAAACAUGGUAGAAUCGAAUAAGAACAAUAUUAAAGGUAAGAUAACAGUGAGUGAUAAUAUGGGAAUAGAGAAUAGAGCAAUUCUAGUAUAUGGGCGAUGGUAGCAGAAUAGAGAGGAUAACUAUGGUUUCUCUACUUCAAAGGGGUAUGUCUAUGUCUGGGACGAACCACGUGAUAAGGGUACACCACAAAGGAUGCUUAUCCUUAGGCCGAUAAACCCUACCCGUCCUGCUAACAAGAGGUGGACUACAGAGGACCAACAUAACUGUCACCUACGCGGCCUACCACACGACCAGCUAGACAGGGGAUAUCCACAAGUAAUCUAGGUCUAAGCACCACGCUUGCACCUAUACUAUAACUCUCACCUAUAGCGUCCUAUAGAUUAAAGUACUCAAAAGAGUUGUGAACCAGAACAUACAUGAUUAAUAAUUGCAUAAUGAAUUAGAAGUAGAUUACCAGAGUCAUCCCAUGAGCAAGCUUGAUUAGAGCUUGAUCAUGACGAAGUACAACCGGAGGAAGAACCGAUAGGCCGGCCUCUCCUCUAAUCCUCCUUCGCUCUCCAUCUCUCUACUAUCUAGAUCUACACUAGUUUAGAGAAGAGAGGAGAGCUCUCAUCUCUAAACUCUAGCUUUUGCUCUGUCUAUGAAUAAUGAAUAAUGAUCAAGGGGUGCCUCCUCCAGGGGCCAGGGGGUCUGGUUAUAUAGUCCCCUCAAGUGAACCUGGGCCGUCGGAUCAAACCGACAUUGAUUGAACGGUUAUUCUUGAUCCUUUAGGUCGGUGGAGAUCUCCCGAGAGAAAGAGUCCUGAUUGGGCUCCAAGUCAGGGCGGGCGCCAGGGCAGGAGGGCGGGCGCCCUGCCUCUGGCCUCGUUCGGCUUUCGCUUCCUUCCCGUGGCUUCUGGAGUCUUCUAGAUGGAAGAUAAUUGCGCGGCAUGUUAAUAUCUCUAUGUAAUCCCGACGUGUGGGCCUUUCUUCCAUAUUUCCUGAUAACCCCCUGCAGAAAUAGACAAACACCAAAACUCGUGGAAUUCUAUCAUAUAAAACCCUAAGUCUAGAUGUUGAUUUCAUUUAGAUCCUUUUCUUUGUUUAUUUGAUAAUUAAAUUUGAUACUUAAGGACCGUCAACAAACUGAGCUUACCUCUUGCUCGUCCCUGAGCAAGGAUAGACUCAGCAAUGGAUCAGAAGUUGUUGCAAUAUCUUAAAAAUUUGAUGGUACAUAUGCUUUUAAAUAAGAUCUCAUCUCUGAGUUAGAGUAAACGGUCAAGAACUAAAACUUACUUUACCUUUUACCAUGGGACUUGUAACCGUCACUUCUGUCUUGAGUAGUUAAAAGAUAGAACAGUCUAGCCAAGUGCCAUGUCUCUUAUUCUUGAUCAGCUAUAGCUCUGGAGUUUUUGCAGAUUUUCAAAUAAAACUCAGAGAUUCCUUGUAUGACUCUCUAAAUCUCUCUUUUGUGGUAUUUCUGGAUCCUUACCAAGGCAGUGAUGGUAUAUGCCUUCUCUCAAGAUAUGUGGUAUUUGUGGUAUAAGGCAUAGUGAUAUUGCCUUCUCUCUCACCCUACUCUAAUAAGGCUUUAAUAUCUGGAGCUCAUAGGUGGGAGACAGCUAAUACAUACUUACAAGACAUUUAUUGCAUAGUCAAACCAUGGAUCUAGAGAAACAAGUCAAUAAGUCAAAUCAAGAUGUCCAUGUGUGGCGAAUGAAUGGUGUACGGUGAUGAUGGUGAUAACAAUGGUGGAAGUCUAAUUCUACUUUUGCAUUUUUGAGGAGAUACAUACCUUCCUUGCUUUUUGAAACUUUAUGAGGAGAAUGAGAUGCUCUAUCUUUCAUUUUUUCUUUCCUCUCAGGUGGGUAUCCUCUACCCCUAAUUCUACUGUCGGACACUUGUCCAUUUUUACCUCUCGUCUCACUCUUUUUCCUUUCUUUCGAGGUUCCGGGCACUUGCCCCUUUUUAUUUCCUCGUAUAUUUUUUUCUCUUCUCUUUUUUAGAGCACUCAUCUCAUGAGAUAAUAUAGCAAGUGGUAGUAACAAGAUAACUUGAGCAUUUAUUUCACAAGGAAAAACAGAAAUAUUUUUGGUUAUUCUCUCCCGGAUUAAGAGUAGAAUAUUUUUGGGUGGUUCUGGAGAUGGAAAUGAGUGGAUAUAUGUGGAUGGUACUUCUGGAGUAGAAGUAGCAUAUAUGAGUAAAUGUGCAAGUGAAAUCUUGAUUUAACCACAUGACAAGCUCCUAAGGGUCUACACAGCUUGACCACACUCAAUGCUCAUAGUAAAUGUGUGGCUCAAAGUCUAGCAAGCAUGUAUAUAUGGCUGUCGUAGGAAUUUAAACUUUCAUCAUACAGGAACUCAUCAUGCAAUAUUUUAAAGAUUUUUCAAAGAUAAAAUUCUCCAGAAUUCUAGCAUCUCUAGGAACAGAUAAACAGCAGCUCAACCUUCCCAUAUCAUAUCCGUUAACAACUUAGAUUUCAGAUCAAGUUUUUAUCCCACAAAUUUAGAUCUAGAGCAAGCUUUAAAUUAUAACAGUUAUGUCUAAACUUAAGAGAGAACUUCAAAUUUGCAAAUUAGGCAGAGCAACUAUUCAUCAUAUCCAUGCUAGAGUUUUUUUUAUUAAGAUUCAGAUUAGCAUAGCCACUUUAUUUAUUUAUUAAACACACUAAGCAAAAGAUAUAUAUAAGCACAAAAUCUUUAUUUGGUUUUUCAUAGUUUAUGUAUUUUAAUAUUCUAAUAUAAUAUAAGUAUAAAGAUAGGUAGAAAUACUUAGCGAGAUAAAUGGGGGUGCUCUCCCCCAAGCUGAAUUUUGACGUAAUUUCUCUUGAUGUAGCUAGCAGGUGGCAGAGGUGUAUUUGAAAGUUAGCAGCAUUCUGACAGCGAUUAGAAUGUCCGCCAUCUGCUAGUCUUCUUGAUUCUUAAAUUCUGUGGAGCUCAAAUAGACAACAAAGCUUGUGGAACUAAUUAAGUGUUAGGAUAAAUAUCUAGCCUUCAUCAUGUUGAGCUUCCUCAAUAAAUAUUACUCCCUGUUUUUAUAUUUUUAUUUUAUAAAGCAGAAAAGAAAUAUUUAUUUUAUUUUUAUGCCACCACAGUGAAGGUACUUAUGGGUUUUAUGCCACUCGUAUACUCACAUGGGGCUUAGUAUUUUUUAACAUUUUUAUUUUCUUUUCAAGAUAGCAUGAUUAACUAAUAAUCUAUUUAAGGAAAGUAAAUAAUUAAAGGGAAAAGGGAAUGCAGAAAGGAUAAAUAUUUAUAACUACUGAUCUUACCUUUCGGCGAUGGUUCAAUAUUUUAAGUCUUCUUAACAAGACUUCUCACCGUGUUCAUUCUUCAGGUGCGUCAUUUGAUUCAGGUGCGGACCUUGACGUCUGCACCUCUUGAUACGGUGUCACCCAUGUUCUUCGUUUGCCCAGCAGUUCGAAGUGCGGCGUUGGCAGUAACCUGCUCAGUGUGUUUGUGCUCGUAGAUCCAGGUCCUUCACUUGGUAGAGUCUGAGAGUUAUAAAACUCCUCCGUGUUUUGCUCAAAGUGUACCUGCUCAUAGAGACAAGGCAGAGAUCAAGUGCAUGGGUCCUGUUGGUGGAAAACACCAACAGAACCAAAAGUGUAUUUGUUCUUCUCUAACCUUAAGCAUAGUGAGCAAGACAAAUUUGAUGGAUAAUAAGAUCAUGAGUGUAGUAAUUAAAACAUUUGUCAGAUCAGAUCGCUUCAACCUUAUAGAAAGAUAAUCUAUCUAUGUAUAUGUCUUUUUCUUUAUAUCUCUCAAAGAUUGAGUGUGUAACAUUUUAGCUCGUAUGAUUAGGAGUGUGGGAUCAUGGAGGUAGUACUAAGAACAAGGAUUAAAGGACUAAACAGGUUGAAUCAGUUGGGUUGGUUAAUCUAGAGUUGUAAAUCAUACAUGUUUGUCUCUUUUAUUUAUAUGAACGCAAGAACCAAGGAGAAGCUUAUAAAAGUGAUAGUCAAGUACCUUAAGAUGUUACCUUGCUUGAAGAGUGAUGGUACAGUAUCACCUUGUGGAAGCUUUUCUUUCUUAGCGGUUGUGCAUCGUGUUUGUGGCACCCUCCAUGGAUCAUCUCUCUAUGAUGAAUGAGCUAUGUCCUUCUUGUGCAAAUUGUUAAACUUCAUGUGUCACUCUCUUCGUCUCUGAUGUGAGUUUAUCUCAGGACUUCCCAAAUCGAUUUUGAAAGUUUUUCUGCAGGGGUUAGUCCGACAAAAAUAUACCAAUGUCUACACAAGCAGUUUUUAGUUCAAUAACCGAACUAGACUCCAUGUCUAAUCAGAUUAAGGAAGGCUGUUUAACCUAAGCACCAUGCUUAAUUUAAAAGCCAAUAGAAGUAUGUGCAGUACUUCCAAACUAACACUUACUAGUAAAUAGACAAAGGUAGCAUGACAGCAUUUAUAGAGAUCUACUCAAGUGGAGAUGAAGUAGUGUGAUUUGUAUUUAACAAAUUGAGCAUGUCUUAAAGGUAGGGACAACCAACAUAGCAACAAGGCAAAUGUUGUAAAGUACUCCCCCAAGCUUGAAUUUUGCAAAAUUCAAGUUUGGAUGAAUUUAAUGUUGUAUGAUGAUUGGUUGGACAUACCUUGUGCUUGUCAUUCAUCCGAUCUUCUUGCUCCAAUCCUGUAAAGGCUAGUGACAAGAAUACCCGAAGGAAUAUUUUUACAAUUAUCCUUAUAUGCUCAAUACACAAGGUAAUGUUGCAAAUAAUUAAAAACUCAUGUUACGAUCUGAUUAGUGCUUAUUUUAGGACACUAAGCUUGUCCUUGGGAAACCAUCAAUUUAUGUCGGCGAAGUGGUUUCCCUUCCAACGCUGACCUAAAUCAAGAUCAACUCAACGAGAUCUGCAAUAUUUAUUAUAGACAUAUGCAUCGACAACCGCCCUUUUAAAGUUUUUAUAAAUAGAAAGGAAGAGGGGGUUGGAGAUCUUAAAUGUGGUGAUGUUGGAGAGACCAAUAGAUUGGGAAGAUGUUGCAUAUGAGCAUGGAGUAAACAAAGUGGCUAUGAAAUAAAUUCCAUGAUCAUUAAUGUUAUUUUCGUCUCCAUUCUGAAUGUUUAGAGUUCCUCUUGGAUUGGUCUCACUUAUGUCCUCUUCUAUAGUUGGAUGAAUCCCAUCUUCAAAGUCAGUCAAGAACUCACCAUUUGAAAUUGAACCAAAGUCAGAAUUCAUUAAGGCUUCUUCCUUAUCCAUCCAUUCUACACAUUCUAGCCAUUUAGAACUUGUGAUCAGGAAAGGGGAGGUGUUAGAAUUUUCAAUAUGGCUUAGCUCUCCUUUACUUGAUGUGUCAUCCUCGACUUCUUCAUAACAGGAACCAGGACAUUCUCUAAGAGAACCAUUAUUGCGAGGAUUUGAAUUAUCCCUGCUUGAAGGUCUCUUAUGGAACCAGAAGUCUAAACCAUCAGCAUCUGAAAGAUUUAAGGUCGGAAUUCCUUCCUCCCUUGGUGAAUUUUGGGGUAUUGAUGGUUUAGGAUCGAUAGCUAAAGUUUGGAAUUGAAGUGGUUGUGAUCUGGCUAUCGAAACUUCUUCUUCUUGUCUACGAACUGGUUCUGUCUCUUUCUCAGGGAUAUAAAAGCUAGUAGACUUUCCACUUAAUAAAUCAAUCAAAUUCCAAGCUUCACUAGCAGGUAGGUGAUAGAAGGAUCCUCUAGAGGCUGUAUUCAAGGUUUGCUUAUUUUCCCUACUAAGGCCCUCAAAAAAGUGAAUUAGAAGAACUUCUUCUGGAAUAGAAAGCUUUGGGCCAGUGAGAGUAAGGUUAAUAAAGCGGUCCCAUGAUUUCCUAAGAGAUUCUUCUUCCAGUUGUCUAAAAGAAAUAAUCUCACGCCGAAGUUCCGCCACUUUGGAGAUUGGAAAAUAUUUAGAAAGAAAACUACUAUAUAACUCCUUCCAAUCUCCAUGAACACUCCCUACUUUGAGUUUGUACCAAUGUCUAGCUUUUACCGUUAAAGAGAACGGAAAGAGCUUCCAUUUGAGGGUCUCAUCAGACAUUCCUUCUAUGCGAAGGAGGUCACAGACUUGAUAAAACUCUCUUAGGUGUGUGUAUGGGUUUUCCUCACCUUCUCCCGAGAAAGGUUGUUUUUGAACAAAUUCUAUGUAUUCGGGGUCUAUCUCAAAACUAGAUGCUAUGAUAGGCUUUGAAGAUUUUGGUGGUUCGAGAUGUAUGCCCGUAGGUCUAUGAAAUUCAUAGAUAGACAUGUUUGAAUUCAUGAUAGACCAGAGAUCAAGGAUUAGAUAAGAAGAAAGAUUAGCAGAGAUGAGGCAAAGGAUAAAAGGAAAAUAUAUUUUUUUAUAUAUUUUUAUUUAGAAAAUGAUUAAGCUAGUUCGCAGUCAACUCAGCAACCGUUUCCUUGGCAACGGCGCCAAAAAUGCUUGUUGACACUUGCUAACACCACUUGAAUACUAGGUUAUCAUCCCCAGCAUGGCACUAGAGUGUACUAUGGUAUUUAUACGCACACAGAUAAUCCACAAGCGCACGGAUACCGUUGAAGCUUUUACCCAGUUAAAGGUUUUAUCGUAUCCACAGGGAAACGGGAGAACCAACUACGCUCUAACUUAACCAAGAUAAGUAAAUAGAUGUAAAUAGGAAAGAUGGUAGAAUCGAAUAAGAACAAUAUUACAGGUAAGAUAACAGUGAGUGAUAAUAUGGGAAUAGAGAAUAGAGCAAUUCUAGUAUAUGGGCGAUGGUAGCAGAAUAGAGAGGAUAACUAUGGUUUCUCUACUUCAAAGGGGUAUGUCUAUGUGUGGGAUGAACCACGUGAUAAGAGUACACCACAAAGGAUGCUUAUCCUUAGGCCGAUAAACCCUACCCGUCCUGCUAACAAGAGGUGGACUACAGAGGACCAACGUAACUGUCACCUACGCGGCCUACCACACGAUCCAGCUAGACAGGGGAUAUCCACAAGUAAUCUAGGUCUAAGCACCACGCUUACACCAAUACUACAACUCUCACCUAUAGCGUCCUAUAGAUUAAAGUACUCAAAAGAGUUGUGAACCAGAACAUACAUGAUUAAUAAUUGCAUAAUGAAUUAUAAGUAGAUUACUAGAGUCAUCCCAUGAGCAAGCUUGAUUAGAGCUUGAUCAUGAUGAAGUACAACUGGAGGAAGAACCGACAGGCCGACCUCUCCUCUAAUCCUCCUUCGCUCUCCAUCUCGCUACUAUCUAGAUCUACUCUAGUUUAGAGAAGAGAGGAGAGCUCUCAUCUCUAAACCCUAGCUUUUGCUCUGUCUAUGAAUAAUGAUCAAGGGGUGCCUCCUCCAAGGGCCAGGGGGUCUGGUUAUAUAGUCCCCUCAAGUGAACCUGGGCCGUCGGAUCAAACCGACAUUGAUUGAACGGUUAUUCUUGAUCCUUUAGGUCGGUGGAGAUCUCCCGAGAGAAAGAGUCCUGAUUGGGCUCCAAGUCAGGGCGGGCGCCCAGGGCAGGAGGGCGGGCGCCCUGCCUCUGGCCCCGUUCGGCCUCCGCUUCCUUCCCGUGGCUUCUGGAGUCUUCUAGAUGUAAGAUAAUUGCGCGGCAUGUUAAUAUCUCUAUGUAAUCCCGACGUGCGGGCCUUUCUUCCGUAUUUCCUGAUAACCCCCUGCAGAAAUAGACAAACACCAAAACUCAUGAAAUUCUGUCAGAUAAAACCCUAAGUCUAGAUGUUGAUUUCAUUUAGAUCCUUUUCUUUGUUUAUUUGAUAAUUAAAUUUGAUACUUAAGGACCGUCAACAGCAGCACAGUUUCAGGCCGUGCCGAGGGACUCCAUUGCUCCGCCUCCACCUCCUUUGUCUUAGGUUUUUGGUGCUUAAUGCCAAAGGGGGAGAGAGUGAGAGUAUGUUAUUAGGGGGAGCUAGAGCUAGCUAGUGAAGGCUCUUGAUUAUUUUGUGUGCUACUCCAUGCAUCAUGUUUACGUUUAUGCAUUGCAUUUGUGUGAGAUACUCUUGUGAGAUACACUUAUGGUUGUGAGACAUGACCCUUUUUGCUUCAUUGUGAUUUCUUUAUGUCAUGUGUUUGGCUCAUAUUACUUUGCUUCCGCGUUUUUACGCCGUUGUUCUGUGAGCCACAUGUGUUUAUAUCCUGUUGUAUACAUCCCACAUAUAUGGAUGCAGGAUGGUAGACUUGGUUGAUAUAAGCAUGCAUAAUCCUUUUUGUUCUUAUUGUCUCAUGCUUAUAGAAACCAAGUCAUUUGAAAACCUCAUUUCCUUUCAUACUCGAGGUUAUUGUCAUCAAUCACCAAAAAGGGGAGGUUAUUGUCAUCUAGGCCCCUAAUGAUUUCGGUGAUUAAUGACAAUGUUGAUUACUCUGACUAACGUGUGUUUUCAGAGGCAAAGUCAUUAGUAAGGUCAUGGUAAUAGGUACUCGAUGAACAGGGACAUACAUGCCUACUUAAUAGUGGAAAUCGUUUCGGUUUUCAAAGGAUGGAUGGACAUCGUCAAGACUAGACUAGGUCUAAGUGCCAUAUGAUGAAGAAGGGCACUUAGAGUAGUUUAGGACUUUGUUUUCCUUUGACCGUACUAUUAAGAGGGGCUUUGAUCUAGUAGCUUGACUUAGGCAAGGCUUUAGGUUUAGGUGUGGUGCACACUUGGUAAACCUAGCACUAGGCAGCUCAGAGAUAGUCCUUGGAUUGAGAAGAACCAACUUUGUUUUGGAACAGUUGCGUUUCGACGAAGUUAGGGUGCCUAAGUAGGCACCAGACGCUGCACCGGAUGCUCUGUGAGUGCAUCCGGUGAGGUCCUUUAGCCGUUGGAGUCUUUGGUGCCUAGGGUUAGGCACCGGAUGCUAGCACCGGACUCACCAGGUAGCGUCCGGUCCCAUACCCAGGGAGUGUGUAAACUUGCCCUGAGCACCGGAUGCUAGCACCGGACGCACCGGGUAGCGUCCGGUCUUAAACUCAGGAAGUUUGUAAAACUCCUCGGAGCACCGGACGGUGUCACCGGACGCUUGGUGCAGAGCGUCCGGUGCAACAUCAACAGUGUCCGGUGACCCCAUUUUCAGUGGAAAACGGUUGGCCGACCCUUGGACUUCGUGGGGGCGUAUUUAUACUCCUCCACCUCGUCCAUGAGAGGUCUCUUGCCCAUUUGAACAUCUGAGAAACUUGUUGUGGAGCAAGAGAGUAGCAAUAGCCUAGAGAGGAUUGAGAUUUGAGAGAAUUCUUAUGAGAAUCCUUCUCUAGUUGAAUUCCAAGAGUCAAGUGUGCAUCCACCACUCUCUAGUGCCUUGUUUGGGUCAAGUGAGAGUUCUUUGCUUGUUACUCUUGGUGAUCGCCAUCACCUAGACAGUUCGGUGGUGAUUGGAGGCACGAAGACCGCCCGAAGUUUUUGUGGGUGGCUCGUGUCAAGCUUGUGAGCGGUUUUGGGCGAUUCACCGAGACGAAGUGUCGAAGAAUCAGCCCAUAGAGAGCCAUUGGUCCUUGCACGGACCAAGGGGGAGCAAGACCCUUUGCGCGGGUGCUCCAACGAGGACUAGUGGAGAGUGGCGACCCUCCGAUACCUCGGCAAAACAUCGCCGAGCACUUUCUUCCACUACUCCUUUACUUUCUAGCAUUUACUUUGUGUUUUUACAUUCCUAGAAUUGCCAUGCUAGAAUAGGAUUGGAACUAGGUUGCAAAUCUUUUUAUCCGGUAGCUCUCUAAUCACACUAGACACAAGGGGUUGAAUUGGAGCUUAUAGGUUGCUUAAAUUUUUAGAGAAGCCCAAUUCACCCUCCUCUUGGGCAUCUUGAUCCUUUUAGCCUUGAUGAGCGCGUAGUUGCGUGUGGUCUGAGAGAGGGCAUCCCCUAUGGGCAUGCCAUGGAUGUUGCCUAGGUACUUGGUGUCAAUGGUGAUGUAUCUCUGCUUCGCUCGAUGACUAGGCGUCCGCUUAGCCACCGAUAGUUGCUGGGGAUCCUGCCGGUGACCUCGGAUGCAAGAUGUGUAAGACAUAAUCUACAACUAAUCCUUUCUUUCUCUAAUAGUGAUCAUAGGCAGGCAAUAGGUCAGCCCUUGGUCAUAUAGGAGUAUGGCAAUAGGCCUUUCUAGUACAGUAGUGGGUAGAAGCAUACAUCAGCCAUACUUGGUAGGCGGAUGAUGUAUGUGGUGUACUAGGAGUAGUUGGGGCUGUACUCAGCCAUGCCUUGUGUACGUUAUAGUUGGUACAAGGCCUGUAUAUAUACACUAUGUAUGCAAUGAAGGGAAAGCAAUUCAAGUGCCACAUUUCCUGGGUUCAAGUUUUAGCCAGCGCUGAAACUGAGUGUGUGUGUGUGUGUGCCUGAGCUCGGCUCAUCUUCUACCUUGGGUCAGGGUAGAGGAAGAGGGAAGGUGAGUAGGGACUACUCACCAGGUGCUUGUGUCCAGGUGCCAACAAUUGGUAUCAGAGCCGUACAAGCCAUAGCUAGGUCCACCAACCAGCAAUGGCAGAGAGUGCGAUCCGGAACGACAGUGGGGAGGGAGGUGAUCGCUAGCUCUAGCCAGUACCACCGCAGGUCAAAGUACGCGUGGUCAAGGAGUAUGGCGGUAGCAGCUCCUGACCCAUGCUCACCCGCACCAACUAUGGUGAGUGGGCAGUGCAGAUGAAGUGGAAGUUAUGGGUGCAGAAGUGGUAGCGGGCGGUUGAGGAGGAUGACCAGAGCGAGGAUGUCCAUGUGGGGGUCAUGGAGGCGCUCAUGGCCUCAACGUCAGCGGAGUACCACGAGGCGCUGGGCGCCAAGGAGACCGCGAAGCAAGCCUGGGAGAUGCUGGAGUCGCUGCGCGUCGGCUCGGACUGAGCCAAGCAGGCCAGGAUUCAGCAGCUGCGCCAGGAGCUCAACGACAUCCGGUUCAAGUCUGCAGAGUCGGUGGAGGACUUAACUCUUUGUCUCCAAUCUCUGGCCACGUAGCUGGCCACCUACGGCAAGAAGGUGGAGGACGAGGACCUCGUCACCAAGCUGCUAUGCGUCAUGCCGGUGAAGUACUCGCAGCUCGCCAUGUCCAUCGAGACGAUGUUGGACAUCUCCACACUGUCUCUAGAGGAUGUGGCUAGGCGGCUACGGGUGGCAGAAAGCCGCAGCACGGCAGCCCCGGAGAAAGAGAAGCCCAAGUUGCUGCUGACCGAGGAAGAGUGGACCGCGCCCAUGAAGGACAAGCAGCAGAGAUGGCGCAAGGGGCACGGGAAGUAGCCGACGGACAAGAAGAAGAAGAAGAAGAACACCGACCCCAAUGCCUGUAGGCGCUGCGGGAAGGUGGGGCACUGGGCACAGGAAUGCCCAGAGAAGAAGCCAGAGAAGAAGGAAGAGGCCCAUCUAGCUUGGGACGACAGCGACGACGAGUGCGCUUUGUUGAUGGGGGAGUAUUGUGCGUUGCAGGAAGGCAAAGGAGGGGAAGCUGAGGCGGAGCAGCGGAUUGCGCCGCAGGCCGUCGAACUUGACGAGUCACGCGCUCGUUCUCCUUGGAGCGGCUGGUGACAAGCUGGAGCAGAGGUGGUAUCUGGACUCAGGUGCGAGCAACCACAUGACAGGGAGCCAUGCCAUCUUCUCCGAGCUCGAUGAGACAGCCACCAGAAGCGUGAAGUUCGGUGAUGGCUCAAGGGUGCAGAUCCGUGGCCACAGCACCAUCCUCUUUCGGUGCCAGAACGGCGAGCAUCAUGCCCUGAUGGACGUUUACUUCAUCCCCCAGCUGUGCACCAGCAUCAUCGGCCUGGGGCAGCUGGACGAACACGGCAGCGAGGUCCUGAUUCACGAAGGAAUGUUGCGGAUCAGGGACAGGGAGUGGCAUCUUCUCGACAAGGUAUAGCGCUCCCGUAACCGUCUCUAUCUCCUGGAUUUGAAGAUAGAGCAGCCUGUGUGUUUGGCAGCGUCGUGCAAGGAGGAGCCAUGGCCGUGGCAUGGCUGGUUCGGCCACCUCAGCUUCGACGCACUAGGCCGUCUUGGGAAGAUGGUGACAGGGCUGCUGGUGAUCCAGCAUGUCAGCGAGCUGUGCGACAGCUGCUUGGUGUUGACGGUCCAUAAUGCUCAUAUUUAACCGUCAACUAAUCAUGGAAAAGGACCUAUAUGCAACCAACAUCCAAAAUUAGGGUUUCAUCUGACAUAAUUCCACGAGUUUUGGUGUUUGUCUAUUUCUGCAGGGGGUUAUCAGGAAACAUGAAGGAAAGGCCCACAUGUCGGGUUUACAUAGAGAUAUUAACGUGUGUGCCAAUUUUCUAUCAUCUAGAAGACUCCAGAAGCCACGAGAACGAACGGGAGGCCGAUCGGGCCUGGGGGCAGGGCGCCCGCCCUCCCCCCUUGGGCGCCCGCCUAGCUACAGGAGCCAAUCAAGCUCCGCCUCGCGGAUCAUGCUCCACCGACCUAAAGGAUUAAGGAAAACCGUGCGAUUAAGGUCGGUUUGAUCCAACGGCCCACGUUCAUUUGGAAGGGCUAUAUAAGUAGGCCCGCUGGCCCCUGGAGAACAUACCUCUUCUACAAAAUCAAAGCUAGGGUUUCUAUUAUUCAUCCAAGUACAGAGGAUCCCUCUAGUUCAUCUAGUUCUAGUUCUAGUUCAUCUAGUUCUAGUUAGUUCUAGUUGUAAUCUAGAAAAUAGGGAGAGAGAAGAGGAGAACGGAGGAGGAGCCAGAUUUGUCGGAUCUUCCUCAACAUUGUACUUUUGCAGCAACUGGUUCGUUCUUCAUCGUUCUCCAAGUUCUUCAAUUCAUAAUUCCUAAGUUCUUUAAUUACUUUUAUUUACAUUCAAGUUGUUUAUUGGAUUCCCGCUUGCAUCAAGUGCUCUAGUCUUUGCAACGCUAGAGUAGUAAUUAACAGAUUAGACGUGGUGUUUAGUCUUGCAAUUACCUGGAAUUGCACCCAAUCAUGCGGAUUGUUGUGGUAACCCUAGGGUAGUGACAGCCCUCACGGUCGACGUAUUCCACCUCGUUCAGAUCGGUGUUUGUAGGACCGUAGUUAGAGCUUCCUAGCCCCCUUCUCAUCUCUUUCUGUGGUUAGUGUUCUGAUGUCCCAAAAUAAAUAAUCUUUGAAGUAAUUCUUGAUUCUUAGAUCAACUAUAGAACUCUCAGGAAACUUCGUCUCUUCCCACCAAAAAUAAUUAUAUAGUUAUCCUUGGGCGAUCUUGAAUCUUAAUUAGUACACUCACGUUCCCUAUGGAAAAUCGAUACCCUGGAAUACUCCUAGGUGAAAGCUACAUCGGUAUCCGUGCGCUUGCGGAUUUUUCUGUUUGCGUUUAAAAUACCCAACACUUGGUAGGGAAACAAAGGAGGAUGCUGUUCCUGAAGGCCGCCAAAUACCGCUCGGCGGAUCCGCUUGAGCUGGUCCACGGGGACUGUUGAUAUUUGGGAACGCAAUAAGGAAUUGAUCCGCAAGCGCACGGAUAUCGGUGAGCACUUCACCCGGGAAGUUAUCCAGAGUAUCGUAUUUAUUUUUUUACCACUAGGAGAAAGAGUGCAUCUGACUAACCGGUCUAUUACUACUAACCUUUUAGGCACAAAGAAUGUCUUUCGAUGUGAGUGAUAAAUAGAGAAGACUGCAACCGUAGUCUCUUUCUAACCUUGGUAAGGAUGAUCUACUGUUCUAAUGGGGAGGCUAACGGAAUCUAGACACCACAAAGGAUGUUCAACCCGCACCUAUAAACCCUAUCCUUCCUGCUAACGAGAUGUGAUCUGCAAAGGUAACUCGGAAUUGUCACGUUCCUCACUACUACCACGGUCCAGCUAGUCAGGGAAUAUCUAUGAGUACCCCAGCCUAAACACCACGUUUACACCAGCAAUGAUUACUCUAAACUCUACGCGAAGAGAUUAAAGUAAACUCAUAAACCAGAAGAGCAAUAAAACAAGAACUUACUAGAAUUUAGAAGUCGAAAUACUGAAGAAUCCUAGGAGCAAGCUUCGGGUUAGGAGAACUUGAUCCCGCAGGUACAAGCUUGGAGUAGACACCGACAGGCCGGGCUUCCUCCAAUCUACACCUCCACUCUAUCUCUCUCAAUCUAGUAGAAACUAGAAGAUCUAUUUCUACCUUACAUUGAUUGCUAAGCCUAAAAAGAAAUAUUAAUUAGAGAAGAGAUUUUCCUUUGAGGGCACCCCUCAGUCUCUAUGAUAAUUUCUUCAUGUCUUCUCCAGGGGCCAGGGGGUCUCCUUAUAUAGUCCUCCUCCUAUAUGCGUUUUUGGAUCGGUAGGCGAGGUGGUACUAUGUUUUUCUUGAUCCAAUAGGUCGGUGGAACAUCCCGUGCGAAGAGAGUCCUGAUUGACAUCCAGCAGGGGGCGGGCGCCCAGGUCACCAGGGCGGGCGCCCUGGGCCUGGCCCCUUUCGGCCUCCGUCUUCUUCCCGUGGCUUCUGGAGUCUUCUAGAUGGUAGAAAAUUGCGCGGUGCGUUGAUAUCUCUAUGUAAUCCCGACAUGUGGGCCUUUCUUCCUUAUUUCCUGAUAACCCCCUGCAGAAAUAGAUAAACAACAAAACUCGUGGAAUUCUGUCAGAUCAAACCCUAAUUCUAGGUGUUGGUUGUAUAUUGGUCCUUUCUCUUGUUUAUUUGAUGAUCAAAAUUGAUACUUAAGAACCGUCAACAAAUACCCCCAUACUUAGGCUUUUACUCAUCCUCGAGAAAAGGAUGGUUAAGAAUAAUAUCUGGGGUAAAACAUUUUAAAACAUUCUUUAUAUUUGCAGGGUGUUAAAAUUCCACUGUGUACCAUAGUCAGGUAUGUUUAUGGUUAAGAGUAAAGAUCCUUUCUUCUCAAUCCUGUCACUUGGAGUUUUUGUAUAUUUUUGAAAGAAAGUUAGCAUACCUUUUGAUCCUCAUAGGUUCUCUCAGAUCACUCAUUAUCUUUCAUAUAUCUCACUGCGGUUGUCUGAAUUUGCAAAAAUUCUCCAAUAUACUUACUUUGCAUUUAUUGCCUGAUCAAAACGGGAUCCAAGGAGGGGAAUGUCAUACUCUUAGAUCAAAGACUUUGAAAAUUAAAAUCUUUGUCAACUCUUACUGGCAUAUUGCUUAUUAGAGGGACCAUGGGCUAUCAUUUUUUUAAGUGGAUACCGAGGUACCCCUAAUUCUACUGCCGGACACUUGUCCAUUUUUUCUGCGAGGUUGUCGAGCACUUGCUCCUUUUUAUUUCCUCGAAAUAUCUCUAUUUUUGCAUAGCCCAUGCCUCUAAUGCAAUAAUACUUCGGAAGAGUGAAUUUUUCUGAAUAAAUGUCUUGAUCUUAGGAGCAUGAUAAAUCUCUCAACAAGGGUCUAACUCAUUUUGAACAAACUCAAUACAGAGUAGAUAGCUUUUUAUAAUCAUAAUUAAUAUAUUUAGGCAUAUAAAACACUGAGGAUGGUAGCUAGAAUUUUGAAUAUUUUGAAAUAAAUUCUCCAAGCAACAAUGAUAUCAAGAAUAAGAAACUCAUACUCUACCAUCACAUAUUCCAUAAUGAAUUAAGUAACAUAGGGUUUUAAAAUGAUUUUAUAAUAAUUGCAAGUUUUUAGGAAAUAUCACAGAUUGAGAUUAAUCAUGAUUAGAAAUAUUUUAAUCUUUUUAAUUUAUCAUGUCGGAAACAAUAUUCUGCCUAAUCAAGAUAUGUGUAUGUGUAAAGUAAAGUGUGCAGAGUGUGUACCUGAAUCGUGGAGUGGUGUAGUCGGAGUGUGUUUAGGCAUGUCGAGUGAUCUCUCCCAUACUUGUUUUCUGCUUUCUUGCACAAAAAAUAAAGUAGAGACACACGAGACAUAAUAAUAAUAAUAUUCUUUAUUAAUCUUGAGGCAUUUAUUACAAAAGACUAGUAGCAAACUGAUAAUAGCAAACUGAUGAUAAUAGCAAACCUAAACCGAAUUUAAGGACAUAUGACUAAAAUGUAUUGCCUCAUGGUCUAAUCUAGAUAACUUAGCGGCGCUCUAAUUCCUUAAUCUUCUUGUUGGCACUGGCAAGAUCCUGCCUAAGGCCUAGUAUAAUGGUGUUGUGGUUAGAGAGCCGCCUAGUGAGGGAAUUAAUCGAGGACUGGAGAUCUAUGAUAACUCUGUCUAGUCUGCGAACGUCCUCAUCAAUAUCGACUAUAGUCUUGCGACGCUUGGGAGGUGUCUCAAAAGCAUUGAGAGCGUGCUUCGGGGCUGCCUUUGGAGGGAUGAAACGGACUUUGGCUGCUCGAAUCCCUUCAAAGUAAGGCCUUUCCUCCUCUGUAGUGUAGCGUACACUGCUGAUCUCGCCGCUCCGGUUGGUCUUGACUCCAACGACCCUUUCAUUGGGUCUAGGUGGAAGGAUCCUAGUGCCGGUUGGCACCUUGAUAGUGGUCUUUGUCUUGGAUGAUGAUCCUUUGAGGAGUAGGGGUUGUGGCGGUGCGGUGAGAACUGGUUGAGCAUGGUAGGAUUGGGCGGAGCUGCGUUGGCGUAAUGGCAUGGCUUCUAGCUGUCGCUCUGUGUUGGCCGGGACGAGAGCACGGGCAUCGGGGUCUUCCACAGGCUCCAUGUUGAGGUUGAAGGGGAGGACUUCCCAAUCAUCGUGGUACUUCUCGGCCAUUGGAGUAGCAAGGAACUAAUCAAACUCUAAUUGAAGGAGAGAAGGCUUGGUGGCUUGGUGUUUGAAAACUGAGGUCAGGGGUCUGUUUAUAUAGGGGUCAAAAGGUGCCUCUAUGGGUUGUUCGGGUUGCUCCCGUUGACGUGCGUGUGAAACUUUCCAUCCGAGGGAUUAUUCGAAUUACCAUAAGUGCAUUUUCCAUAACAGAGAAAAUCGGGACCGAGGGGGAACAGGAGCUGGGCGCCCGCCCACCUGAGCUGGGCGCCCGCCCUCUCGCUGGCCCCUCUGUGGGCCCACUUUCUCGAGCGCGUUUCUAGAUGCGAAAUUAUUUAGAAAAAUAUAUAUAUGACCCAAAAUCAUCAGACUAAAAAGGUCCGGCUCUAAUUCUCCAUAGGAAGGUAAAAAUGGACUACGUCUAUUUCUUCAAAUUCUUCAUUGGGUUCUAAAAAUAAUUUAAGACGUUGACCAUUUACCUUGAAUAACGUACCUUCGCUAUUUUAAAGUGUGAUAGCUCCGUGGGAUGAUGAAUUAAUUACCUUGAAUGGUCCUUCCCAUUUGCUCCGGAGUUUUCCAUGCCCGAAAAGCUUCACCCUGGAAUUAAAAAGUAAUACCUUAUCUCUGGGUGUGAACUCCUUCUUCUUGAUUCUCUUGUCAUGCCACCUUUUGACUCUUUCUUUGUAGAUCUUUGAAUUGUGAUAUGCCUUCUCUCGCCAUUCUUCCAAUUCUGAUAGUUGCAUUCUUCUAUAAUCUCCAGCAACAUCUAGGUCCAUAUUCCAUCUCUUUAUGGCCCAGUGUGCUUUGAACUCUAGUUCAACAGGUAGAUGGCAAGUCUUCCCGUACACCAAUUGGUAUGGAGACAUUCCGAUUGGGGUCUUGUAUGCUGUCCGGUAUGCCCAGAGUGCAUCGGGUAACUUGUCUUUCCACGCCGUUCCCAUUUCAUUUACUGUCUUCUGAAGAAUAUUCUUGAUUUGUUUGUUGGAAGUCUCUGCUUGGCCACUUGUCUGAGGAUGAUAGGGGGUAGCGACGUUGUGACGGAUUCCAUGUCUUGAUAGAUAUUGCUUGAAGCGUUUGUCGAUGAAGUGUGCUCCUCCAUCACUUAUCACUACUCUGGGGACUCCAAAUCUUGGAAAUAUAAUUUCUUCGAACAUCCUCUUUGAACUGACGUUGUCGGCAUGCUUGCAAGGUAAUGCUUCUACCCACUUGGAGACAUAGUCAACCGCCACCAAGAUGUACUCGCACUUCUUUGAUGGAGGAAAUGGACCCAUGUAGUCUAUUCCCCAGACAUCAAAGAGCUCAAUCUGAAGGUUGUUGGUGAGUGGCAUUGCAUCCCUCGUAUUUAUGUUUCCGUGUCUUUGACAUGGCCCACAUCUUCUGAUAUAUUGCUUCGUGUCUUCAUACAUUGUAGGGCAGUAGAAUCCACACUGCCAGAUCUUUGAAUGUGUACGGAAUGCUCCAUAGUGACCUCCAUAUGGUGAUGAAUGACAUCUGUCGAUGAUCUUCCACCCUUCUUCAGUGGUCACACAUCUCCUGAGUAAGCCAUCAGAGCAUACUCGGAAGAGGUAUGGCUCAUCCCAUAUAUGUGAACGACUUUCUUGAAUAAGCUUCUUCUUGUUUGCUCCUGGUGGUACAUACCCUGAAACCAUAAAAUUAACAAUAUCUGCAUACCAGGGGUCAGACCUGUUAAUCCCGUAGAGCAUGUCGUCCCGGAGUGAAUCAUUGAUGGGGGUUUCCUGUGGACUCUUAAAGUACAUUCUAGACAAGUGAUCAGCAACAGAAUUUUCUACUCCCUUUUUAUCUUUUAUUUCUAAGUCAAAUUCUUGGAGUAAUAAGAUCCAUCUAAUCAGGCGAGGUUUAGCAUCUUUUUUAGUGAGCAAAUAUUUUAGUGCAGCAUGAUCAGUGUAAACAAUUAUUUUAGCUCCAACUAAAUAAGAUCUAAAUUUAUCAAUGGCAAAGACAACAGCCAGAAGCUCUUUUUCAGUGGUUGCAUAAUUAAGUUGAGCUCCUGUCAAAGUUUUACUGGCAUAAGCAAUUGCAUGAUGCUUCUUAUUUUUAGUUUGUCCUAAUACUGCCCCCACAGCAUAAUCACUAGCAUCACACAUAAUUUCAAAAGGCAACGACCAAUCAGGGGGUUGAAUGAUUGGUGCAGAGAUGAGUGCUUUCUUUAAUAAAUUAAAAGAUGUUAGACAUGCAUCAUCAAAUUUGAAAGGAGCAUCCUUGGCUAGCAAAAGAGUAAGUGGUCUAGCAAUAAAUGAAAAAUCUUUUAUGAAUCUACGAUAAAAACCAGCAUGGCCAAGAAAGCUUCGAAUUCCUUUUAUAUUCACAGGUGGAGGUAGUUGUUCAAUUACUUCAAUUUUAGCAUUGUCUACCUCAAUACCUCUUUCAGACACUAAAUGUCCUAGCACUAUUCCUUCUCUAACCAUAAAAUGACAUUUUUCCCAAUUAAGGAUUAAGUGCUUUUCUUCACAUCUUUGCAAAACCUUGUCUAAGUUUUCAAGACAACUAUCAAAAGUUUUUCCAUAAACAGAGAAAUCAUCCAUGAAAACUUCCAUAAUCUCUUCAAUCAUAUCAGAAAAUAUAGACAUCAUGCAUCUUUGAAAAGAAGCUGGUGCAUUACAUAACCCAAAAGACAUUCUACGGUAAGCAUAGGUUCCAUAUGGGCAUGUAAAAGUGGUUUUGCUUUGAUCGUCGGGAUGGAUCGGGAUCUGAUGAUACCCUGAAUAUCCAUCUAAGAAACAGAAGAACGAAUGGUUUGCUAACCGCUCUAGCAUCUCAUCUAUAAAAGGUAAAGGAAAGUGAUCUUUUCUCGUGGCUUUGUUUAGUUUUCUAUAGUCUAUGCACAUCCGCCAUCCUGUGACGGUGCGUUGCGGAAUUAGCUCGUUCUUUUCAUUCAUAAUAACAGUCAUGCCUCCCUUCUUAGGCACAACUUGCACUGGGCUUACCCACUCACUGUGCGGCAAAGGAUAUAUAAUCCCUGCAUGCAGCAACUUUAUAACUUCCUUUUUAACUACCUCUCUCAUAGUGUUAUUAAGUCUAUGUUGGGGUUCUCGAGAGUGGUGAGGUCGUUGUCCCGAUCUUCAUGACGUAGGAUAACUAGCUGAAGAUCAGCCGAUAACUUGCUGCAAGCAGCGAGGAUAACUAGUGCAACCUGACGACACGCACAAGGAGCCAACCACCGUCUCUAUACGGCAGCCUGAACCAAGGAUUCGCCCAACCACACUCUCAAAGAACCAACCUACGCAACCUGAACUCGAGGAUCAGGAGCACGGAUUGGGUGCUGAUGACGCGGCCGCUUCUGUAAUCUCCGCGAAGGAAAACACAAGAGCAAAGGGGUAGAGAUCACUCUCUGAAUUUGUUAGCACACAACUGAACAAAGGGGUUCUGUAUUUCAAUUAUCAAAGUCUUCGAUUACAAUGAGUCUUAGGGGGUAUUUAUACUAGCAACAGCCCUGCUAGAUAGGUAUGAAAACGAAAUAGAAUUUCUGAGGGAAGGCAAUGUGAAAGGUCCCCUCGAAAUGGAUUCCCGAAGUGACUUCGCGUGACUGUUGGCCUCCAGAGCAGUUUCCAAUAAACUGACCAUAACUUUUUAUUGGGAAGUCCAAAUGAUGAACCGUUUCUUGGGUGUGAAACUAGACUCCAAGACCUUUCCAGCAACGUAUGCCAUGCACCACAAAACGCUGUAGAUUGGUACAGUUUUACUUGGCAAGUUGUACCAACAUUCUGUCACGACAGACUGUUGACCUUCUGAGCAGUCUGUACUAAUUCUGGUCUAGAGGCAAUAUGGAGCAUCCAAACUGGUCGCCACUAGAUUUAUUGGAAAGUAGACUCGUCAAGCUUUCCAACAAGCGCUCAUGGACCUUAAUAUCUUUUGUGAGUGAAAAGUUAUGAAGAUUCUUUGCACUGGUCCGUUUUUGACUUGCACUGGUCCGUUUUUGACUUCUUCUGGAACUUGCACUGGUCCGUUCUUCAGGGUCCGAUUCAUCCUUCUCUUCUUCUAUAUACCUGAGUACAAUCAAGGUACAACACUUAGGUAGUAUAUAAUUCUCAUUAAUAUUAAAAUUAAUCUCAAAAAGUAGCGCAUUCACCUCUUGUUGUAGCUUCUUGGCUCGGCUACGUGUAAUUGCUCCAUCAAUGGCUUGGGCUGGUGCCGGCGUAGUCGGUGUAGAGGUUGGUGUGGAAUUAGAGGGAGCAUGCUUGGUUGGGAUGUCCUCAUCAUCCUCCCCCUCUUGAAAAGGAGUCGACCUCGACUCUAAUUCUUCUAAUCCGAAGAAUGGUGUCAAGUCAGCAACAUUGAAGGUUGUGCUAACACCAUAAUCUUCAGGAAGCUCAAUCUUGUAGGCAUUAUCAUUGAUCCUGGACAGCACUCUGAAUGGACCAUCUCCCCGUGGCAUCAACUUGGAUUUACGCUUGUCAGGAAAGCGGUCUUUGCGAAGAUGUACCCACACUAAAUCUCCGGGCUCAAAUAUCACCUUCUUGCGAUGCUUGUUUGCCCAAUCAGCAUAGUACUUGGACCUUCUUUCGAUUGCUUCUUUGGUCUUCUCAUGAAUCUUCUUGACAUAUGAUGCACGCUUGGAUGCUUCCAUGUUAAUCCUUUUCUGCAAUGGUAGAGGCAACAAAUCGAUCGGAGCAAGGGGUUUGAAUCCAUACACAACUUCAAAAGGACACAUAUUAGUUGUAGAAUGUACUGCCCUGUUGUAAGCGAAUUCCACAUGUGGCAAGCACUCUUCCCACUCCUUCAGGUUCUUCUUUAUCAAGGCUCGUUGCAGCAUAGAAAGUGUUCUAUUCACAACUUCAGUUUGUCCAUCCGUUUGAGGAUGACAAGUGGUGGAAAACAGCAGCCUUGUUCCAAGCUUUGCCCACAAUGUCUUCCAAAAGUAGCUCAAGAACUUGGUGUCACGGUCUGAAACAAUUGUUUUGGGCACGCCGUGUAAUCUUACAAUAUCCCUGAAAAAUAGAGAGGCUACGUGGGAAGCAUCAUCGCUUUUAUGACAAGGUAUAAAAUGUGCCAUUUUAGAGAACCUAUCAACAACAACAAAAAUUGAAUCCAUUCCCCUCUUUGUCCUAGGUAAACCCAAAACAAAAUCCACGCUAAUAUCUUCCCAAGGGGUAUUAGGAAUAGGCAAGGGAGUAUAUAAUCCAUGAGGGUUCAGUUUUGACUUAGCUUUGUGACAUGUGAUGCAUCUUUGCACAAGUCGUUGAACAUCUCUUCUCAUCUUUGGCCAGUAGAAGUGAUCAGCUAGCAUCUCAUAUGUCUUUCUCCAUCCAAAGUGACCCAUCAAUCCACCCGCAUGUGUUUCCUGUAGCAACAAAAGCCUAACAGAGCAGUGGGGUACACACAAUUUGUUAGCUCGAAACAAAAAUCCAUCAUGUAUAUGAUAUUUUUCCCACCCUUUUCCAGUUGUACAGUUUGCAAAUGGUUCUGAAAAUUCAUGAUCAGUAGGGUACAAUUCUUUUAUGCUUUCAAGUCCUGGAACCUUGACAUCUAGUAGAUUCAACAAAACAUUUUUACGUGACAAAGCAUCAGCAACAAUGUUUUCUUUACCUUUCUUAUAUUUCACAACAUAUGGAAAAGUUUCAAUGAAUUCAACCCAUUUGGCAUGUCUACGAUUCAGUUUUGCUUGCCCCUUUAAAUAUUUCAAAGCCUCAUGAUCUGAAUGAAUAACAAAUUCUUUUGGCCAUAAAUAAUGUUGCCAAGUCUCAAGAGCUCUUACCAAGGCAUACAAUUCUUUGUCAUACACCGAGUAGUUCAGUUGCGCACCUCCUAACUUUUCACUGAAGUAUGCAACCGGCUGUCCAUUUUGCAUUAGGACACCACCGAUUCCGAUCCCACUUGCAUCACAUUCAACCUCAAAGGUUUUAGUGAAAUCUGGUAACACUAGCAAGGGGGCUUCGGAUAGCCUCUUCUUCAAUUCUUGGAAUGCUCUCUCUUGUGGUUCACCCCAUUGGAAGGCAACACCUUUCUUUGUUAACUCAUUCAACGGAGCAACUAUGGUGCUGAAAUCUCUCACAAAUCUCCUGUAAAAACCAGCAAGUCCAUGAAAACUUCUCACCUGACUCACAUUUUCAGGAGUUGGCCAAUCCUUGAUUGCUUUCACCUUUGAUUCAUCAACCUGAAUUCCUGAACCUGAAACAACAAAACCAAGAAACACAACCUGAUCUGUACAAAAUGUGCACUUCUCAAGGUUAGCAAAUAAUUUUUCUUUUCUUAGCACAUCCAAAACUUGCUUAAUAUGAUCAACAUGUUCCUCCAAUGUCUUGCUGUAAAUUAGAAUAUCAUCAAAGUAAACAACAACAAACUUUCCAAUGAAUGCUCGCAAGACAUGGUUCAUUAAUCUCAUGAACGUACUAGGGGCAUUGGUCAAACCAAAAGGCAUAACUAACCAUUCAUACAGCCCAAACUUUGUUUUAAAAGCAGUUUUCCAUUCAUCUCCAAUCUUCAUUCUAAUUUGAUGGUAACCACUUCUCAAAUCAAUUUUAGAAAACAUCAUAGAACCACUCAAUUCAUCAAGCAUAUCAUCUAGCCUAGGAAUAGGAUGACGAUAACGAACGGUGAUGUUGUUUAUGGCUCUACAAUCUACACACAUCCUCCAAGAACCAUCUUUCUUUGGCACCAAAAUCACAGGAACAGCACAAGGACUUAAACUUUCUCGCACAUAUCCUUUAUCUAAAAGUUCUUGUACUUGCCUUUGAAUCUCCUUGGUUUCUUCCGGAUUGGUGCGGUACGCCGGACAGUUUGGAAGUGCAGCUCCAGGGAUGAGAUCAAUUUGAUGUUCAAUACCGCGCAAAGGAUGAAGUCCAGCAGGUGUUUCCUUUGGAAAAACAUCGACAUAGUCCUGCAAAACAUGUGCAACAACACUAGGGACAGAUGUUAAGUCAUUAGCUGAAAGCAAUGUGUCCUUGCACACAAGUACAAAUAGUACUUGAUCUGGGUUUUUCCUCACAUCUCUCAUUUCAGAUUUGGUGGCUAUCAUCACGAAGUUCUCUCCCUCUCUUUUUCUGUCAUCUCUCAUAUUUGGCUUGUGGCUCUCACUCACUGAUUUGUGGAGGGCACUCAAAUUAUUUUUCUCUCCUUCUUUUGCACUCUCAUUUCUCACUUCGGAGCUCUUUUGCAAGUGCUCAGCUAGGAUUUGCUGCGGUGUCAUGGGUUUCAGAAUCAACUCCUUGUUCUUCCACUUGAUGGUGUAUUGAUUGGUUCUACCACAAUGUAGAGAUGAUCGAUCAUAUUGCCAUGGUCUUCCCAACAGCAUGUGGCACACUGUCAUAGGCGCCACAUCGCACUCUACAGUGUCAAUAUAUUCACCAAUCUUGAAUGGAACUUUCACUCUUUGUGCAAUCUUAAUAGAACCUGAAUUAUUAAGCCAUUGCACAUGAUAUGGAUGGGGAUGUUUCAGCAGCUUCAACCCAAGCUUUUCAACCAUUUCUUUGCUUGCAAGAUUGUGGCAACUGCCACCAUCAAUGAUCACUUUGACAACCUUAUCUUGCACUUUAACUCUAGUCUGAAAAAGAUUGUGUCGCUGUCCAUUUUCAGCAUCGCUCAUUUGUACACUCAAAAUCUGAGUUACAACAAGAGCAGCACCAGAUUCAAAUUCACAGAUGUCCUUCUCAAGAUUACUCUCACUUCCACUAUCUACUUGUUCUUCCUCACUAGUAGAUUCAUACUCCCCUUGAUCAUUCACAAUGAUGGUUCUAGCGUUUGGACACUCUCUUGCAACAUGACCACGACCACCACACUUGAAGCACUGAAUUCCACUACUCUUGCUGGAAGAACCCACUGAGUUUGCUGAUUUGAAUUUCUCAUUUUGAGCAGCCAACUCUUUGCUACUAGAAGAACCAAGGUUGCUAGAUCGUGCACCACCAUUUGAGCUGGAAAAUGUACCUUUACUUCCACUUCCUUUGGGUGCAAAUUUACUUCCACUUGCUGCACUUUUUGUGUUGAAAGAUACUCCUCUAGUGGACUUCAUAUCCUGCUGCAAUUGCCGCUCAGCUUUGUUAGCUUGAUGCACUAAUUCAACAAGAUUACGAUAUUGCUGAAAUUCAACAAUGCGCUGAAUAUUCCGAUGCAGCUCUGACAUAAAUCUUGCAAUUGUUUGCUCUUCAUCUUCAAUUACAUUGGCUCUAAUCAUCGCCUUCUCCAUCUCUUUAUAAUAAUCAUCAACACUGAGGCUUCCUUGCUUCAGAUUUUGUAGCUUGUCAAAUAAAUCACGGCGAUAAUGUUUGGGGACAAAUCUUGCUCUCAGUUCUCUCUUCAUUUCAGCCCAUGAACGAACAUCACCUUGACCAGCUUCUUCUCUUUCAUUCAACAUUUGCUCCCACCAGAUUAGAGCAUACCCAUCGAACUCAAGAGCAGCCAUGGCAACCUUCUUUCUCUCAGAAUAAUUAUGCACACGAAAAAUUUUAUGCACCUUCAACUCCCAUGUAAGAUAUGCUUCAGGAUCAGAUCCUCCUUCAAACUGGGGCAUGGUGAAUUUUAACUUGCCAAACCUCUCUUCAUUGUGCUGAUUACGCCUACAAUUUCUUCGGUGACGACGAUCAUCAUAAUGGGGCUGUUCAUCCUCUUCUUCAGUAUCACUUUCUUCCAAUCCAAUACCUCUCCCAUGUCCAUGACCAGCACCUCUACCACCAUGAUCACGUCGUGGAAAAGGAGGUCUUCUUGCAUUGGCAGCAGCUCGCUCUCUACGCCGUUCCCUUGCACGACGAGCAGCUUCUCCUUCGCUUUCUUCAUCUUCAUCUUCAUGGUGACUGCCAUUUGCAUUAUCAUGAGGAUGAAUUUGCAACCGGUUCAUGAGUGCUUGAACAUUGUUUGUUAGCGUCUCCAUGCUUUGUUUCAUCUCAUCGAAUUGUGCCAUGGUGACACAAUCAUCAAUCUCCGGAUGCUCAGCCAUCUUGCUGCAAAAAAUUAGUGAAGGCAAAGCAACAAUAUAUAUAGAAUAGGGAAUUAUAUGUGGAAUCUCACAAUCUCACCACUCUUACCAACCGAAGCUCAUGUGAGUUCCCUGCAGAUUACAACGGCCAAUGCGAGGUGGUAACCGAGAAUGAUGGUUGGGAGAAUCCAAGAUCAGUAUUUUCCUAUGACGGUGGGUUAUUUGUGGAGCUUGGUGGGGAUAUAUUUCUCAAGGAAUGCAAUCUGAAUUCUUGAUAUUGUAAAGUUAAACCACAAUCCAAACUAGAAGUUCAAUGCCUAGUGCUGACCACAAGAUAUGAGUGAUGUAAAUAGAUCAAACACACGCGCAAAGAUAAUUCAGAUUUGAUGCAAACAAGGAGUAUGCCUAGGAUGCAAGUGUUGCAAUCAAACCCAAGCAAAAUUUUGCACCAAAGAUGGAUAAUGACUGAUUGUGUGACUUGAUAUAAAAUUCAGAACUUGAGCACAUAAACAGAGUGAAUUUUCUACUCUUUCUUCACAACUUUUCUUCCUCAACUCUCCUUUUUUUUCACUUUCCUUUUUUUUUGAUACUCUGUUUUUUUUAUAACUAAGAACAAGAGCAGAUAUAACACUUACACACACUUUUUUUUUUGAAACAAGACACAACCGUCAGCGUUCUAACUUGAUAGGCUCAAAGUUUACGCGAAGGAUGAUACCGGUUUCAGAUUUUCUUUAGGGAUUUGUAGAUAUAAAAGAGGCACAAAGGACACACAAAGGAUAUGAUGAUCAGCAACUAAACAAAACUCUAAUGGACUGAAACUUAACCAAACUCAUAAGAAAAACAGAUUGAAACAAAGGGCUAAUGCAAUUUUUUUAUGGCUUUUUGGUGGAUAGGACGAACAAGAUAUAUAUAUGUAGCUAAGGGUAAAAUUCCUGCCGUGGAAACUUGAGCUCUGAUACCGGAUGGUGAGGUCGUUGUCCCGAUCUUCACGACGUAGGAUAACUAGCUGAAGAUCAGCCGAUAACUUGCUGCAAGCAGCGAGGAUAACUAGUGCAACCUGACGACACGCACAAUGAGCCAACCACCGUCUCUAUACGGCAGCCUGAACCAAGGAUUCGCCCAACCACACUCUCAAAGAACCAACCUACGCAACCUGAACUCGAGGAUCAGGAGCACGGAUUGGGUUCCGAUGACGCGGCCGCUUCUGUAAUCUCCGCGAAGGAAAACACAAGAGCAAAGGGGGGUAGAGAUCACUCUCUGAAUUUGUUAGCACACAGCUGAACAAAGGGGUUCUGUAUUUCAAUUAUCAAAGUCUUCGAUUACAAUGAGUCUUAGCGGGUAUUUAUACUAGCAACAGCCCUGCUAGAUAGGUAUGAAAACGAAAUAGAAUUUCUGAGGGAAGGCAAUGUGAAAGGUCCCCUCGAAAUGGAUUCCCGAAGUGACUUCGCGUGACUGUUGGCCUCCAGAGCAGUUUCCAAUAAACUGACCAUAACUUUUUAUUGGGAAGUCCAAAUGAUGAACCAUUUCUUGGGUGUGAAACUAGACUCCAAGAGCUUUCCAGCAACGUAUGCCAUGCAUCACAAAACGCUGUAGAUUGGUACAGUUUUACUUGGCAAGUUGUACCAACAUUCUGUCACGACAGACUGUUGACCUUCUGAGCAGUCUGUACUAAUUCUGGUCUAGAGGCAAUAUGGAGCAUCCAAACUGGUCACCACUAGAUUUAUUGGAAGGUAGACUCGUCAAGCUUUCCAACAAGUGCUCAUGGACCUUAAUAUCUUUUGUGAGUGAAAAGUUAUGAAGAUUCUUUGCACUGGUCCGUUUUUGACUUGCACUGGUCCGUUUUUGACUUCUUCUGGAACUUGCACUGGUCCGUUCUUCAGGGUCCGAUUCAUCCUUCUCUUCUUCUAUAUACCUGAGUACAAUCAAGGUACAACACUUAGGUAGUAUAUAAUUCUCAUUAAUAUUAAAAUUAAUCUCACAAAGUAGCGCGUUCACCUCUUGUUGUAGCUUCUUGGCUCGGCUACGUGUAAUUGCUCCAUCAAUGGCUUGGGCUGGUGCCAGCGUAGUCGGUGUAGAGGUUGGUGUGGAAUUAGAGGGAGCAUGCUUGGUUGGGAUGUCCUCAUCAGAGAGGGUGCAACAGAAGGAUCUAUUGGAAUACGAUGGGUACAAAUCAUAGGACUGAUUCCUGUAAGAUCUUGGAGUGAGUAGCCAAACACUGAGUGAUGUUUCUCAAGAAUGGUCAUUAAUCGCAGAGUUUGAUCCUGAGUGAGUUUAUCGCUAAUGAUCACAGGGAACUCUGGAUUAUUGUUUAGGAAAGCAUAUGUAAGACCGGGUGGUAAAGUUUUAAGCUCUAUGGGGGGUCUAGGUGUUUCUGCAAACUCAUCUAAGGGUUCAGGUUCAGAAGGUUCGUCUUCUUCUUCUGUGAAGAAAGGAGUUUCGUCUUCUAAGUCUGGUUCUUCUAAAAGCUCUAGUGAUGCAGCCUUUACCUCCUCCAUAGGAUCAGGCAAAAGAUAUGAUUCGGCCUUAUUGUUUAAGGAGUGUGAAAUUGUUAUUGGGAAUUUAAAGGUUUUUCCAAGAGAAAUGUGUAGCUUUCCAGUAUGACCUUCAUAAAGGAGUCUUCUAAAAGGUUGUCCUAUCAACAGGUCGAAGUCCCAUGUAUCAAAGAUAUAGAAGUUCAAAUGAACCAUGGAGCCUUCUACCGUAAGAGGUAGGACAUUAAUAAUUCCAAGACUGGGGACUAAUUGUCCCGAAGAUUCCUUUAUGACCUUUGUUGUGGGGGUUAAGACAAGAUUUUUAAAUAGUUUAAGUGCAAAAGAUUCAGACAUGAUAUUGAUCCCCACAACAGGAUUAUAUAGAGCAUUAAAUCGAUCAGAAUUAUAAGCACAGCGUAUAGUUAUAGAGGGUGUGUCCAAACGGAUCACAUCAGAGGAAAGCUCUGAUUCCUCCAACCAUUCGCUACUCAUUACUGAGAUAAGCUCUCUCAAUUGAUAUUCACUUGGCAAAUAAAUGCUAAACUGGCCGUUUUGGGGUUUGUCAAUAGAAUGGUAGUUUGAAAUAUUUCCAAAAUCGGCAAAAAGAUCGGAUUCUAUAUCCUGCAUGAAGUCUGGUGGUGGAAUUUCUUCCUCUUGUGGCUCAGAACUUGGGAUAGCUAAAGUAGAUGAAGAAUUUGGCAGAGUGUCUACUUCGGCUUCGUAGGUUUCAUCAUGAAGGGUAUUAUCCAUCUCAGCUUCUAGGAUUCUAUCUAGGAUCACUCUAGCUUCAUCAGUAGGAAUUCGAAAGAAAGAACCUCUAGACAUUGUGUGUAGCAUUUUUUUAUGAUUUUUAUGAAGACCUCGAAAAAAGUGAAAUAAAAGAACAGGGUCUUCAAGAUUAAGGUUUGGACCAGAUUCUAAAAGAUCAGAAAAACAUUUCUAGGAUUUUCCCAAAGUUUCAUUAUCUUUUUGUUUAAAAGAUAGGACCUCGAGUCUAAGGUUGGCUAUACGGUCAAGGGAAUAGAAAUCUAGACAAAAGUUGGCUCGUAAAACUCCCCAUUCACCUUGUUGUUGACUUACAUUCUGACUGUACCAUUGUCUAGCUUCUCCCCUCAAAGAAAAAGGAAAAAGUUUCCAACGUAAAGUUUUAUCAGAAAUGCCUUCAAUGCGAAGACAAUCACAUGUUUGCUCAAAAUCUCUAAUAUGAAGGUAAGGGUUUUCGUCUUCCUUUCCCGAAAAAGAUAGGUUUUGAAUCAUGGCAAUCAACAUAGAACUUAACUUAUACUGGGAUGUUUGGAUAGGCUGUGAUGAUUCCCAUGGUAAAAGGUCAGUUGCUAAAGGGAUUGCAGAUUCAUGGAUCGAUUUAGAAUUUUGGUUUUCCAUAAGGUAAGGGUAAAGAAAAUAAAUAAAGAAUAUAAAAGAUAAGAAAAGAUAAAAGUAUAGAUACAAGCUAGUAGUAAGACUAACCAGAGUAUCGUAUUUAUUUUUUUACCACUAGGAGAAAGAGUGCAUCUGACUAACCGGUCUAUUACUACUAACCUUUUAGGCACAAAGAAUGUCUUUUGAUGUGAGUGAUAAAUAGAGAAGACUGCAACCGUAGUCUCCUUCUAACCUUGGUAAGGAUGAUCUACUGUUCUAAUGGGGAGGCUAACGGAAUCUAGACACCACAAAGGAUGUUCAACCCGCACCUAUAAACCCUAUCCUUCCUGCUAACGAGAUGUGAUCUACAAAGGUAACUCGGAAUUGUCACAUUCCUCACUACUACCACGGUCCAGCUAGUCAGGGAAUAUCUAUGAGUACCCCAGCCUAAACACCACGUUUACGCCAGCAAUGAUUACUCUAAACUCUACGCGAAGAGAUUAAAGUAAACUCAUAAACCAGAAGAACAAUAAAACAAGAACUUACUAGAAUUUAGAAGUCGAAAUACUGAAGAAUCCUAGGAGCAAGCUUCGGGUUAGGAGAACUUGAUCCCGCAGGUACAAGCUUGGAGUAGACACCGACAGGCCGGGCUUCCUCCAAUCUACACCUCCACUCUAUCUCUCUCAAUCUAGUAGAAACUAGAAGAUCUAUUUCUACCUUACAUUGAUUGCUAAGCCUAAAAAGAAAUAUUAAUUAGAGAAGAGGUUUUCCUUCGAGGGCACCCCUCAGUCUCUAUGAUAAUUUCUUCAUGUAGUCCUCCUUAUAUAGUCCUCCUCCUCUAUGCAUUUUUGGGUCGGUAGGCGAGGUGGUACUAUGUUUUUCUUGAUCCAAUAGGUCGGUGGAACAUCCCGUGCGAAGAGAGUCCUGAUUGACAUCCAGUAGGGGGCGGGCGCCCAGGUCACCAGGGCGGGCGCCCUGGGCCUGGCCCCUUUCGGCCUCCGUCUUCUUUCCGUGGCAUCUGGAGUCUUAUAGAUGGUAGAAAAUUGCACGGUGCGUUUAUAUCUCUAUGUAAUCCCGACAUGUGGGCCUUUCUUCCUUAUUUCCUGAUAACCCCCUGUAGAAAUAGAUAAACAACAAAACUCGUAGAAUUCUGUCAGAUCAAACCCUAAUUCUAGGUGUUGGUUGUAUAUUGGUCCUUUCUCUUAUUUAUUUGAUGAUUAAAAUUGAUACUUAAGAACCGUCAACAGGGACCUUUGCGGGCCGAUCACGCCGGUGACGCAUGGUGGGAGGAGAUACUUCCUCUUGCUCAUGGAUGACUGCAGCCGGUACAUGUGGCUGCAGCUCCUGACGAGCAAGAGCGAUGUGGCGAAGGCAAUCAAGCACUUUAAGGCGCGCACAGAGUAGGAGUCCGGGAAGAAGCUGAAUCGUGUUGACGCCGUUUUUGGGCGCGUGUCCAUGAUUGGUAAAGUGUAGGCCGGCAAGAUAAGACGACAGUGCUUGAUCUUCAGGGUAAGUUUGUUGACGGUCCUUAAGUAUCAAAUUUAAUUAUCAAAUAAAUAAAGAAAAGGAUCCAAAUGAAAUCAACAUCUAGACUUAGGGUUUUAUCUGACAGAAUUCCACGAGUUUUGGUGUUUGUCUAUUUCUGCAGGAGGUUAUCAGGAAAUACGGAAGAAAGACCCACACGUCGGGAUUACAUAGAGAUAUUGACGUGCCGCGCAAUUAUCUUACAUCUAGAAGACUCCAGAAGCCACGAGACCGAAGCGGAGGCGAAACGGGGCCUGACCCUGGGCGCCCGCCCACCUCCUGAGUCCAAUCAGGACUCUGCUUCGUGGGAGAUCUUCACCGACCUAAAGGAUGAAUCUAAACCAUACAAUCUAUGUCGGUUUGAUCCAAUGGCCCAUAUUCACUUGAAGGGACUAUAAAACCAGACCCCCUGGCCCCUGGAGGAGAGAGCCUCUCAACCCUAAUUCAUUGUUCUUCAAGGGAGAAGAAGCCUCUGAUCAAGAUUAGAGCCACCACCUCAAUUAGACAUCUAGAUUAGCAUAGCUACAUAGGAUUAGAACUAGAAGGAGUCAAUCUUCGAUUGGUUUCCGGAUCUGUCAAGAGGAUUCUUGGUAAUUCUCUAAUUGUGCUUCUAAUUGCUUUCUAAUUAUCUUUGUUCUUCAAUAUUAUGAAUAUGACUUUGUUCUACUUCAAUAUAUUGCUUAUGACUUUGCUCUACUUGCUUAUAUUCAAGAUUAUAUUGUUCUUAGUUUAUGAUAGUUAUAUACUUGGCUUAGUUAGAUUGGAUCUAUAUACAUGUUGAGGAUCGUAUAGCGUUUAUCCAUCGGAUCCAUGGGUAAAUGAUAGAUAUUGUGUAGGCGUGGUGCUUAUACCGUAUUUAUCUGCGAUUGUACCCAAUAUGCCAGAUCGUGGGGUAGUUCGUGAUAGUGACAGCUUCAUUGAUUCUUAUAUAGUCCCCCUCUCGUGUAUUGGGCUGGCAGAGCAACAUUAUUACAGGGGAGUGAUUGCUAUGUUUCUCAUUUACCUUGCUAAUAUCACUAUGCAUGGGCGUAGUCUUGUCUCGCAAUGAUUGCUAAGUAUGCUUGCACUAACUAUGAUAAUGCUAGACUAUAUAGUUGAGAAUAACUUAGGGAAUAUUCUUGUAGUUCGUUCUAAUACCAUGCUAAUGACUAUCUAGAAUAUCUAAUUGAGGUGCUUAUCAUAUUUAUUAUGUGGCUAGAUCAGAUUAGUUAUCUUUGUCACUAUUAUUAUUUCAUAUAUCCUUUAUGUGACACUUAUCCCUGUAUGCAAGAGUUAGAUAUAAUGUUCUCAAUUAUACAUGCAAUGAUAGAUUCUCAAUCUCAUAUUCUAUUCUGUAAUCAAUAUUGAUGAUUGUUAAUCCCUUCCCAGUGGUAAAAAUAUAAAUAACGAUACCUGGAAUACUUCUCGGUUAAAAUGCUACAUCGGUAUUAAUCUGUGCGCUUGCAGAUCCCAUUCAUUAUUUAUUUAGAAGAGCAAUUGCAUAUUUCAAUACCGCGUCUCUCAUGUCAUGCUGGGGAUGACAACUUGGCUUAAGUGGUGUGAGGGAUAGGUUUGGCAUUUUUGGCACUGUUACUAGAUUUAGAGAACUUAGUCUACUUUUGGUAAUGAUGUUAAGAAUACCCAACAAGCAUUUUUGGCGCCGUUGCCGGGGAAGGUUGAUUACUAAUCAGGAAUGAAAUAAAAGAUUUUGAGUUAUCAUUCGCAUCACUAAUAUGAUUGAGCUUAUCUAUUCUCUCAUACAGUUUUACCCCGAUAUUUUUCUAUUUUUAUCUUAUGCAGGGGAAUGUAUGAAUAGAAGACAUCGUCCAGGAAAUUUGGUUGACAAUCCCGAAGCAUUAUUCAAGAAGACGAGAGCCAAGCUCAAGAAGAGAUCAUCAACACUUCAGCCAGAAGCUUCAUCCAAUCAAGAAGAUCACCGGAACUUGUCUUCAGAGUUCGAAGCCAUGGCGAACAAAUCAAUCCGCGAGUUCUCAGCUCCCACUACGGACAACAUCCGCACUGGACCUGCUGCAGAGAUCGAUGGCAACUUUGAGCCCAAGCCUGGACUUAUCAACAUGGUGCAAUCCAACCAGUUCUGUGGGAAGGCACACGAAGAUGCUAGUGCUCAUUUACAACACUUCCUAGAGAUUUGCAACACAUUCACCAUAUCAGGAGUUUCCAAAGAUGCUAUACUACUUCGCCUCUUCCCAUUCUCACUGUUAGGAAGAGCGAAGCAGUGGUUCUACGCUACAAAGGAGAAGAAUACUACGUGGGCACUCUGCUCAACAAACUUCCUGGCUAAGUUCUUUCCCAUGGGCAAGACCAAUGCUCUCCGUGGGAAGAUUACAAGUUUUCAGCAACAAAAUGAUGAAUCUGUUCCAGAAGCAUGGGAGCGCUUUCAAGACUACAUCCUAGAAUGUCCCCAUCAUGGAAUGGAAAGUUGGCUACUAAUGCAGACAUUUUAUCAUUUGCUCAGCAACAGUGCCCGAGAGACCAUGGAUGUUGCAGCUGGAGGAGCAUUCUUAUCACUUACUAUACCACAAGCCACAACUCUUGUGGAGAAGAUGGCGUCCAACCAAAGUUGGAAUGAAGAAAGGACCCAGACACGCAAGAUAGGUGGAGGUAUGCAUCAGCUCAAGGAGAUAGACAUGCUGUCUGCUAAGCUAGACCUGCUCAUAAAGAAGCUCGACGAUAGAGCUGGAGAUAAGAAAGAAGUUAUGCACAUCUACGACUCUCACAUGACAUGUGAGGAGUGUGGAGACACUGGACACUCAGGCAACCACUGUCCUGAGAUGCUUGAGGAUCUGAACUACAUCAACAACAACAACAACCACUACUACAACCGUCCUCAACAAAAUCAAGGUUGGAAUCAACAGAGGCCUAACUACUCAGGUAAUUAUCAAGGUAACAAUUCUUACAACAAUAAUAAUAGUUUUCCACCUCUGAGAGAGUUAGUGUCUAAUCAAGGAAAGCUAAUGGAUAACCUAUCUAAGAAAUUGGCAUCAAAUGAUAAAAUGCUAGAAAAUAUAAAUAAUAGAAUGGAUAAUUUUUCUACUGCCAUCAAGAAUCUAAUUAGCUUUAAUAAAAUGAUUGAAUCUCAGUUAAAUCAAAUAUCUGCUGCUGUUCCUGCUACUAACCCCGGUAUACCAUCACAACCAUAAGGAUUAGAAUCUGCAAAUCUUGUAGACAUGUUUGAUGCAGGUAAUUGGAGUAACCCCGUCACUGAAUUCAAUACUGACCUUCUGCCGGUCAAGAGAGGCGAUCCAGGACGCCCCGUCAUCCCGAUCUCCAUCGGCAUGGUGGACGUCCUAGAAGCACUCUGCGACUUUGGCUCCAGUGUCAACAUUAUACCCAGGGUACUCUAUGAAAAAUUCUUUACAUAUCCUUUAUUAGAGACAACCAUGUGUUUGCAGUUUGCAGAUCAGACGAUAACUUUUCCAAAAGGAAUAGUGAAGAACCUUUGUGUCCGAGUUGGUACCUUAUAUGCCCAGCAGACUUUGUAGUGGUAGAGACCGGAAAUGAUGAGAGAGCACCUAUCAUCUUGGGGAGGCCAUUCUUGAACACCACGGGAGCUAUCAUCUACGCCAGUGCUGCCAAGAUCAGUUUUUACAUCAAAGGGAGGAAGGAGACAUUUUUCUUCAGGAACAAGACUACACAAAUCCCAGAUCAAUCCAGACGUGAGUCAAGGAAGAGGACCAACAGGAGGAACAGGAACAAGCAAGUGUGGACCGAGUCAGCUAAGAUGGUCACUGUAGUUCAUGGGGGCCAAGAUCAUCAGCUUAAGUCACCGUUUUUUACCAAGAAGGAUGACCCAGGAAUGCCAAGCAUCUACUGCUCCAUAAAUGGAUACAACUUCUACAAGGCAACUUGCGACACCGGAUCGGGCAUCAACAUAAUGGCCGCAGUCACCUAUCGGCUCUUGUUCGGAACCAUGCCCCUAAGACCAACAUACAUUCAGCUCCAGAUGGCAGAUCAGACAUUUCGAGAAGUUAAAGGAAUAGUAACUGAUGUCCUAGUCAAAAUAGACGAUCACUUUGUCUACACAGACUUUCAGGUUAUUGACAUGGGAGAAGACGAAUACGAUCCAUCCAUCAUCCUUGGAAGGCCGUUCCUCAGCACCGUUAAAGCAAUCAUCUACAUUGGAACCGAAGAAGUCCAUAUGCACUUCCCCUCAGAGAAGGUACGCCGUUAUUUUACUGACCCUAACUAUAUCGUUGAAGAAUCUAAGCAGGUCAGGAAACGACGCAACCGCAACCAGAGGAGGCAGAUCAUCGAGGACGGAUGGGCAGACUACGAAGGAGAAGUUGUAAGGUCAAAAGACGUAGAGUUUAAACAGAAUUAUCCAGAGGAGAUUGAAGCACCGAGUCAGGUAUGGAAAGAGAAGAUAAUUAUACAUGAAGAGGAGGCGCUGCCGGAAGUACCGCCUACGCCACCCAACGAAUCCCAAGACAAUUGAAAAAAUGGAGAGUCCCGUUCGGAGGACUUAAAAACACCGAACGCCUUGCCAAGAGGUAAACUUGGUAGUUAUCCUUUCCCUUUCAAUUAUUUUAAACAGUUUGCUUAGUUAAUCAUGUUCAUGCUAUCCUAAAAAGAAAAUAAAAAUGUUAAAAAACAGUAAGCCCCAUGUGAGUAAACGAGUGGCAUAAAACCCAUAAGUACAUUCACUGUAGUGGCAUAAAAAUAAAAUAAAUAUUUCCUUUCUACUUUAUAAAAAUGAAAAUAUAAAAACAGGGAGUAACAAUUAUUAAGGAGUCUCAACAUGAUAAAGGCUAGAUAUUUAUGCUAACACUUAAUCAAGUUCCACAAGCUUUGUUGUCUAUUUGAGCUCCACAGGAUUUAAGAAUCAAAAAGACUAGCAGACGGAGGACAUUCUAAUCGCUGUCAGAAUGCUGCUGACUUUCAAAUACACCUCUGCCACCUGCUAGCUACAUCAAGAGAAAUUAUGUUAAAAUUCAGCUUGAGGGAGAGCACCCCCAUUUAUCUCGAUAAGUAUUUCUAUCUAUCUAUCUUUAUACUUAUAUUAUUUUAGAAUAUAAAUAUACAUAACUAGGAAAAAUUAAAUAAAGAUUUUGUGCUUAUAUAUAUAUCUUUUGCUUAGUGUGUUUAAUAAAUAAAUAAAGUAGCUAUGCUAAUCUGUAUCUAAAUAAAAUUCAAACAUGGAUAUGAUGAAUAGUUGUUCUGCCUAAUUUGCAAAUUUUAAGUUCUCUCUCAAGUUUAGACAUAACUGUUAUAAUUUAAAGCUUGCUCUAGACCUAAACUUGUGGGAUGAAAACUUGAUCUAAAGUCUAAGUUGUUAACGGAUAUGAUAUGGGAAGGUUGAGCCGCUGUUUAUCUGUUCCUAGAGAUGCUAGAAUUCUAGAGAAUUUUAUCUUUGAAAAUCUUUAAAAUAUUGCAUGAUGAGUUCCUGUAUGAUGAGAGUUUAAAUUCCUACCACAGCCAUAUAUAUAUGCUUGCUAGACUUUGAGCCACACAUUUACUAUUUACUGCUUAUGAGCAUUGAGUGUGGUCAAGCUGUGUAGACCCUUAGGAGAUUGUCAUGUGGUUUAAAUCAAGAUUUCACUUGCACGUUCACUCAUAUAUGCUACUUCUACUCCGGAAGUACCAUCCACAUAUAUUCACCCAUUCCAUCUCCAGAAUCACCUAAAAAUAUUCUACUCCUAAUCCGGGAGAGAAUAGCCAAAAACAUUUUUGUUUUCCCUUGUGAAAUAAAUGCUCAAGUUAUCUUGUUAUUAACACAUGCUAUAUUAUCUCAAGAGAUGAGUGCUCUAAAAAAAGAGAAGAUACGAGGAAAUAAAAAGGAGCAAGUGCUCGGAACCUCGAAAGAAAAAGAAAAAGUGCGACGAGAGGUAAAAAUGGACAAGUGUCCGACAGUAGAAUUAGGGGUACAAGAUACCCACCUGAGAGAAAAGAAAAAGAAGAGCAUCUCAUUCUCCUCAUAAAAUUUCAGAAAGCAAGGAAGGUAUGUAUCCUCUCAAAAGAGCAAAGUAGAAUUAGACUUCCACCACUAUUGUUUUCACCAUUGUUAUCACCAUCAUCACCAUACACCAUUCAUUCGCCACACAUGCACAUCUUGAUUUGACUUAUUGAUUUGUUACUUUGGAUCCAUGGUUUGAAUAUGCAAUACAUGUCUUGUAAGUAUGUAUACUUUAUCUCCCACCUAUGAGCUCCAGAUAUUAAAGCCUUAUUAGAGUAGGGUGAGGGAGAAGGCAAUGUCACUAUGCCUUAUACCACAAAUACUACAUAUAUUGAGAGAAGGCAUAUACCAUCACUGCCUUGGUAAGGAUCCAGAAAUACCACAAAAGAGAGAUAUGAGAGAGUCAUACAAGGAAUUCUGAGUUUUAUUUGAAAAUCUGCAAAAACCCCAGAGCUAUAGCUGAAUCAAGAAUAAGAGACAUGGCACUUGACUAGACUGUUCUAUCUUUUAACCACUCAAGACAGAAGUGACAGUUACAAGUCCCAUGGUGGAAGGUAAAGUAAGUUUUAAGUCUUGACAGAUUACUCUAACUCAGAGAUAAGAUCUUAUUUAAAAAGCAUGUGUACCGUCAAUUUUUAAAAAUAUUGCAACAACUUAUGAUCCAUAGCUGAGUCUAUCCUUGCUCAGGGACGAGCAAGAGGUAAGCUUGGGGGAGUUUGUUGACGGUCCUUAAGUAUCAAAUUUAAUUAUCAAAUAAAUAAAGAAAAGGAUCCAAAUGAAAUCAACAUCUAGACUUAGGGUUUUAUCUGACAGAAUUCCACGAGUUUUGGUGUUUGUCUAUUUCUGCAGGGGGUUAUCAGGAAAUACGGAAGAAAGGCCCACACGUCGGGAUUACAUAGAGAUAUUAACGUGCCGCGCAAUUAUCUUACAUCUAGAAGACUCCAGAAGCAACGAGACCAAAGCGGAGGCGAAACGGGGCCUAACCCUAGGCGCCCGCCCAGGUGGUCAGGCCGCCCGCCCACCUCCUGAGUCCAAUCAGGACUCUGCUUCGUGGGAGAUCUCCCCCGACCUAAAUGAUGAAUCUAAACCAUACAAUCUAUGUCAGUUUGAUCCAAUGGACCAUAUUCACUUGAAGGGACUAUAAAACCAGACCCCCUGGCCCCUGGAGGAGAGAGCCUCUCAACCCUAAUUCAUUGUUCUUCAAGGGAGAAGAAGCCUCUGAUCAAGAUUAGAGCCACCACAUCAAUUAGACAUCUAGAUUAGCAUAGCUACAUAGGAUUAGAACUAGAAGGAGUCAAUCUUCGAUUGGUUUCCGGAUCUGUCAAGAGGAUUCUUGGUAAUUCUAUAAUUGUGCUUCUAAUUGCUUUCUAAUUAUCUUUGUUCUUCAAUAUUAUGAAUAUGACUUUGUUCUACUUCAAUAUAUUGCUUAUGACUUUGCUCUACUUGCUUAUAUUCAAGAUUAUAUUGUUCUUAGUUUAUCAUAGUUAUAUACUUGUCUUAGUUAGAUUGGAUCUAUAUACAUGUUUAGGAUCGUAUAGCGUUUAUCCAUCGGAUCCAUGGGUAAAUGAUAGAUAUUAUGUAGGCGUGGUGCUUAUACCGUAUUUAUCUGCGAUUGUACCCAAUAUGCCAGAUCGUGGGGUAGUUCGUGAUAGUGACAGCUUCAUUGAUUCUUAUAUAGUCCCCCUCUCGUGUAUUGGGCUGGCAGAGCAACAUUAUUACAGGGGAGUGAUUGCUAUGUUUCUCAUUUACCUUGCUAAUAUCACUAUGCAUGGGCGUAGUCUUGUCUCGCAAUGAUUGCUAAGUAUGCUUGCACUAACUAUGAUAAUGCUAGACUAUAUAGUUGAGAAUAACUUAGGGAAUAUUCUUGUAGUUCGUUCUAAUACCAUGCUAAUGACUUUCUAGAAUAUCUAAUUGAGGUGCUUAUCAUAUUUAUUAUGUGGCUAGAUUAGAUUAGUUAUCCUUGUCACUAUUAUUAUUUCAUAUAUCCUUUAUGUGACACUUAUCCCUGUAUGCAAGAGUUAGAUAUAAUGUUCUCAAUUAUACAUGCAAUGAUAGAUGCUCAAUCUCAUAUUCUAUUCUGUAAUCAAUAUUGAUGAUUGUUAAUCCCUUCCCAGUGGUAAAAAUAUAAAUAACGAUACCUGGAAUACUUCCCGGUUAAAAUGCUACAUCGGUAUUAAUCUGUGCGCUUGCAGAUCCCAUUCAUUAUUUAUUUAGAAGAGCAAUUGCAUAUUUCAAUACCGCGUCUCUCAUGUCAUGCUGAGGAUGACAACUUGGCUUAAGUGGUGUGAGGGAUAGGUUUGGCAUUUUUGGCACCGUUACUAGAUUUAGAACUUAGUCUACUUUUGGUAAUGAUGUUAAGAAUACCCAACAAAGUUGCCGAUGAGGAUGGUUGCCGAUGGGGGGAUGGCUGAACGUGACCAAGUCCAUAGGUAAUGAUGUGUUUGUGCCGAUGACUACCACAAGGCAGUCUGCCGAUGAUGCGGGGGAAGAGUUUGGAAGUUGCCGAUCGGCUUGAGGAGGUGUUCCAGUUUGUCACGCGGGGAUAGUUUUAUGUUUUCCUUAGUUAUUUAAAUCGUUUUGUAUACGGAUUCUGUUUAAUUUGGAAUUCGAGUUCUAGUCGUGUCUGGUUGUAGCUCUUUGGGUAGGGUAUAAAUGUGAACCCUAGGGCCUUGUAACAAUGAAUCAAUCAAUCAAACAUCAGUUUUUACUCAUAUUCCAGCAUCUACUAUUUCGACGACUUCGUCAUACUUUUUUUCUUUUUAUUACGAGUUCUUAGGAAUUCGUCGACUUAAGCUCGGCGUGUUCUCAAGUUCCGCGUGAAUACCUCUUGGCCGUGGCAUCCGGGCGCAUCGCUGUUGUCGGGACCAAAGUAUUCGAGUUACCACCUUUGCCGAUAGUAAGGUUAAAUCGGCUGGCACGCCUUAACGUUUAAAUCGGGUAUUAGCCUUUUGUGUUUGCAGAUCAGCUUUUGCAUCAACACAUCUUUUGGCACGCCCGGUGGGACAGAUCCAAGAUCAAGAUCAACAUGUCGACUUCUGAGUUUGAUCAGGAGAACGUCAUCCCCGUGACGGAAGCCAAUCUCAAGGAUGAGCAGAAGCAAGCUAUUGCUAAAGCCAUGGAGGAUUACAAGCAGCAAUGCCUGUGUUGACACCGUUUUUGGACACGUGUCUAGGAUGACAGGAUAAGGUGGCAGUACGAUGCGGGUUGCCGAUGGGGAUGGUUGCCGAUGAGGGAGAAGUUGAGUGUGACUAAGUCCACAGGCAGUAGUAUGGUGCCGAUGACCAGGUAAAAGGGUCUGCCGAUGACCAUGGCGAGGGGAUUGCCGAUGACGCGAAGGAGGAGUCCGGAAGCUGCCAGUUGUCAUGUGGAGGAGUUUCAGUUUGUUACGAAGGGUAGUUUUAUUGUUUCCUUAGUUAUUUGCAUCGUUUUGUAUAUGGAUUCCGUGUAAUUUGGAAUUCGAAUUCUAAUCGUGUCUGGUCGUAGCUCUUUGAGCAGGGUAUAAAUAUAAACCCUAGGACCUUGUAAUCUAUCUAUCAAUCAAUCAAACAUACGUUUUUACUCAUAUUCCAGCAUCUACUUUUCGACGACUUCGUCAUACUUUUUUCUUUUUAUUACGAGUUCUUAGGAAUUUGUCGACUUAAGCUCGACGUGUUCUUGAGUUCCGCGUGAGUACCUCUUAGCCGUGACAUCCGGGCGCAUCGCUGUUGUCAGGACUAAAGUAUUCGAGUUAUCACCUUUGCCGAUAGUAAGGUCAAAUCGGCUGGCACGCCUUAACGUUUGAAUCGGGUAUUAGCCCUUUGUGUUUGCAGAUCCGUUUUGCAUCAACACAUCUUUUGGCACGCCCAGUGGGACCAGAUUCAAGAUCAAGAUCAACAUGUCGAUCUCUGACCUCGAUCAAGACAACGUCAUCCCCGUGACGGAAGCCAACCUCAAGGAUGAGCAGAAGCAAGCUAUUGCCCAAGCCAUGGAAGAGUUCAAGCAGCAAUGCCUGAAGUCUUUCAGCAUAAACAGGAGCGGCGAAGUGGUCCAGAAAGAUGCACUGCCGGCACCACGGCAGGUCACCUUCGACGCCAAUCCUGGCAAGCUUCAAGAUAUGGUUGACAAUGCCAUCAAUCGAGCGUUGAUUAACCAAGCUGGUGUACUGUCUAAUACGGUUUUCAACGCCGUGGCAAGAACCUUCAAGGAAGGACAAAUCCCGCCGAAUUAUGUGGGUCCUUCCCAUCAUCAACCCACGGCACCAGAAGUCACGGCUCCAUCGGCUGCCUUGACGGGUGCAAGUGCACAGUCUGUCGUCCCUCCAAGUACAUUGGGAACUACUGGUGCACCAUCUAUGCCGAUGGCAACUAACCCACAAAUUUCAGUUGGGCAGCAUAAACUGACAACAGAUAUGUUGGCAUCGGCAAUGUCAGGGUUGACUCUCCCUCCCAACUGGUGGGGUUAUGGUAUGCCUCCAGAGUUGACGCCGGGAACAUCGCAAAUAACUGACGUGAGGGGCAAAACUCCUAUGACAUCGGUACCUCCCAAUGUGCCGAUGAAUCAGAGUCCUCGGUAUACCACAACUACUACUGCAAGGCCUCACACUGGGAAUCCUCAAGAUUCAAUGUUUCAGAUGCCUAACACAUCAGCAGAGUUAAUGCUGACGCAACAGAGGCCUAUGGCCCAGUCGGGGUAUGUCAGUUCAACGACGGUACCCAAUUACCAAUCAUCGGCAGCACCUAUGCCGAUGAACGCUAACAAUGGAUGGCUUGGACAGCAAGCCUUUCCACAAUCGCCCCAGCAGGGUUAUCAGACUACAGGGUUCCAGCAAGGGCAGGUCUAUCCCGGGUUCCAAGGUCAGGGAAUUCCCAACCAGCCAAUAAAUUUUGGACAGCCAAUCGGUGGACAGCAGUUUGGUAGUCCGCAGAUUGGAGGACAGGUGACCAAUACGAUGUUCCAUACAGGUCACGUCCCAAACAGACACGUGGAGGCUCGCCACCAAAUGCCAGAUCCGCAGCCGCCUCAUCGGCAAGACGCCGAUGCGUAUUGGGCCGAUAAGAUUGCUGAAGUAAUGAGGGAACAAUUUGGGAUAAAACCCAAAGUCAACACCUAUUCUUAUCGGACACCGUAUCCUCCAGCGUAUGAUUUGAUCCCGCUUCCACAUCGGUACAAGGUACCGGACUUUACAAAGUUUUCCGGACAAGACGACACGUCAACCAUGGAACAUGUCAACAGGUUCAUUAUUCAAUGUGGAGAGGCUGGUAACAGGGACGAAUUAAGGGUUCGUCUAUUUUCGUCAUCACUGUCUGGAUCGGCCUUUACUUGGUUCAUAUCAUUACCUCCCAACUCAGUAAUUACUUGGGCCGAUCUAGAGAAGCAAUUCCACAGAUACUUCUUCUCGGGGGUUCAUGAGAAGAAAAUUACCGACUUGGUCAAGUUGAGACAACGUAAUGAUGAGUCGGUUGAGGGAUUCGUGCAGAGGAUACGAGAAGUCAAGAAUAAAUGCUAUAGCCUGGUUCUGGAUGAUCGGCAGCUAGCCGAUUUGGCUUUCCAGGGUUUGUUGCCACAUAUCAGGGAUAAGUAUGCAUCUCAGGAGUUCGAAAGUUUAAGUCAUUUGGUGCAGAGGAUAUCUGAUCAAGACAUCAAGCCUUUCAAGCCUAAGAGGGCAUGGAAUAAGAAAGUGUCAUUUGUUGACGAAGCAACAAGCUCAGAUUCCGACGAGGAACCAGUAAUCGGUUUGGCAGAGUGGGUAAAAAACAAGAAACCAAUGUCUUGUCCUUUUGGGCAAAAGGAACCAGAGAAGUUCGCCUUUGACACCGCCAAGGCCGAUAGGAUAUUUGACUUUCUACUUCAGGAAGGUCAAAUCAAACUGUCACCUAACCAUGUGAUCCCAUCGGUAGAAGAGUUGAAGAGGAUGAGAUAUUGCAAGUGGCAUAAUGCAACUUCCCAUGACACCAACGAGUGCAAAGUAUUCAGACAGCAGCUGCAAUCGGCUAUAGAGUCAGGGAGAAUCAAGUUUGACAGUUCCAAAGCCCAGAAGCCGAUGAAGAUAGACCAACAUCCUUUCCCGACAAACAUGUUGGAUGCUAAGGGGAAGGCUAAGGUCCUAACAUCGGAGACAGCUGAGAAGAGUGCAUCGGUAGAUCCUCAGCAUCAAGUUACUACUGCCGAUGCAAGAAGUAAGGGCUUGGUCCAGGAAGGAACUAGCUCAGGAAGGCCUCCUCGAUCUGGUAUCGUCAUAACUCAUAGAAGGCCUCGAGAAACAUGGCAACAACGGGAAGAUCGGUAUCGGCGCCAGCAGGAAGAUUAUCGACGGGAAGAAGAAAGGCGCCGACAGGAGUGGAAUCGGCACAGGGAUCAUUGGAAUUGUCCAUUCUUCAUUCAUUGUUGGGAGGAAAAUAUCAAGCUUCCUACUGUCAGAGACUGCCCUGAGUGCAACGGUUAUGAUCGGUACGAUAGAACCGAUCGGCGUUAUCAUGAUGAUGAAAGGCGAUUUAAUGGGCCGAUCAGAGGAAGGGUGUCAGUUCAUGACCGGCUGGGGGGCAGAUUUAGAGGGCACAACAGACUUAGUGACCGUGUCCAGUAUUUUCCCAGGAACCGAGAAGAGCUCGAGGAAAUGGCUGAUGCGCGGGUUCCCGAUGAAUUCAUAUUUUGCAGGGAUGCUAACAUGCAUCGGGUGGAGCCAAGGGAGAACCGACGCCCGACGGAAAGGCAAAGGCCACUUCCUCCAUGGUGCCCUGGAGGAUUAACUAAGACACAGAAAAGGAGAUUGCAACGUGAGAGGCAAGAAGAGCUAAACAAGGGAGAGAACUCUGGAAGUCGGCAGCCGUCAGGCAAUAAGAGGGAAGGUCCAUCGGCAGAUGUCAACAUGGUUUUCAUGUUGCCGAUGGAGUUUCUUGCACCAUCCAGCGACGAUGAGUUGGAAUUUUCUAAUCAGAUAGCUCAGUUGGCUCUGGAUCCGAUGACGGCUAUCUUUGAGAAACCUGCCGAUGACGAGAGGCAGCAUCUCAAAGCUUUGUUCCUCAAAGGGAGGGUUGAUGGGCAGCCAAUGACCAAGAUCCUAGUUGAUGGUGGAGCUGCUAUUAAUAUUAUGCCGUAUGCAGUAUAUCGGAAGCUUGGGAAAGGGGAUCAAGAUUUGACCAAGACCGAUAUGAUGCUCAAAGACUUUGAAGGAAACGUGUCUCCAGUCAAGGGGGCGAUAUGCGCAGAGUUGACCAUCGGCAGCAAAACCUUGCCGACAACUUUUUUCGUGAUCAGCGGAAAAGGUGCUUACAACUUGUUAUUGGGACGAGAUUGGAUUCAUGCCAAUUGUUGCAUCCCAUCUACAAUGCAUCAGUGCUUGGUUCAGUGGGUAGGUGACAAGAUUGAGAUUGUCCCAGGAGAUUCUUCUUAUGUUAUCGCAUCGGCAGAGGCGGAUACUUACGAAAGGACUAGGUGCAUUUCAGGAGAAGUUUGGGAGAAGGACUUUCUCAAAGUUGCCGAUUAUGAGAUUCCACCGAUCCAAGCAGUCGGUUCUGACGACGGUUUUUAAUGGAUAGAUUCGCCGAUGAUGGAAAAUUAGGCCAGGGAUUCACAUCGGCCGAUGAUUUGGUAGAGGUAGAUAUAGGUGGUGGUGAUAAGCCUAGGCCUACUUUUAUUAGUGCUAAAUUAGAUCCUGAGUGUAAACGGCAGUUAACUAGUUUGUUAAAGGAAUAUAAAGAUUGCUUUGCUUGGGAUUAUACGGAGAUGCCUGGUUUAGACCGAUCAAUUGUUGAACAUCGGUUACCCAUCAAGUCUGGAUUUCGGCCACAUCAGCAACCAGCCCGUCGAUGUAAUCCUAACAUUCUACCUGAUAUUAAGGCCGAAGUCACUAAACUUAUUGAAGCUAAGUUUAUUCGGCAGUGUCGGUAUGCCGAAUGGAUUUCCAAUGUUGUUCCGGUUUACAAGAAGAAUGGGAAGCUUCGGGUGUGCAUUGACUUCAGGAAUCUCAAUAAAGCUACGCCGAUGGAUGGAUACCCAAUGCCUGUCGCCGAUCUACUGGUUGAUGCUGCGGCUGGCCAUCGGGUCAUCAGCUUCAUGGAUGGUAAUGCAGGUUACAAUCAAAUAUUCAUGGCAGAGGAGGAUAUUCCAAAAACCGCAUUCAGGUGUCCUGGUCAUGUUGGACUAUUUGAAUGGAUAGUCAUGACUUUUGGGUUAAAGAAUGCUGGGGCUACUUAUCAAAGGGCUAUGAAUUUUAUAUUUCAUGAGUUCAUCGGCAAGCUCGUAGAGAUUUAUAUUGAUGAUGUGGUGGUUAAGUCUGGAGAUUUCUCAAAGCAUCUUGCCGAUUUACAAAAAGUGUUAGAGUGCACAAGGAAGCAUGGAUUGAAGAUGAAUCCCAACAAGUGUGCAUUUGGUGUAUCGGCAGGGCAGUUUCUUGGUUUCAUGGUACAUCAGAGGGGUAUUGAAAUUAGUCGAAGAUCUAUUGAUGCCAUCAAUAAAAUAGUGGCCCCUACCAACAAAACCGAGCUCCAAUCCUUGAUCGGCAAGGUAAAUUUUAUCAGGAGAUUUAUAUCGAAUUUGUCUGGUAGGAUUCGUGCUUUCAGUCCUCUUCUUAAAUUGAAAGCCGAUCAAGAGUUUAUUUGGGGAGAAGAACAGCAGUUGGCUCUGGAUGAAAUCAAGAAGUAUUUAGUAAAUCCUCCAGUUCUAGUUCCACCUCAACAAGGGAAGCCCUUCAGAUUGUAUUUAUCUACCGAUGGAUCGGUUAUCGGUUCAGCUUUAGUUCAAGAAUUUGAAGGGAAAGAAAGGGUAAUUUAUUAUUUGAGUAGGAGGUUGAUCGAUGCUGAAACCAGAUAUUCGGCCAUUGAGAAACUAUGCUUGUGCUUAUAUUUUUCAUGCAUCAAGCUGAGACAUUACCUGUUAUCGGCCGAAUGUAUUGUUGUCUGUAAAGAUGACGUAGUCCGGUACAUGCUAUCUAUGCCGAUUAUGAGUGGUAGGAUCGGUAAAUGGAUUUUAGCGCUGUCGGAGUUCGAUUUGCGUUACGAAUCGGCUAAGGCAGUCAAAGGGCAGAUCAUGGCCGAUUUUGUGACUCGGCAUUGCGGUCUAGUGGAAACCUUGGAAAUUGCACCCUGGACACUCUUCUUUGAUGGAUCUACCUGUGACCGGGGGGCAGGAAUCGGCAUUGUAUUGGUUUCUCCUAAGGGGAGGAAGUAUGAAUUUUCCUUGCCGAUUGUUGCUACAUCAACAAAUAAUCAGGCUGAGUAUCAAGCUCUGAUCAAGGGAUUGGAGUUGUUAAGAGAGGUUCGUGCUGAUGCUGUUGAGAUAUUCGGGGAUUCCAUGUUGGUUAUAAAUCAAUUGGCCGGAAGCUAUGAAUGCCGGAGUGAAGUUCUCAUAACUUAUUUCGAGAGAAGUAUGCAACUGUUAAAGGAAUUCAAGAACUUCCGAUUGGAGCAUGUUCCCCGAUUGCAUAAUGAAGACGCUAAUCGGUUAGCCCAGCAUGCCUCAGGAUAUCAGCCAAUGAUUAAUGCGACAUCAGCAGUCAGUGCCGGUGAUUGGAGGAAAGAAAUUAUUGACUAUCUAGAAGAUCCGUCCAAAAAGGUUGAGAGACGGGUUCGAUUUCAAGCAACUAAGUAUGUGCUCCUCGAAGAUGAAUUGUAUUAUCGAACUAUUGAUGGAAUUCUUCUCCGAUGUUUGGGUGAUGAUGAAGCUAGGAGUUUGAUGGGAGAAAUCCAUGAAGGGGUGUGUGGAGCACAUCAGUCGGCUUUCAAAAUGAAAUGGAUGAUUAGAAGGAAUGGAUAUUUUUGGCCAACUAUACUUGAGGAUUGCUUUAAGUAUUUCAAGGGAUGCCAAGGUUGUCAAAAGUUUGGUAACAUUCAAAGAGCGCCCGCAUCGGCUAUGAAUCCUAUUAUCAAGCCUUGGCCGUUUCGGGGUUGGGCUGUUGAUCUGAUCGGCCAGAUUUAUCCACCAUCUAGCAAAGGGCAUAAGUUCAUUCUAGUUGCCACUGACUAUUUCACUAAGUGGGUUGAAGCUAUUCCUUUGAAGAAAGUCACAUCGGCCAAUAUGAUUGAUUUUGUGAAGGAGCAUAUUAUUUACCGAUUUGGAAUUCCCCAAACGAUUACUACCGAUCAGGGCACCAUGUUCACGUCGGGGGAGUUCGAUGAGUUCGCAAUCGGUAUGGGAAUUAAAGUAUUGAAUUCUUCUCCUUACUAUGCUCAAGCCAAUGGGCAGGCCGAAGCGUCUAACAAAGGGAUUAUCAAGCUUAUUAAACGAAGGAUUGAAGAAAAUCCUAGGCGGUGGCAUGCAUUGUUAAAUGAAGCAUUGUGGUCUUAUCGGAUGGCUUGUCAUGGAUCAACCAAGGUGUCACCCUAUCAAUUGGUGUAUGGACAUGAUGAAGUUUUGCCUUGGGAGAUUAAGGCUGGAUCUAGGCGAUUAUAUUUUCAAGAUCAAUUGGCUGCCGAUGAUUAUGCCACUUUGAUGACCGAUGAGUUAGAUGAUUUAGCAGGGCAUCGGUUAAAAGCUUUAAUGAGUAUAGAAGAAAAUAAGAAGAGAGUUGCUAGAUGGUAUGAUAAAAAAGUAAAGGCUAAGGAGUUUGCCGAUGGGGAUUUGGUAUGGAAAUUGGUCUUGCCAGUUGGGACUAAGAGUUCGAAGUUUGGAAAGUGGUCUCCUAAUUGGGAAGGUCCUUAUCGGAUAAGACACUCAGCUCCUGGUAAUGCCUAUAUUCUAGAAACUCUCGAAAGAGUUGAAUUCCCCAGAGCAUUAAAUGGCAAAUAUUUAAAGAAGUACUUCCCCAGCAUAUGGGUCGAUGCGUAAAAGUUUAAGUGCCGAUAACACUCCUAUCGGCUGGAGUUAAAUGUUUGGAGACAGACUUAAUGUUUCAAAAGAUGCCGAUAACAGUCUUAUCGGCUAGACUAAAAGCUAAAAGCGGGAAAACAAAGGUGUGUUGCCGAUGAAAGCUUCAGAUGUUCAGCAGCUCUUGGAUUGUCGAUAUGGCGCGCAGCCGGAUCUGAUUGGCUGUCUCUAUCUCCUUGAUAUCAUCAUCGGCAGAACCUUCUAUCGGCUUCAGCUUCCUCUUCAACUGCAGCGCUUUGCGACCAUGGACGUUUCGUUCUCGUUCAAGGUGCUUGAUGGUCUCCGGCAGUUGACUCUCUUCUUGCUGGGCUUGGGACAGAGCAUCCUCUACUUGCUUGAGUUCGGCCAGUAGAGCUUCUCUUUUUGCCGAUAGAUCAGAUACUUUCUGCUUCAGAACAUCACCUGAGGACUUUAAGGUGCCGAUGUUCUUAUGUUUCUCAUCGGCUAAGAGUUUUUCUUUCAUCAUCUCCUCAGAAAGCUGGAUUUGAGCUGCUCUAUCGGCAAGGCGUCGAGUGGCUCUCUGGUACUGUAGCUGGCGGCUUUCUAGGUGUGCAGCAUGGAAGAGGGUUUCUUCAGCAUCGGCAGGAACUUGGCCUCUAAGGGUUUUGAACAGGGCCUUGGCUGGGUCAGAAUCGUUGACCAGUUGAGAUGUGUCUUGAUGAAGUAUGGCCGAUAGCUCCUCCAGCUUAGCCCUGGUUUCUGCCGAUACAGUCCCAAUUGCCCGAGAGGAGCUUGCUUCCUCACCCUCUUCUUCGAGAAUAUCAAUGGCGAAGGAGAAUAAGCUAUCGGGAGAAUCUUGUUCCUGAAAAUGAGAAUGAAAUAAGUCAUUUUUAUGGUCAAAGCUUCGGCAGACAAUGUUGAUGAAAAAAUUGGAUGACUUACUUGCUUCAAGGCGAUCUCUUGUCUUUGACUGAAAAGUGCUGAUGGAGCUGCAGGCUGAUCGGCCAAAGAUGCCGAUGGAGCUACAGAUUGAUCGACCGAGAUUGCCGAUGGAACGAUAUCGACUGAAAAAAGACAAAAGGAGUUAUAAGGCUAAAUAAGAAUAAGUUCAUCGGUAGCGAUAUUGUUAAAGUAUGUUACCUGAAGGAGGGACAACGGUUGUCUGAAUCGGGAGAACUGCCGAUGGUAUAACUGGAUCCACCGGGCCAGUUGUUUGUUCCCCUAUGCUAGCUGAUGUAUCUUCUGUCUGAGACCCUGUCUGCUGGGGUUCUUCUAUCUGUGGUGCUUCCUGCAUAGGUGGGGGAGAUGGUGCUUGCUGUGGCUGGGCUUCUGGAGAAGAAGGAGAAGACUCCACCGGAAUUGGAGAUACCGGAGGAGGAGGGGGAGUUGCUACCUUCUGGCGCUUUGUUCCAGUCUUAGCGCCCGUGGUGCCCUUUCUCUUUGGUUGGCUAGACUGGGGGGCAUCGGUGCUCUCAUGCCUGGAUUUCGCCGAUAUGCCGGUUUGCUGCAAUAAUAAACAAGAGUUUAUAAGCGUAAAUGUAGCCAAUAUAAAGAUAGUCGGCAUAAAGGAAAAGAUUUGACAAAUUGCCUUGAAAGCCCGCGCCAGGGUGGGAGCAGCUACCGUUGGUGAUGUCUGAGCUCUUCUGGUAGUGACUUUCCUGAGGCAUACGCCCCGAUGCACGAUGGAAGCUAGAGUGGGAGCGUUGUGGCCGAUUGAGGAAAUCGGGCCUGAUGGAAACAAGUCAAUCGGCCUGCCACUCUUGCUAACCAAUGGAGGAAUACUGUCAACCUGCAAAAGGAAUACAAGGGUAAGCUGCCGAUAGAAGUGACAUUGAGAAAAUGAAACAUCGGUUUGAGUUACUUACAGUGUCAUCGGGAACUUCGUAUUCGGUGUCAAUCAUGCCGCGGUAUGAAAGCGCCGAUCUGCAGAAUAGAUGCUCUUUCCAUUCUGCCCACCACGGCUUGUAUGCCUGAGUGAUAAAAGCAGCCGGAACCCAUUCUGACAGAUCUACAUCCGUAUCGGCAUUUGGUGGUAAUUGGGCUACUCGAGUCCACUCAAGAAGGUUGUUGAUAGUUUCUCUGGGUUUUAUCACAUCGGCAUAAGGAAGUGCAAUCGGCAACUGGCCGAAAGCUAAUUGGCGAGCUAAUGCCGAUGGAUUAUAAAAUUCGUAGGUUUGGGGAGAAGUUUUUGUGCUACCAAAGAAAUUCACCGGAAUGGCCCUGGGAGUCACAAUUGCCAUCAUCGCCUCAUUGUCCCUGUCGAGAGCUUCAUCAAAUGGAUUGAAGGUCAGAGGGAGCAUGCUAUCUGGGUCAUCAUAAGCCAACCAUGGUCGUUCAUCUCUGGCCAAACCCUCAUACAGCGUCUCGAAGAAUCGGCCGAUCUGAUCCGGAGUGUUCCCUGAACCGGGUAAGACUAUAACAGCUUCGCCAAAGUUCAGGGGGGCACGUGUUGCCGAUUCCUCUUCACCCAACACGUAGUUCUCGGCUAUAUCUCUUGGGAAGUGCUGUGAGAACAAGUUGAGAUCAAGGCGCUUGUGCAGGUGCAGAUUGAGCCACAUAUUAAUAAACCACCAAGGACCUCCCAAGUUGCCGAUAGGUUGGCCGAGCAGGAGUUUCUGGACUACCUGAUGAAGAAGGUGAUAAACAGCGCCGAGCAAAUAACGGCCGAGAGGAAAUUGACCACCGCUAGCCAGUCUUUCUGCUGCCGAUAGAUAGACAGAAGUCGGUCCUGCCGAUCGACCACAGAAUACAAACUUGUCUAGCCACAUGUUCAGAAAGGUGGUUUGCUCCUUUAUGGUGACAGGUCCUCUCCCGCGGUACUUCUGGAUGUACCCUGACCAACCGCCGAUAGCGCGAGUCUCCACUUUGGCACUGGGGGCGGUAUCAAAAAAGUGGGUGCUAUCGGCAGAAGAUAUAUCUAACCCAGUAAGCAUGGCUACAUCGGCAAGGGUAGGAGAAGCAGGGCCGUGGCCAAAAACAAAAGCGUUGAGAGUGUCUGACCAAAAGUAAGAUGCAGCUAUCAGCAAUGACUCGUUCCUGUGCAUAUCGGCAAUGGACAGCCUAAUGCAUUGGGCUAAUUUCCUCUCACCCCAUUGAACUUCAUAAGAGUUGCUGACCCUCAAGAACCAGUCUUUCCACCCUACAGUAGGGCUGGGCCAAGAGCGAAAGGUGUCCUUCCAUAGAUCUAAAGCAAAGUUUUCAGCUCUAAAGGGAAUCCUGUUGGUUUCUGCAUUGAUAAGGUCGGUUGGAUCUGGAUCCCCUAGAGGGCCGAGGCAUUGAAGAUGUGGUUGAUCGGUAGGAAUGACAAUUUUGUUGGAUAACUCCUAGUGUUUUGGGGAAUAAAGAUACAAAGAAAAAGGAAAAGGGAAAUAUUCGGUAAGAUGAAUCGCAGAUGAACAGGAAUGCAAGAAAAGGGUACAGCAGAUGAGAUGGAAAUCUGACCUCAGGGACGACGAAGCCAACGGCCAUCUUGUCGUGAAGAGGACGCUGGAGGGCGCCGGAGUUGAUGAAGAGGAAUGCUUGUCGGAGAUUUUGAGGGUUGUGAAUGGCGCCGCCGCUGGAAAAGCGAAGUUGGAUGGCAGAAUGGUGUAAUGGGGGAGGAGUACCCAAGAAGGAACUAUUUAUAGGACAAAAUGGGCAAGGGCAAAUCUGACUUAUUUCUUUGCCACAUCCGAGAAACCCGAGGGUACUCAAGUGGAUAUGGUAACUGUUCGCGCGGUAAUCCAGGGAUUGUGCAGGUGAUUUGACAGGAAGCGGUCAUUAUCUAAAGAUAUUUUACUGUACGCGAUCUCCUGGUCGGUCCAUCGGCGAUAUUCUAUAACGGUCAUCCUGCCGAUGGGCGGAUAGAGGGGAGGUAACCGUUUUUGCGAAUCUCCUGGGCAGAGCAUCGGCAGAUAUUUGUAACGGUAUUGUUGCCGAUAUACGAAUAAGAAAGAUGCCCGUUUAGGAAGUUGGGGAUUUCGAGGAAUCUGCGGAGGAUUAGGAUCAGAGUUGUCCAGAUUGAGGUUGUCGGUUACCAGAUUAGGAGCAUUAAUUGCGGAGAAGGCAUCAUUACUGCAGAGAAUUUCGGAGCAUUAAUAGUUUUAUACUCCGAAACUGGGGGGCAUGUGUUGACACCGUUUUUGGACACGUGUCUAGGAUGACAGGAUAAGGUGGCAGUACGAUGCGGGUUGCCGAUGGGGAUGGUUGCCGAUGAGGGAGAAGUUGAGUGUGACUAAGUCCACAGGCAGUAGUAUGGUGCCGAUGACCAGGUAAAAGGGUCUGCCGAUGACCAUGGCGAGGGGAUUGCCGAUGACGCGAAGGAGGAGUCCGGAAGCUGCCAGUUGUCAUGUGGAGGAGUUUCAGUUUGUUACGAAGGGUAGUUUUAUUGUUUCCUUAGUUAUUUGCAUCAUUUUGUAUAUGGAUUCCGUGUAAUUUGGAAUUCGAAUUCUAAUCGUGUCUGGUCGUAGCUCUUUGAGCAGGGUAUAAAUAUAAACCCUAGGACCUUGUAAUCUAUCUAUCAAUCAAUCAAACAUACGUUUUUACUCAUAUUCCAGCAUCUACUUUUCGACGACUUCGUCAUACUUUUUUCUUUUUAUUACGAGUUCUUAGGAAUUUGUCGACUUAAGCUCGACGUGUUCUUGAGUUCCGCGUGAGUACCUCUUAGCCGUGACAUCCGGGCGCAUCGCUGUUGUCAGGACUAAAGUAUUCGAGUUAUCACCUUUGCCGAUAGUAAGGUCAAAUCGGCUGGCACGCCUUAACGUUUGAAUCGGGUAUUAGCCCUUUGUGUUUGCAGAUCCGUUUUGCAUCAACAGCCUGAGGUCCUUCAGCAUGAACAGGAGCGGUGAGGUGAUCCAGAAGGAUGCACUGCCGGCACCUCGGCAGGUUACUUUUGAAGCCAAUCCUGGUAAACUUCAAGAGAUGGUUGAUAGUGCUAUCAACCGUGCUUUGAUCAACCAAGCUGGUGUGCUGUCCAAUACGGUUUUCAACGCCGUGGCUAGAACUUUCAAGGAAGGACAAUUACCACCAGAUUAUGUGGGCCCCUCUCAUCAUCAGCAAGGAUCACCGGUGGUCACAGCUCCAUCGGUUGCUACGGCCGCUGCGGGCAUGGAGAUUCCCGUUCCUCCAAGUACGUUGGGAGUUACCAAUGCACAAUCUACACCGAUGACGACGAAUCCGCCGACUUCAGAAUAGAUUAAGCUUACUACAGAUUUAUUGGCAUCGGCAAUGUCAGGACCAGUUCCUCCUCCUAACUGGUGGGGUUUUGGUAUGCCUCCGAAAUACUUCAAGGCACCCGGUACAUCUCAAGCAACUGAUAUGAGAGGCAAGGCUCCUAUGGCAUCGGCACCUCCCAAUAUGCCGAUGAACCAGAGUCCCCAGUAUACUACAACUACUACUGCAAGACCUUACAAUGGGAAUUCUCAAGCUCCAACGUUCCAGAUGCCUAACGCAUCGGCAGACUCGAUGCUGAUGCAACAGAGGUUUAUGACUCAACCUGGGUAUGUUAAUUCGAUGAUAAUUCCCAAUUACCAGUCAUUGGCAGGACCUAUGCCGAUGAAUGCUAAUAAUGGAUGGCUUGGGCAGCAAGUCUUUCCGCAAACACCCCAACAGAGUCAUCAGGUUACAGGGUUCCAGCAAGGCCAGAUCUAUCCCGGGUUCCAGAAUCAGGGGAUUCCCAACCAGCCAAUGAAUCUUGGGCAGCAGGUCGGCGGACAACAGAUUGGCGGGCAACAGAUGGUGGUCCACGGAUUGGGGGCCAGAUGAUUAACCCGAUGUUUCAUGUAGAUCGUGCGCCGCACCGACACAUGAAGCUUACCAGCAGGUGCCGGAUCCGCAACCACCUCAUCAGCAAGAUGCCGAUGCUUAUUGGGCCGAUAAGAUUGCUGAAGUAAUGAGGGAUCAAUUUGGGAUAAAGCCCAAAGUCAACACUUACUCUUAUCGGACACCGUAUCCUCCUGCAUAUGAUUUGAUCCCGAUUCCAAAUCGAUACAAGGUACCGGAUUUUACUAAGUUUUCUGGGCAGGAUGACACGUCAACCAUGGAGCACGUCAACAGGUUCAUCAUCCAGUGCGGGGAAGCUGCUAACAGGGACGAGUUAAGGGUUCGCUUAUUCUCGUCAUCAUUGUCUGGAUCGGCUUUCAACUGGUUUAUAUCAUUACGUCCCAACUCAGUGAUUACUUGGGCUGAUCUGGAGAAACAAUUCCACAAAUAAUUCUUUUCUGGGGUCCAUGAGAAGAAGAUCACCGAUUUGGUCAAAUUGAGGCAACGCAAUGAUGAAUCAGUUGAAGGUUUUGUGCAGAGGAUAUGGGAAGUCAAGAACAAAUGCUAUAGCCUGGUUCUGGAUGAUCGGCAGCUAGCCGAUUUGGCUUUCCAGGGUUUGUUGCCACACAUCAGGGAUAAGUAUGCAUCUCAGGAGUUUGAAAGUUUAAGUCAUUUGGUGCAGAGGAUUUCUGAUCAAGAUAUCAAGCCAUUUGAACCCAAGAGAGCAUGGAACAAGAAGGUGUCCUUUGUUGAUGAAGCAGCAAGCUCAGAUUCUGAUGAGGAACCGGUCAUCGGCUUAGCAGAAUGGGUAAAAAACAAGAAGCCGAUGUAUUGUCCUUUUGGACACAAGGAACCAGAGAAGUUCGCGUUUGAUAUCACUAAGGCCGAUCGGAUAUUUGACUUUUUACUUCAGGAAGGUCAAAUAAAAUUAUCACCUAAGCAUGUGAUCCCAUCGGCUGAGGAGUUAAAGAAGAUGAAGUAUUGUAAAUGGCACAAUGCAACUUCUCACAGCACCAAUGAGUGCAAAGUGUUUAGGCAACAGCUGCAAUCGGCUAUAGAGUCAGGGAGGAUCAAAUUUGACAGCUCCAAAGCUCAGAAGCCGAUGAAGAUUGAUCAACAUCCUUUCCCAACAAACUUGCUGGAUGCUAAGGGGAAGGCCAAGGUCUUGACAUCGGAAGAAGCUGAAAGAAGUGCAUCGGUGGAUCCUCAGCAUCAAAUCACUACCGCCGAUGCGAAAGGAAAAGGCCUAGUCCAAGAGGGAGCUAACUCAGGGAGGCCUCCCCGAUCUGGUAUCAUCAUAACCCACAGAAGGCCUCGGGAGACUUGGCAGCAACGUGAAGAUCGGUAUCGGCACCAGCGAGAGGACUAUCAUCGGGAAGAAGAAAGACGCCGUCAGGUGUGGAAUCGGCAUAGGGAUCACUUGAAUUGCCCUUUCUUCAUUCAUUGCUGGGAGGAGAAUAUCAAACUUCCCACUAUCAGAGAUUGUCCUGAGUGCAACGGUUAUGACCGGUAUGACAGGUCUGAUCGGCGCUAUCAUGAUAAUGAUCGACGAUUUAAUGGGCCGAUUAGAGGGAGAGCACCCGUUCGUGAUCGGCAGGGGGGCAGGCUCAGCGUGCACGAUAGGCUUGGAGAUCGUGUUGAGUAUUUCCCCAGGAGCCAGGAAGAACUUGAAGAGGCAGCAGCAAUUUCCUCCAUGGUGUCCAGAGGGGUUGACCAGGACACAGAAAAGAAGGCUGCAGUGCGAAAGGCGAGAAGAGUUAAGCAAGGGGGAGAACUCUAGACAGUCUGGGGAUCAGCAACAACCAGAUCCUAAGGGGAAAGGUCCAUCGGAGAUGUCAACAUGGUUUUUAUAUUGCCGAUGGAGUUCCUUGCGCCAUCCAGUGAUGAUGAGGUAGAAUUCUCCGACCAAAUAGCUCAAUUGGUUCUGGAUCCGAUGACAGCUAUCUUCGAGAAGCCUGCCGAUGAUGAAAGGCAACAUCUUAAGGCUCUGUUUGUCAAGGGAAGGGUUGAUGGUCAGCCGAUGACUAAGAUUUUAAUUGACGGCGGGGCUGCUAUCAACAUCAUGCCAUAUGCAGUGUAUCGGAAGCUUGGAAAAGGAGAUCAGGACCUGACCAAGACCGAUAUGAUGCUCAAAGAUUUUGAGGGCAAUGUAUCCCCAGUUAAAGGAGCUAUCUGCGUAGAAUUAACCAUCGGCAGCAAAACCUUGCCGACGACCUUCUUUGUGAUCAGUGGAAAAGGUGCCUACAAUCUGUUGCUAGGGAGAGAUUGGAUUCAUGCCAAUUGUUGCAUCCCAUCUACAAUGCACUAGUGCUUGGUCCAGUGGGUAGGUGACAAGAUUGAAAUUGUCCCAGGAGACUCUUCAUAUGUUAUUGCAUCGGCGGAAGCAAACACCUAUGAAAGGACUAGGUGUAUUUCAGGAGAAGCUUGGGAAAAGGAUUUCCUCAAAGUUGCUGAUUAUGAAAUUCCACCGAUCCAAGCAGUCGGUUCUGAAGAUGGUUUUUAAUGGAUAGGUUCGCCGAUGAUGGAAAAUUAGGCCAGGGGUUCACAUCGGCCGAUGAUUUGGUAGAAGUAGACAUAGGUAGUGGUGAUAAACCUAGACCUACUUUUAUUAGUGCUAAGUUAAGUCCUGAGUGUAAGCAGCAGUUGACUGAUUUGUUAAAGGAAUAUAAAGAUUGCUUUGCUUGGGAUUAUACUGAGAUGCCUGGUUUGGACCGAUCGAUUGUUGAACAUCGGUUGCCUAUUAAGUCUGGAUUUUAGCCACAUCAGCAGCCAGCUCGCAGAUGUAAUCCUAAUAUUCUUCCUGACAUCAAGGCCGAAAUAACUAAACUUAUUGAAGCCAAAUUUAUUCGGCAGUGUCGGUAUGCCAAGUGGAUUUCCAAUGUUGUUCCGGUUUACAAGAAGAACGGGAAGCUUCGGGUCUGCAUUGAUUUCAGGAAUCUUAACAAAGCUACACCGAUGGAUGGCCACCCGAUGCCAGUUGCCAAUCUGCUAGUUGAUGCUGCGGCUGGGCAUCAGAUCAUUAGCUUUAUGGAUGGCAAUGCAGGAUACAAUCAAAUAUUCAUGGCGGAAGAGGAUAUUCCAAAGACCGCAUUUAGAUGUCCUGGUCAUGUCGGGUUGUUUGAAUGGAUAGUCAUGACCUUUGGCUUAAAGAAUGCUGGCGCUACUUAUCAAAGGGCCAUGAAUUUUAUAUUUCAUGAGUUCAUUGGCAAGCUGGUGGAAAUUUAUAUUGAUGAUGUGGUGGUUAAGUCUGGGGACUUCACAAAGCAUCUUGCCGAUCUACGAAAGGUGUUGGAGUGCACGAGGAAGCAUGGUUUGAAAAUGAAUCCCAAUAAGUGUGCAUUUGGUGUAUCGGCAGGGCAGUUUGUUGGUUUCAUGGUGCAUCAAAGGGCGAUUGAAAUUAGUCGAAGAUCUAUUGAGGCUAUCAAUAAAAUAGUUGCCCCUACUAAUAAGACUGAGCUCCAGUCCUUGAUCGGCAAGGUGAAUUUUAUCAGGAGAUUUAUAUCUAAUUUGUCUGGUAAAAUUCGUGCUUUCAGUCCUCUUCUUAAGCUAAAAGCCGAUCAAGAAUUUGUUUGGGAGAAAGAACAACAGUUGGCUCUGGAUGAAAUUAAGAAUUAUUUAGUGAAUCCUCCAGUUCUAAUUCCACCUCAGCAAGGGAAGCCCUUCAGAUUGUAUUUGUCUGCCGAUGGAAUGGUCAUCGGUUCGGCUUUAAUUCAAGAAUUUGAAGGGAAAGAGCGUGUAAUUUAUUACUUAAGUAGGAGGUUGAUUGAUGCUGAGACCAGGUAUUCAGCUAUUGAGAAACUAUGCUUGUGCCUUUAUUUCUCUUGUAUCAAGUUGAGACAUUACUUGCUGUCGGCCGAAUGCACUGUUAUUUGUAAAGAUGAUGUGGUCCGGUACGUGCUGUCUAUGCCGAUUAUGAGUGGCAGGAUCGGUAAAUGGAUUUUGGCGCUAUCAGAAUUCGAUCUACGUUACGAAUUAGCUAAGGUAGUUAAGGGACAGGUUAUGGCCGAUUUUGUAACCCAACAUUGUGGUGCAGUGGAGGCUUUGGAAAUUGUACCUUGGACGCUUUUGUUUGAUGGAUCCACAUGUGACCUGGGGGCAGGAAUCGGCAUAGUAUUAAUUUCCCCUCAGGGAAGGAGGUAUGAGUUUUCCUUACCGAUUGUUGCCACGUCGACGAAUAAUCAGGCUGAGUAUGAAGCUUUAAUAAAGGGAUUGGAGUUGUUAAGAGAAGUUCAUGUUGAUGCUAUCGAGGUCUUCGGGAAUCCUAUGCUAGUUAUAAAUCAAUUGGGUGGAUGUUAUGAGUGUCAAAGUGAAGUUCUCGUAACUGGAAAGGAGUAUGCAACUAUUAAAGGAAUUCAAGGAUUUCCGAUUAGAGCAUGUUCCUCGAUUGCAUAAUGAAGAGACCAAUCGGCUGGCUCAGCAUGCCUCGUGAUAUCAGCCUAUGAUUAAUGCGAUAUCGGCAAUUAGUGCCGAUGAUUGGAGAAAAGAAAUCAUUGACUAUUUGAAGGAUCCAUCUAAGAAAGUUGAAAGGCGGGUUCGGUUUCAAGCCACCAAGUAUGUGGUCCUCGAAGAUGAAUUGUAUUACCGAACUAUUGAUGGGAUUCUUCUCCGAUGCUUAGAUGGUGAUGAAGCUAGGAGUUUGAUGGGAGAAAUCCAUGAAGGGGUAUGUGGAGCACAUCAGUCGGCUUUCAAGAUGAAGUGGAUGAUUAGGAGGAAUGAAUAUUAUUGGCUUACUAUACUUGAGGAUUGCUUUAAGUAUUUCAAAGGGUGUCAAGGGUGUCAAAAGUUUGGUAAUAUUCAAAGGGCGCCUGCAUCGGCUAUGAAUCCUAUCAUAAAGCCUUGGCCGUUCCGAGGAUGGGCUAUUGAUUUGAUCGGCCAGAUUUAUCCACCAUCUAGCAAAGGGCAUAAGUUUAUUCUAGUUGCCACCGAUUAUUUCACCAAGUGGGUUGAAGCUAUUCCCUUGAAGAAAGUCACAUCGGCCAAUAUGAUUGAUUUUGUGAAAGAGCACAUCAUUUACCGAUUUGGGAUUCCUUAAACAAUUACUACUGAUCAGGGCACUGUGUUCACAUCAGGGGAAUUUGAUGAAUUUGCAAUCGGUAUGGGGAUUAAAGUGUUGAACUCUUCCCCUUACUAUGCUCAAGCUAAUGGGCAGGCCGAGGCAUCUAACAAAGGAAUUAUUAAGCUUAUUAAACGGAAGAUUGAAGAAAAUCCUAGAAGGUGGCACACAUUGUUAAAUAAAGCUUUAUGGUCAUACCGGAUGGCUUGUCAUGGAUCGACCAAGGUUUCACCCUAUCAGUUGGUGUAUGGGCAUGAUGCAGUGUUACCUUGGGAGAUUAAGGCUGGGUCUAGGCGAUUAUCUUUUCAAGAUCAGUUGGCUGCCGAUGAUUAUGCUACUUUGAUGACAGACGAGUUGGAUGAUCUAGCAGGGCAUCGGCUGAGGGCUUUGAUGAGUAUAGAAGAGAAUAAGAAAAGAGUCGCCAGAUGGUAUGAUAAGAAGGUAAAGACUAAGGAGUUUGCCGAUGGAGACUUAGUAUGGAAAUUAAUUUUACCGAUCGGGACUAAAAGUUCAAAGUUUGGGAAGUGGUCUCCCAAUUGGGAAGGUCCCUAUCGGAUAAGUCGAUCGACUCCUGGUAAUGCCUACAUUUUAGAAACUCUCAAAGGAGUUGAAUUUCCCAGAGCAUUAAAUGGCAAAUAUCUAAAGAAGUACUACCCUAGCAUAUGGGUCGAUGCAUAAGAGUUUAAAUGCCGAUAACACUCCUAUCGGCUGGAUUGAAAUAUGUUUGGAGCCGGACUUAAUGUUUCAAAAGAUGCCGAUAACAGUCCUAUCGGCUAGACUAAACAUCAAGGAAGCUGGAAAGUAGGGAGAAGCGGGUAUGUUGCCGAUGAAGAGCUCACAUGUUUAGCAGCGCUUGGAUGGCCGAUAUGGCACGUAGGCGAAUUUGGUUGGCUGCUUCUAUCUCUUUGACGUCUUCAUCGGCAGAACCUUCUAUCGGCUUCAGCUUCUUCUUCAACUGCAGUGCUUUGUGACCAUGGGCAUUUCGCUCUUGCUCAAGGAGCUUGAUGGUCUCUAGCAGUUGACUCUCUUCCUGUUGGGCUUGGGAUAGGGCGUCCUCCACUUGCUUGAGUUCUGCCAACAGGGCUUCUCUUUUUGCCGAUAGAUCAGAGAUCUUCUGCUUCAGUGCGUCUCCUGAGGACUUCAAGGUGCCGAUGUCCUUGUGCUUCUCAUCGGUCAGGAGCUUUUCUUUCAUCAUCUCUUCAGAAAGCUGGGUCUGAGCGGCUCUAUCGGCAAGGCGCCAGGCAGCCCUCUGGUAUUGCAGUUGACGACUCUCUAGAUGUGCUGCUUGGAAAAGGAUUUCUUCAGCAUCGGUGGGGAUUUGGCCUCUCAGGGUCUUGAAUAAAGCCUUGGCCGGGUCAGAGUCAUCAACUAGUUGGGCUGUGUCUUGAUGAAGGAGGGCCGACAGUUCUUCCAGCCUUGCCCUGAUCUCUGUCGAUGUAACCCCAACAGCUCGAGAGGAGCUUGCUUCCUCACCUUCAUCUUCGGAGACGUCAAUGGCAAAGGAGAAGAGGCUGUCAGGAGAGUCUUGUUCCUGUAAAGGAAAUAAAGUGAGUCAUUCCAUGGUCAUAUAUUGAUAAGUAAUACUGAUGGAAACUGGAUGGCUUACUUGCUUCAAGGCGAUCUCUCGCCUUUGACUGGAAGAUGCCGAUGGAAUCACAGGUUGAUCGGCUGAGACUGCCGGUUGAGCUAUAUCAGCUAAAAAAAUAACAGAGAUAAUUGUAAGACAGAGAGAAUAAGUUCAUCGACAGUAAUCUCAUGAAAUAUAUUACCUUGAGGAAGAGCAAUACUUGUCUGGAUGGAAGAGAUCACCGAUGCUGCUGGGUCGGUAGUUUGUUCAUGCACGUCAGCCGAUGUGUCUUCUGGCUGAAGUACUUCUGGUUGAAAUUCCUCUGGAUGAGGAUCUUCUGCUUGUGGUGCUUCUUGCGGUUGAGGAGGAGAUGGUACUUGCUGAGUCUGUGUUUCUGGAGGAGAAGGAGAAGAUUCCACCGGAAUUGGAGAAACCGGAGGGGAAAGGGGAGUUGCCACUCUCUGGCGCUUUAUUUGUGCUCUGGUACUCCUGGUACCUUUUCUCUUCUGCUGGCUGGACUGGGGGGCAUCAGCACCUUUGCUUUUGGUCCUUGCCGAUGCGCUGGAGUGCUGAUACAGAAAGAAAGACACGUAAGUACAAGUUUGACAAAUAUAAGAAUAAGAUCGGUAUAAAAAUUGAAGGUAUACCCUGAACGCCUGUGCCAAGGUAGAAGUAGCUACCGAUGAGGACAUAUGAGUCCUCUUGGUGGUAACUUUCUUGAGGCGAACACCUCGAUGCAUGAUGGCGGCCAGGGUAGGAGCGUUGUUGCCGAUUGAAGAGAUUGAACCUGAUGGAAACAGGUCAAUCGGCUUGCCGCUCCUGCUAACCGAUGGAGGGGUGUUGUCAACCUACAAGAUGAUACAAAGGUGAAUCACCGAUGGAAAUAAGACUAAGAAAAUCAAAACAUCGGUUUGAAGAUACUUACAGUAUUAUCGGGAACUUCAUACUCGGGGUCGAUCAUGCCGCGGUACGUAAGAGCCGAUCUGCAGAACAGAUGCUCUUUCCAUUCUGCCCACCAUUGCUUGUACGCCUGAGUGAUGAAGGCGGCUGGAACCCACUCUGUCAAGUCUGCAUCUGUAUCGGCACUUGAUGGCAGUUGGGCUACUCGGGUCCAUUCAAGGAGGCUGGUGAUGGUUUCCCUGGGUUUUAUCACAUCGGCAUAAUAGAGUGCAGUCGGUAGCUGGCCGAAAGCUAAUUGACGAGCUAGUACCGAUGGAUUGUAAAACUCAUAGGUCUGGACGGAGGUUUUCCCACUGCCAAAGAAAUUCACUGGUAUAGCUCUAGGAGUGAUCAGUGCCAUCAUCACUUCAUGAUCCUUGUUGAGAGCGUCAUUGAACGGAUUGAAAACCAGAGGAAACAUGGUGUCUGGAUCAUCAUAAGGCAACCAUGCUCGCUGCUCUCUGGUCAAGCCUUCGUACAAGGUUUGGAAGAAUCGGCUGACCUGAUCUGGAUUACCUCCUGUGCCAGGCAGAGCUAUGACAGCCUCACCGAAGUUUAGGGGAGGACGUGUUGCCGAUUCUUCUUCAUCCAGUUCGUAGUCCUUGGCUAUGUCCCUUGGGAAACGCUGUGCAAAAAGAUCGAACUCAAGACGCUUGUGCAUGUGGAGGCUGAGCCACAUGUCGAUGAACCACUAGGGACCUCCCAAGUUACCGAUGGGCUGGCCGAGUAGGAGUUUUCUGGUCACUUGGUGAAGGAGGUGAUAGGCUGCACCGAGCAGGUAUCGGUCGAGGGGAAAUUGGCCACCGUUAGCCAGUCUCUCUGCUGCCGAUAGAUAGACUGAGGUCAGGCCUGCCGAUCGGCCACAGAAUACGAACUUGUCCAGCCACAUGUUUAGAAAGGUGGUUUGUUCCUUUAUAUCGACGGACCCCGUUUUGCGGUACUUCUGAAUGUACCCGGACCAGCCACCGAUGGAGCGGGUUUCUACCUUGGCACUGGGCGUGGUGUCAAAGAAAUGGGUGCUAUCGGCAGAAGAUACAUCUAGGCCAGUGAGCAUAACUACAUCGGCAAGUGUAGGGGAAGCAGGGCCAUGGCCAAAGACAAAGGCAUUGAGCGUGUCCGACCAGAAGUAUGAUGCAGCUAUCAACAGUGAUUCGUUCCUAUGCAUAUCGGCAAUAGACAACCUGAUGCAUUGGUCUAGUUUUCUCUCGCCCCAUUGGACUUCAUUUGAGUGGCUGACCCUCAAGAACCAAUCCUUCCAUCCCACGGUAGGACUGGGCCAGGAACGAAAGGUAUCCUUCCAUAGAUCCAAAGAGAAAUUCUUGGCUCUGAAAGGGAUCUUGUUGGUUUCUGCGUUAAUGAGGUCGGUUGGAUCUGGAUUCCCUAACGGACCAAGACAUUGGAGGUGUGGUUGAUCGGUGGGGAUGACGAUUUUGUUGGACAGAUUCUAAUGGUUUUGAAGGUGAAAGAAAAAACAAAGAAAGAAAAAAAAGAGGAUGUUCAGUAAAAUAGAUUGCGGAUGAAUAGGGAUGCGAAAAAAGCACAAAAGGUGGAGUGAAGAACUGACCUCAGGAACGGUGAAGUUGAUGGCCAUCUCGCCACGAAGAGGAUGAUCGAGGGCUUCGGAGUUGGUGAAGAAGGACUUCGUCGGAGAUCUUGGAGCUCUCGAACAGUGCCGCCGCCGGGAAAGUGGAGUUGGAGCUGUGGAAUGAUGUGAUGGGGAAGAAGUACCCGAGAAGGAACUAUUUAUAGGACAAAACGGGCAAGGACAAAUCUGACUUAUCUCCUCGCCGUAUCCGUGAAAUCUGAGGGUACUCAGGUAGAUAUGGUAACUGUUCGCACGAUGAUCAAGGGAUUGUGCAGGCGAUUUGACAGGAAGCGGUCAUUAUCUAGAGAUAUUUUACUGUGCGAGAUCUCCUGGUCGGUCCAUCGGCAGCGCCUUGUAACGGUCAUAUUGCCGAUGGGCGUGUAAAGUGGAGAUAGCCGUUUGGGAGGAAAAGAUAUGGACGUCCUGAUCAGUCCAUCGGCAAGUCCCUGUAACGGUAAUAUUGCUGAUGCGUGACUAAAAUGGAAAUGUCCGUUUGGGAGGUUGAGGAUUUGGAGGAAUCUGCAGAGGAAUAGGAUCAGAGUUGUUCAGAUUAAGGCUGUCGGUUACUAGAUUGGGAGCAUUAAUUGCAGAAAGGCAUCAUUACCGCAGAGAAUUUCAGAGCAUUAACGAUUUCAUACUCCGAAAUUGGGGGGCAUGUGUUGAUGCCGUUUUUGGGCGCGUAUCCAUGAUUGGUAAAGUGUAGGCCGACACGAUAAGACGGCAGUGCUUGAUCUUCAGGGUAAGUUGCCGAUGAGGAUGGUUGCCGAUGGGGGGAUGGCUGAACGUGACCAAGUCCAUAGGUAAUGAUGUGUUUGUGCCGAUGACUACCACAAGGCAAUCUGCCGAUGAUGCGGGGGAAGAGUUUGGAAGUUGCCGAUCGGCUUGAGGAGGUGUUCCAGUUUGUCACGCGGGGAUAGUUUUAUGUUUUCCUUAGUUAUUUAAAUCGUUUUGUAUACGGAUUCUGUUUAAUUUGGAAUUCGAUUUCUAGUCAUGUCUGGUUGUAGCUCUUUGGGUAGGGUAUAAAUGUGGACCCUAGGGCCUUGUAACAAUGAAUCAAUCAAUCAAACAUCAGUUUUUACUCAUAUUCCAGCAUCUACUAUUUCGACGACUUCGUCAUACUUUUUUCUUUUUAUUACGAGUUCUUAGGAAUUCGUCGACUUAAGCUCGGCGUGUUCUCAAGUUCCGCGUGAAUACCUCUUGGCCGUGGCAUCCGGGCGCAUCGCUGUUGUCGGGACCAAAGUAUUCGAGUUACCACCUUUGCCGAUAGUAAGGUCAAAUCGGCUGGCACGCCUUAACGUUUAAAUCGGGUAUUAGCCUUUUGUGUUUGCAGAUUAGCUUUUGCAUCAACAAAUCGGCUUCGGACUGACUGUGGCGGUGAGUUCACGGAGGUUGAAUUCACCAUGUACUAUGCUGAGGAGGGAGUAGGGCAUCAUCUCAUAGGGCCCUACUCACCGCAGCAGAACGGCGUGGUGGAGCGACGAAAUCAAACCAUCAUCGCCAUGGCGUGAUCCAUGCUGAAUGCGAAGGACAUGCCGGUUGAACUUUGGGGGGGAGGCGGUGGGCACGGUAGUGUUCAUCCUGAACCGUUGCCCCACGAAGGCGUUGAAGGGGCAGACUCCGUACGAAGCUUGGCACGGGCGCGAGCUGAACGUCACGUUCCUACGCAUGUUCGGGUGCGUCGGCCAUGUGAAGACCACCAAGCCGGGCCUCACAAAGCUGGAAGAUAGGAGCACCAAGGUGGUGUUCCUCGGCUACAAGGAGGGAUCUAAGGCUUAUCGGCUCUAUGAUCCGGUCGGCGGUAAGGUGUUGGUGUCACGAGAUGUGGUGUUCGACGAGGCGGCGGCGUGGAAGUGGGACAAGGCAGAGGAGCAAGGAGGCAGUGGGCAUGGCGACACUUUCAUCAUGGAAUGCUUGACGAUCCAUGAUAGGGAAGAGGAGUCUUGAGAGCUAGCAAUCGGGGAAGCCGGUGACAUUACAGCUCCAGAGGUGGUGGAGCCAUCAAGUCAAGCAGUGGCUGGAACGCCAGUUGUGGGGGUAUAAACCCCUAUACCCUUACGACUAGACUUGGGCCAGGAGGCUUGGCCCAUCACAUGACAAAUUCGGGACUUUAUCCAACUGCUCGGAGUUUCGCGCAAGGAAACAAGACGUGGAGAUCAAGUAGGAUUCUAGUCGGUUAGGAUAGAAAUUGAUAUCGUACUAUCUAUGGAAAUUGUAACCGACUAGGAUUGGUUUCCAGAUCUGUAACCCUGCCCUCCGGACUAUAUAAGGAGAGGCAAGGGACCCCCCUAGGACAUCGAAUCUCAACUCGACACAAUCCAUAGCAAUACAAUCAGACGCAGGACGUAGGUAUUACGCCCACACGGCGGCCGAACAUGGAUAAAAACCUUGUCCGUGUCUUGCGUCACCAUCAAGUUCGUUGCUUGCGCACCGUCUACUGAUAAACUACUACCGUGGGUAUACCCCAAGGCGGCGUCAACAAACUCUUUCGACUCUUGCCGGCCAACUCGUGUCACCACACACGAACAGCUGGAGACGUCCCUAACAAUAACAUCGACCCCCAGGGGACGAUCUGUCAAGCUCAAGACAGCUGAAGACCAGAAUUGCCCUUAUGGUCUAAACAAAUCGACCGACCAGUAUUCUCGGCAUACCCAAUUUCUAUUCAGCAGGGCGGGCUUGUCGUCGGGACAGAGCAGCCGGGCAGCUCACCAUUACGUCAACAUGGUAUCCAUCCGAGUCCUGUCGGACGAUAAGGCUACCAGUACGAACUCCAGUACAGGGUCUGUCCCUACCGAGGUUUUACACUCCGAGGACGAAGAUUACGACCUGGAUUUGCCACCAUACCCUCCAGGUUUUUCUCGUUUUCCAGUCUUUCCACCCCAGCGAGGAGAUCUCGUCUUUAACGUCGGCAACGAUGAACCGGUUGUCGACGGCGAAACCGACGAGCAGAAGCAACUCCGCGAGCAGCGCAAUGCCGAUCGUGCUCGGCGGCGCACGGAUGAGGAACGACAACUUGCGCCACACAACCUCAGUGAUGCUUUCGACAUGGUCGGGGAUCAGCCAGUCUACAAGACGCCAAGCGCGAACGUGGCUGUCGCCAUGGCAAAUCUGGACCGACUCCCCGACACCCUGGAGUGCCAGGGCGUCCGGUCCAGUAUACGGGCGCAUCUGAUCGCUGCGAUGGGACAGACAGCCACUUUGCUCAAAAGGGUCCAAGCCGUCCCCUACACGGAGGUUUCCUCUGACCAGACUCAUCGCAGCCGGACUUCACCGUGACCCAGCGGGCGCCAUCAUAGCCGCUCCCUCAACGGUCGCAGAAAGGACGCUGGAUGCGACAACCGUGGUGAGGACAUGGGUGGUUAUCGUGAGCAGAGGCACGGGCGUGGUCAGGAAGUAAACCAGGAUAGGGAUCUACGCUAUAACAUCCCUCCCAAGGAUGCCCGCGACUGCAUCAACAGGCGCGCUACGGAAAGAGCGGUACACGAAAACCUACGACGCAUUGAGUAUGAUGCAGCACACGGCCCCCUGGCCUAAGAUAGUUCUCUUCACACCUUCGCCAGGUCGUAUGGCCCCGCAACUUUAUGCUCGAGAAGCUUAAAAAAUACGACGGCAAGGAGAAUUCUAAAAAUUGGAUCACUCUCUACGAGAUCGCAGUCCGAUCAACAGUAGGAGACGAGCACGUCAUGGCAAAUUACUUCCCAGUCGUCCUUGACCAAGCUAGCCAUCAGUGGCUCCUCGGCCUGCCUGAGGACUCCUUCGAUUCUUGGGAAGAACUGUGCCAGGCGUUUAUUGACAAUUUCAUCGCUACCUGCAAGCAGCCUAGAAACUAAUACGAUCUCGAGAGAAUAAGGGACAGAAAGAACGAGCCCUUGCGCGAUUACAUCCGACGAUUCUCGGAUAUGCGCCUUAAGAUUCCAAAAAUUUCUCACGACGAGGCCAUAUCAGCCUUCAUCAAAGGUCUACGCUUCCAUGAAGCACUAAGGAAUAAGCUACUGCGCAAAAGGCGGACCACGGUUACCGAGCUCCUCGCCACGGCAAAAAACUACGCUGAUGCCGAUGACGCAGAAAAACUCAUCCGAGAAGAUGCGAGAGGCGCCCACCAGCCUUCCCGACGAGACGACAGUCGCGGACGCUUCGACAACCGAAACCCUCACCGCAGUGACAACCGCGACCACCGAGAAGGUUGGGACAAGCGACGCGACAACCGUGAUGAUUUUAUAAGCAAGCGACCUCGUGACCACGACCACGAGGUGAACACAAUCAAGCGCCCCAACGGACGACGGGACUAUCAGGAAGACUACAACAAGACACUAAAAGGACCAUGCCAACUCGAUCCCAAGUCCAACCAUACGAUGGAAGAAUGUCGCGUCCUAAAAAGCAUCUAUACUCAGCGGGCCGCUCAGGGAGACUCUGUUAAGAAAAAUGGGAAACAAGAUAGGCACGAAGACGAAGACGACGACCAGGAUAGGGACCCGCGGCACCAGUAUGUCAGCCCUACCGAUGUGGUACAUUCCAUCUUUGGAGGCAAAGUUUCCAUCGAAUCCAAACGAGAAAGGAAGCUCCUGAAGAGAGCCUGCCUCAAUGUGGACAGCUCGGAUGGUCUGAUCACUGACCCGAAGUUUCCCCCUGGUCGCACAGAGAGAUCUCCUUCAACAGGCAGGACUAGUGGGCUGCAAUCCCAGAGCCAGGACGUUUUCCUCCGAUCCUAGACCCUUGCAUCUACAGCGUCAGAUUCGAGCGCGUGCUUGUCGACGGAGGCAGCUCCAUCGAUAUUGUUUUCCACAAUAGCCUGCCUGCUCUCAAGCUAACUUUAGCGCAACUGAAGCCAUAUGACGCUCAGUUCUGGGGCGUCCUGCCAGGUCAAAGUUCAGUACCCCUCGAGCAGACAACGCUGCCUGUCCAGUUUGGAACACCCGACCACUUUCGCAUAGAGUUCGUCAACUUUGUGGUCGCCGACUUUGACGGUACCUAUCACGCAAUUCUAGGUCAUCCCUCGCUGACCAAGUUCAUGGCGGUCCCGCACUACUUGUAUUUGGUCCUCAAGAUGCCAACUGAGAAAGGCGUCUUGACCGUCAGAGGCAACAUCUACACCGCAUACACUUGCGAGGAGGAAAGCUUCAACAUCACUGAGGCAAUUGAUCUCUCGAUUCGCAUGACAGAAACUGUAGCUCAAGCCACGCAAGUUCCACCCGACUAGCUCCAACUACCUGAGCAGGAGACUCCAAGGAAAAACUCAAAGUCCAAAGAGCACAAGGAAGUACAGCUGGUCGACGGCAACCCCGAGAAGACGGCUCUCAUCGGGGCCAACCUGGACCCCAAAUAGGAAGACGCGCUCGUUAGGUUUCUAAGGGACAACGUAAGAAUUUUUGCAUGGAAACCCAUAGACAUGCCCGGCGUCCCACGAAACCUGGUCGAGCACUCCUUAAAUGUCUUGAAGACCGCAAGACUGUUGACGGUCCUUAAGUAUCAAAUUUAAUCAUCAAAUAAAUAAAGAAAAGGAUCCAAAUGCAACGAACACCUAGACUUAGGGUUUUAUCUAACAGAAUUCCACAAGUUUUGGUGUUUGUCUAUUUCUGUAGGGGGUUAUCAGGAAAUAUGGAGGAAAGGCUCACACGUCGGGUUUACAUAGAGAUAUUAACGUGCCGCGCAAUUUUCUAUCAUCUAGAAGACUCCAGAAGUCACAAGAACGAACGGGAAGCCAAGCGGGCUCGGGGGUAGGGCGCCCGCCCGCCCCCCUUGGGCGCCCACCCAGCUACAGAGUCCAAUCCGGACUCGUUUCGCGGAUUACGCUCCACCGACCUAAAGGAUCAAGGAUAACCGUUCAAUCAAUGUCGGUUUGAUCCGACGGCCUAGAUUCACUUGAGGGGACUAUAUAAGUAGACCCCCUGGCCCCUGGAGGAGGCACCGCUUGAUCCCUAUUAAUUAUUCAUAGACAGAGCAAAAGCUAGGGUUUGGAGAUGAGAGCUCUCCUCUCAUCUCUAAACUAGAGUAGAUCUAGAUAGUAGCGAGAUGGAGAGCGAGGGAGGAUUGGAGGAGAGGCCGGCCUGUCGGUUCUUCCUCUGGUUGUACUUCGCCAUGAUCAAGCUCUAAUCAAGCUUGCUCAUGGGAUGACUCUGGUAAUCUACUUCUAAUUCAUUAUGCAAUUACUAAUCAUGUAUGUUCUGGUUCACAACUCUUUUGAGUACUUUAAUCUAUAGGACGCUAUAGGUGAUAGUUGUAGUAUAGGUGUAAGCGUGGUGCUUAGACCUAGAUUACUUGUGGAUAUCCCCUGUCUAGCUAGAUCGUGUGGUAGGCCGCGUAGGUGACAGUUACGUUGAUCCUCUGUAGUCCACCUCUUGUUAGCAGGACGGGUAGGGUUUAUCGCCCUAUGGAUAAGCAUCCUUUGUGGUGUAUUCUUAUCACGUGGUUCGUCCCAGACAUAGACAUACCCCUUUGAAGUAGAGAAACCAUAGUUAUCCUCUCUAUUCUGCUACCAUCGCCCAUAUAUUAGAUUGCUCUACUCUCUAUUCCCAUAUUAUCACCCAUUGUUAUUUUACCUUUAAUAUUGUUCUUAUUCAAUUCUACCAUCUUUCCUAUUUACACCUACCUAUCUAUCUAGGUUAAGUUAGAGCGUAGAUCAGUUCUCCCGUUUUCCUGUGGAUACGAUAAAACCUUUAACCGGGUAAAAGCUACAACGGUAUCCGUGCGCUUGCGGAUUUAUCUGUGUGCGUAUAAAUACCAUAGUACACUCUAGUGCCAUGGUGGGGAUGACAACCUAGUAUUCAAGUGGUGUUAGCUAGUUUUAACAAGCAUUUUUGACGCCGUUGCCGGGGAGACGGUUGCUGAGUUGACUACGAACUAGCUUAAUCAUUUUCUAAAAAAAAUAUUUUUCCUUUUACCCUUUGCCUUAUCUCUGCUAUUCUUUCUUCUUAUCUAAUCCUUGAUCUCUGGUCUAUCAUGAAUUCAAACAUGUCUAUCUACGAAUUCCAUAGACCUACGGGCACACAUCUCGAACCACCAAAAUCUUCAAAGCCUAUCAUAGCAUCUAGUUUUGAGAUAGACCCCGAAUACAUAGAAUUUUUUCAAAAACAACCUUUCUCAGGAGAAGGUGAAGAAAACCCAUACAUACACCAAAGAGAGUUUUAUCGAGUCUGUGACCUCCUUCGCAUAAAAGGCAUGUCCGAUGAGACCCUUAAAUGGAAGCUCUUUCCGUUCUCUUUAAUAGGAAAAGCUAGACAUUGGUAUAAACUCAAAGUAGGGAGUGUUCAUGGAGAUUGGAAGGAGAUACAUAAUAGUUUUCUUUUAAAAUAUUUUCCAAUCUCUAAAGUGGCGGAACUUCGGCGUGAGAUUAUUUCUUUUAGACAACUGGAGGAAGAAUCUCUUGGCAAAUCAUGGGACCGCUUUAUUAACCUUACUCUCAUUGGCCCAAAGCUUUCUAUUCCACAAGAAGUUCUUCUAAUUCACUUUUUUGAGGGCCUUAGUAUGGAAAAUAAGCAAACAUUGAAUACAGCCUCCGGAGGAUCUUUCCAUCACCUAUCCGCUAGUGAAGCUUGGAAUUUGAUUGAUUUAAUGAGCGAAAAGUCUCCUAGCUUUUAUAUCCCUGAGAAAGAGAAAGAACCAGUUCCUAGACAAGAAGAAGAAGUUUCGAUAGCCACAUCACAACCACUUCAAUUCCAAACUUUAGCUAUCGAUCCUAAACCAUCAAUACCCCAAAAUUCUCCAAGGGAGGAAGUAAUUCCGACCUUAAAUCUUUUAGAUACUGAUGGUUUAGACUUCUGGUUCCAUAAGAGACCUUCAAGCAGGGAUAAUUCAAAUCCUUGCAAUAAUGUUUCUCUUAGAAAAUGUCCUGGUUCCUUUUAUGAAGAAGUCGAGGAUGACAUAUCAAGUGAAGGAGAGCUAAGCCAUAUAGAAAAUUCUAUCAGCUCCCCUUUCCUGAUCACAAGUUCUAAAUGGCUAGAAUGUGUAGAAUGGAUGGAUAAGGAAGAAGCCUUAAUGGAUUCUGACUUUGGCUAAAAUGGUGAGUUCUUGACUCCCUUUGAAAAUGGGAUUCAUCCAACUAUAGAAGAGGACAUAGGUGAGACCAAUCCAGGAGAAAUUUCAAACAUUCAGAUUGGAGACGAAGAUAACAUUAAUGAGCAUGGAAUUUAUUUCAAAGCCAUCUCAUUUACUCCAUGCUCAUAUGCAACAUCUUCCCAAUCUAUUGGUCUCUCCAACAUCACCACAUUUGAGAUCUCCAACCCCCUCUUCCUUUAUAUUUAUAAAAACUUUAAAAGGGCGGUUGUCAAUGCAUAUGUCUAUAAUAAAUAUUGUAGAUCUCAUUGAGUUGAUCUUGAUAUAGGUCAGCGUUGGAAGGGAAACCACUACGCCGAGAUAAAUUGAUGGUUUCCCAAGGACAAGCUUAGUGUCCUAAAAUAUGCAUUGAUCAGAUCGUAACAUGAGCUUUUAAUUAUUUGCAACAUUACCUUGUGUAUUGAGCAUAUAAGGAUAAUUGUAAAAAUAUUCCUUCGGGUAUUCUUGUCACUAACCUUUCUAAGAUUGGAGCAAGAAGAUCGGAUGAAUGACAAGCACAAGGUACGUCCAACCGAUCAUCAUACAACAUUGAAUUAAGUUCAUCCAAACUUGAAUUUUGCAAAAUUCAAGCUUGGCGAAGUACCUUACAUAAAAACAUCUUUUGUCAUGUUGCUAUGUUGGUUGUCCCUACCUUUGAAACAUGCUUAAUUUGUUAAAUACUAAUCACACUACUUCAUCUCCAUUUGAGUCGAUCUCUAUAAAUGCUGUCAUGCUACCUUUAUCUAUUUACUAGCAAGUGUUGGUUUGGAAGUACUCGCCAUACUUCCAUUGGCAUUUAAAUUAAGCAUGGUGCUUAGGUUAAAUAGCCUUCCUUAAUCUGAUUAGACAUGGAGUCUAGUUUGGUUAUUGAACUAAAAACUGCUUGAGUAGAUAUUGGUAUAUUUUGUCGGACUAACCCCUGCAGGAAAACUUUCAAUAUCAACCUGGGAAGUCCUGAGAUAAACUCACAUUGGAGACAAGGAGAGGGACACAUGAAGUUUAACAAUUUGCACAAGAAGGACAUAGCUCAUUCAUCAUAGAGAGAUGAUCCAUGGAAGGAGACAAAGUACAUAAACAAGAUACACAACCACUACGAAUGGGAAGCUUCCACAAGGUGAGAUGGUACCAUCACUCUUCAAUUAAGGUAACAUCUUAAGAUAUCUGACUAUCACUUUUAUAAGCUUCUCCUUGGUUCUGGCGUUCACAUAAAUAAAGAGACAAACAUGUAUGAUUUAUAACUCCAAAUUAACCAACCCAACUGACUCAGCAUGUUUAGUCCUUUAAUCUUUGUUCCUAGUACUACCUCCAUGAUCCCACACUCCUAAUCAUAUGAGCUAAAAUGUUACACAUUCAAUCUUUGAGAGAUAUAAAGAAAAAGACAUAUACAUAGAUAGAUUAUCUUUCCAUAAGGUUGAGCGAUCUGAUCUGACAAAUGUUAUAAGUACUGCACUCAUGAACUUAUCAUCCAUCACCAUUGUCUUGCUCACUAUGCUUAAGGUUAGAGAAGAACAAAUACACUUUUGGUUCUGUGGGUGUUUUCCACCAACAGGACCCAUGCACUUGAUCUCUGCCUUGUCUCUAUGAGCAGGUACACUUCAAGCAAAAUAUGGAGGAGUUUUAUAACUCUCAGACUCUACCAAAUGAAGGACCUGGAUCUACGAGCACAAACACACUGAGCAGGAUGCUGCCAACGCCGCACUUCGAACUGCUGGGCAAACGAAGAACAUGGGUGACACCGUAUCAAGAGGUGCAGACGUCAAGGUCCACACCUGAAUCAAAUGGCGCACCUAAAGAAUGAACACGGUGAGAAGUCUUGUUCAGAAGACUUAAAACAUUGGAUCCUUCCGGAAGGUAAAAUCGGUAUUUAUCCAUAUUUAUCUUUUCUGCAAUCCUUUUCCUUUUUUUAUUUCAUCACUUGCAUUAGUAUAUUUACUUUUCCACAUUAGCAUUAGAAAAGAAAACAAAAAUAUUUGUUCAUUGCACUGUAUCAUAAAAUCUAAAGCCCCAUGUGAGUAGACUUGUGGUUUAAAACCCAUAGGUAUAUUGACUGUGGUGGUAUAAAAUAAAUAUGUUUUGAUCUUACAAUAAAAAAAAUAAUAAGUGCAUGAUCCUGCUAAAUAAAUAAAAUUUAUUAGGGGGAAUAUCAAUAUGAUAAAGGCUAAGAGAUUUUAUGCUAACACUUAACCAUUCCACAAAGCUUUGUUGUCUAUUUGAGCUCCACAGAAUUCAAGGAUCAAAGAAGACUAGCAAACGGAGGACAUCCUAAUCGCUGUCAGGGUGCUGCCGACAUUCAAAUACACCUCCGUCAACUGCUAGCUACAUCAGAAGAAAUUACGUCAAAAUCCAGCUUGGGGGAGAGCACCCCCAUUUAUCCAGCUAAGUGUUUCUACUCAUAUUUAUACUUUACUCAAAUAAUAAAAAGACGCAUAAUCGUAAAAACCCAAAUAAAGAUUUUAUGCUUAUAUAUAUAUAUAUAUCUUUUCUUAGUUUGCUAAAUAAAUAAAUAAAUAAAGUUUGCUAUGAACCCUCAUAAUAGGCUCUCACAUGGAAAUGAUGAAUAGUUGCUCUGCCAUGAUUAGUUCUCAAAAUUGAAAUCUCUCACAAGUUUAGGUAUGACUGUUAUGAAUUAAGAUUUGCUCUAAACCUAAACUUGUGGGAAGAGUACUUGAUCUAAAGUCUAAACGGAUAUGAUAUGGGAAGGUUGAGCUGCUGUUUAUCUGUUCCUAGAGAUGCUAGAAUUCUGGAGAAUUUUAUCUUUAAAAAUCUUUAAAAUAUUGCAUGAUGAGUUCCUGUAUAAUGAGAGUUUAAAAUCCUACCACAGCCAUAUAUACAUGCUUAUUAGACUAUGAACCAUACAUUUACUUUUUACUGCUUAUGAGCAUUGAGUGUGGUCAAGCUGUGUAGACCCUUAGGAGCUUGUCAUGCGGUUAAAAUCAAGAUUCACUUGCACGUUCACUCAUACAUGCUGCUUCUACUCCGAUAGUACGCAUCCACAUACAUCCACUCAUUUCCAUAUCCAGAUUCACCUAAAAUUAUUCUAUUCCUAUCCAGGAGAGAAUAGCCAAAAAUAUUAUCCUAUCCCUGUUAUUCCCCAUGAAAUAAAUGCUCGAGAUAUUUUGGUUACUACCACUUGCUACAUUAUUCCAAGAGGGUGAGUGCUCUGAAAAAAAAAGAAAAGUGAAUACGAGGAAAUAAAAAGGGGCAAGUGCCCGGAACCUCGAAAGAAAAGAAAAAGUAAGACGAGAGGUAAAAAUGGACAAGUGUCCGACAGUAGAAUUAGGGGUACAAGAUACCCACCUGAGAGAAAAGAAAAAGAAAAUAUAGAGCAUCUCAUUCCUCUCAAAAACCUUCAAAGUGCAAGAAAGGUAUGUAUCCCCUCAAAAGAGCAAAAGUAGAAUUAGACUUUCACCAUUAUUUUCAACAUUAUCACCAUCAUCACCAUACACCAUUCAUUCGCCACGCAUGCACAUCUUGAUUUGACUUAUUGACUUGUUUCUCUAGAUCCAUGGUUUGACUAUGCAAUAAAUGUCUUGUAAGUAUGUAUUAGCUGUCUCCCACCUAUGAGCCCAGAUAUCAAAACCUUGUUAGAGUAGGGUGAGAGAGAAGGCAAUAAUAUCAUUAUGCCUCAUACCACAAAUACCACAUACUUUGAGAGAAGGCAUAUAUCAUCACUGCCUUGGUAAGGAUCCAGAAAUACCACAAAAGAGAGACUAGAGAGAGUCAUACAAGGAAUCUCUGAGUUUUAUUUGAAAAUCUACAAAAACUCCAGAGCUAUAGUUGAUCAAAGAACAAGAGACAUGGUGCUUCACUUGACCGUUCUAUCUUUUAACUGCUCAAGACACAAUUGACGGUUGCAAGCCCCAUGGUGGAAGGUAAUAUGAGUAAACUUAAAUCUUAAUAGUUUAUCUUAACCUAGACAUGAGAUCUUGUUUGAACGCAUGAGUACCUUUAAGGCAUAAAACCACAGCAAAAACUCUUGAGUCCAUCUUUGCUCAGGGACGAGCAAGAGGUAAGCUUCGGGGAGUUUUUUGACGGUCCUUAAGUAUCAAAUUUAAUCAUCAAAUAAAUAAAGAAAAGGAUCCAAAUGCAACCAACACCUAGACUUAGGGUUUUAUCUAACAGAAUUCCACAAGUUUUGGUGCUUGUCUAUUUCUGUAGGGGGUUAUCAGAAAAUAUGGAGGAAAGGCCCACACGUCGGGUUUACAUAGAGAUAUUAACGUGCCGCGCAAUUUUCUAUCAUCUAGAAGACUCCAGAAGCCACAGGAACGAACGGAAAGCUGAGCGAGCUCGGGGGCAGGGCGCCCGCCCUCCCCCCUUGGGCGCCUGCCUAGCUAUAGAGUCCAAUCAGGACUCAUUUCGCGGAUUACACUCCACCGAUCUAAAGGAUCAAGGAUAACCGUUCAAUCAAUGUCGGUUUGAUCCGACGGCCCAGAUUCACUUGAGGGGACUAUAUAAGCAGACCCCCUGGCCCCUGGAGGAGGCACCCCUUGAUCCCUAUUCAUUAUUCAUAGAUAGAGCAAAAGCUAGGGUUUGGAGAUGAGAGCUCUCCUCUCAUCUCUAAACUAGAGUAGAUCUAGAUAGUAGCGAGAUGGAGAGCGAGGGAGGUUUGGAGGAGAGGCCGGCCUGUCGGUUCUUCCUCCGGUUGUACUUCGCCAUGAUCAAGCUCUAAUCAAGCUUGCUCAUGGGAUGACUCUGGUAAUCUACUUCUAAUUCAUUAUGCAAUUACUAAUCAUGUAUGUUCUGGUUCACAACUCUUUUGAGUACUUUAAUCUUUAGGACGCUAUAGGUCAGAGUUGUAGUAUUGUCGACAAAAGCUAGUCGGCAGUCUACCCAGGGGUAUACCCACGGUAGUAGUUUAUCGGUAGACGGUGCGGAAGCUACGAACUCGACGGAGAUGCAAGACACAGACAAGGUUUUUAUCCAGGUUCGGCCGCCGUGUGGGCGUAAUACCUACGUCCUGCGUCUGAUUGUAUUGGAUUGUGUUGAGAGAAUCUCCUUGGGGGGUCCCUUGCCUCUCCUUAUAUAGUCCGGAGGGCAGGGUUACAGAUCUGGAAACUAAUCCUAGUCGGUUACAAUUGCCAUAGAUAGUUCGAUAUCAUUCCUAUUCUAACCGACUAGAAUCCUGCUUGAUCUCCACAUCUUGUUUCCUUGCGCGAAACUCCGAGCUUGUCGGAUCAAGCCUCGAACUUGUCUCGUAAUGGGCCAAGCCUCCUGGCCCAAGUCUAGCCGUAAGGGUAUAGGGGUUUAUACCCCCACAGCUAGUCCCCGAGCACCAUGUAUUGUGAAGUAACACGCCGUCUUGAGCUUCUUCAACUAGUGAGGUUUGACAUCUUCAAUAAGCAGGAAGGUCGCCCAAACAGUUGCAACGGUAUUUUGACCAACUCAAAAGAUAAUUGACCAACAUUGACAUCGAAGAAGCAGGUUGUUCGAAGAAUGCAUGGUGCUCUUGAGAAAAAAUAUUUCUUUUCUCGAUGAAGUGUGCCCACUUUACUUUUAUAAAAAGUAUGUCCUUAACAAAAAAGGCAAGCAAGUUCACCACAAGGUGAAGUGUGCCCACUUAGUCCCCGAGCAUGGUAGCAGGUGUCGUAGGCACGUGGUGCCAGGGUCAAAAGAAAAGUCCUCAAAGAAAUUCUUAAACUGAGAUGCAUCGCCAGAUGCAUCGUACCGAUGUAGUCCCCGAGCUUGCUGGAAGGCGAAGUAUGAGCCAUGUAGCAAGGUCUAAAAAAUUCAAGUUUUCUAGUCCCCGAGCAUCUCAUGCUCAUUUGCCAUCGGGUAGACUUACCAACCAGUCCCUGAGCGUGUAGUGCUCGGUGGUUGGUGCAGUACCCAGAUUUCCAAACUGGCAGACUGGUCGACCAGUACCCAAGCAUACAGUGCUCGCUGGUCGGUGCAGUCCCUAGAUCUCCAAACUGGCAGACUGGACGACCAGUCCCCAAGCAUACAAUGCACGGUGGUCGGUGCAGUCCCCAGAUCUCCAAACUGGCAGACUGGACGACCAGUCCCCGAGCAUACAGUGCUCGGUGGUCGGUGCAGUCCCUAGAUCUCCAAACCGGCAGACUGGACGACCAGUCCCCGAGCAUACUGUGCUCGGUGGUCGGUGUAGUUCCCAGGAACGUUGAUCCUCUACCAAUUUUCGUCUGUUAUUUUGAAAAACAUCUCAUCACAUAAAUGGGUGAUGUGACGAGACCUCCUGACGCAUUGUCAGAUGGUUGCGUGAAAAGGUGCACCCGGUAACUGCGCAGCCGCUCUUUGCGUGGUUCAAGAAAAGGAAACCAUUAAUUAUGCAAAAAGGCUGCCGUAUUAACUGCUGGUAAUUGUUGGAAGCCGAAACGCCGCAUCUGCCGCUGGGCCCGCCCACUUCCCAAGAAUGCGGGAAGUGGGAGGGGUGGAGUUGUUACUUAUAAAAGCUUGAUGGUGCCCCCGUAUCGUUUACCCUGCCAUUGCCUUCAAGCUUUCCAUUCUUGCCUUCUGCAACCAUCAUCAAUCCCCCAACCUCGUAGUCAUUCCCACAGUGUUAAUGGCGAAAAGCGACUCCAAGAAGAGGGCCGAGCUGAUGGCUAAGGAAUGGAAGAAGUCUCGGAGCAGCGUGAGGUCCCUCAAUGACCUCGUCGGCAUGGGUCUACUACACAGCCAAGAGCUCGGCGGCUGGAGGGUGCCGGAGGGGGAGAGCUACCCCGACCCCCGUGCCGGUGAGAUAGUGGUUUUCGAAGAUUUUUUCAACAGGGGUUUCGGGGUUCCUGUCCAUCCUUUUCUCCAGGGGCUUCUUCUUUACUAUGAGAUCGGGAUCUGCAAUCUGUACCCGAACUCAAUUCUUCUUAUUUCCACUUUUAUCCAUCUGUGCGAGGCCUAUGUUGGGAUAGAGCCGCACUUCGAUCUUUUCCGCUACCUUUUCUGUUUGAGGAAGAAAGGAGCGGUUGGAGGCUCCAAGAUUGCAGGUGGAGUAUACCUCAAUCUUCGUGACGGGAUGAAGAACUGGUAUCUCAGCUACCCAUGGAACACUUCGCUUACCGAGUGGUACAAGAAGUGGUUCUACGUCAGGGAAGAACCGGGCAGCUCCACGUUCUGCGACGUGGGGUACAUUCCCGAGAAGAGGGUCAGUUCGACAGACCGCCCAGCGUUCACCGGUCAGGUAGAAGACCUGAUGAAGCUGAUCGAUUGGUCGUGUUUGGACGGGCUAGGAGUGGUCGGCAACUUCGUUUGUCGUCGGGUGAUGCCCUGCUAGAAGAGGGUGCACUCGGCGUACGAGUACGCUGGGAGCCAGGACCCGACCAGGAUGAGCCCAGAGGUCUUGGAGAAGGUGGAAGUGCAACAGCUGUUGAACGAGCUGUUCAACUUUGCCGACGGCAGCUUCGUCCGUAGUAGUGAUCGGGUGCAGGCCUUCAAGCUGGGGCGAACAGCUCCCAAGGUAAUGUUGCGAACCGAUUUUGCUUUUUCGAGUACUAGUUCUCCUAGUUGUUGAUUUGUCUUUUAUUUUUGCUGUAGAUUGGAGACGUUGACCAGUGCGCGGUGUUCGUAUCACUGGCACCCGGCAUGGAGAACCCCGCGGGGGUAGACCCGUCGGAAGAGGACGCUGCUCGGUGUGCUUGGUACACCAGCAGUGAGGAAGAGCAGAACCAUCCCGCCCCGACCACCGAAGACAGAGUGGCGGGGAAAAGGCCGCUAGCAGCAAACCCCUCCCCUGCGGAAGCGCUGUCGGCGGAGAGCAGUCAGGCGCCAAAGCGCCGUCGACUCAUCCGGAUCACCGACAACGACGACGAGGAGGAGGAGGCCGCGCCUUCCCUGGUCCGGAGGCCGCGCAGUCGUCCGGACGUAGCGCCGACCACCACUGAUCGGGUGACUAGCGACCCUCCUACACCGCGCAUCGUAGAGACGGGGGCGCAGGCACCAUCCGGUAGGACCAGGAGGAGGUUCACCGCAACACACAGGCGAUCUGACCUGUAAGUGUUUAAUCUUACUUUCGUACUGCGACGUUCUGCAUUUUGCUGCUAUUUCUGACAUUAUUUAAAUGUCGUUUCGUUGUCCAGCGUGGCGUCGGAUGUCGACCCCGACCAGGUCGCUGAAUAGAGGACGGCUGAGCCUGUAGCCGCCGUUGGUGACGCCGCGCCGCAAGCCACGGAGCAGCCUGUGGUGACAACUGCUGCUACGAGCGCCGAGGAAUAACCGGCCCCGGCGAGUGCCGCGGCGAGCAUCCCGACGAGGGAUGAAGAGGCAGCGAGGACCCCUCCACCGAGUAAUGUUGUGGGGGAGGAAGACAGAGUCCCGACUCCUCCAGCCGGAGAAAGGGGGGUCCCAACACCGCCCCGAGCAGAGGCCUCUUCGCCCAUAGGCUCCCCUGGCCUGCACCAGGGGCCAGUGAUGCCUACGACCGCGGCCGGUGGCAGUGCGGCGAACGAGGAGCCCUGGGCGGCCUCUAACGACGACGUGGAGGAGAUCCAGGGUCGUCCCAGUGACGGCCGCCAGCACGUCUACGUGUGGCGCCAACGCGGGGACCACUUCAUUGGACAUGAGGAGCUCGCGGAGACGGAAGAGGCCGCGAGGGUGGAGCGCGCGGCCAAGCGUCUCGUGGACGAGGUUAAGGUAAGUAGUCCUUUGUGCUGCUCGACACUUAUAUGCUGUGUUCCUGGGUUCGACAUAUGUUCUUCUUGCAGGGCGCGAUGAAAACGGUGAAGUACCGGAAGAGGUGCUUCGACCAAAUAGAGCGCAUUGUGGCCGAGAACAAGGCCUUGUCCACGCAGGUGGACCGGCUUCGGUCGGAAGUUGGAGAGAAGGUGGCCGAGAUGAGUGCUCAGGAAGAGCGUCGUUUCGAGCUCACUCGGCGUUUAGCCGACCAGUAUCGGCAGCGGACAGGUGAGUCAUGUACUCCGAGCAUCUGUUUGUGGCCGCGUGGCUAGUUGUGUUGACCAGAGGAUUGUUCCUGUAGACUUGGAAGAGGAGGUCGCGCGCCUCCGGCAAGAGAAGGAACAGCUCGACCAAGAGCUUGCCGGGGCGCUGGAGGCCGGGCGCCGAGCAGGCGAGGAGCUAAGCCACAGGAAUCGGGAAUUGUCUGGUAAUAACCGUGCCACCCCCUUUUUAUUUGGUUGCUUCACAUUCCUUUCCUUGUUCUGACCUCCUGUUUGGUUUGUAGUGCUCAAGGUGAAUACCAAGAAGCAUUUAGACGAUCUGGUCAAGGAUCGGGACUCCUGGAAGGCCAACUGCAUUAAGCUUUGGAAAGGAGUGGCCCCGGUUCUGGACUUGAUCAGCCCUGAGCUUCCUGAAGACCAGCCCCGCGCGCCGAGACUAACGCCAGUCGAGAAGGCGCAACGAGCGUGGGACUGGCUCCAACAGUUCGUCAAGGACGCCGGGGAGUUCGCCGGCGCGCACGUCCUCAGCAUGGUGUGCGCCCACUAUCCCCUGGUCGACCUGUCCAGGCUGGAGAGGGGGUACCCUAAGGAAGUUGGCCCACAGGAGGCAGACGACCUUCGAGCUGGCCUGCUUGACUUGUCGUCGACGGUGAUCGGCGACAUCAACCAAUGCGGGACGGCCACUCCCCCCGACCAGCCGGGGUCAGACAGAUCGGCCAGGGAGUUGUCGGGGGCGUCCAUUGCCGGAGAUGGGCGGUCGACGCCUGCGGUCUCGACCAACCAGGCACCGGUGGCCCCGACCCCUUCGUCUGGGCAGCAAGGCCAAGCGGGUGAUCAGCCCGAGCAGUAGGCCUAUAGGAUAGUCUGUAGGAGUAGACUAGUAUCCGCCCGUCGGGGUGUUUAUUGUAAACUUUGUAUGUAAAGUUUGUAAUAAAAUUUGAUUUUGUCAUGACCAUGAUUCUGAGAGCUGUAAUGUUAUCUGGGUGAUGUAUCACUGUGUUUGAUUGAUAGUCGUUAAGAGUCUUUGCCGCAGAGGAAGACUGUUGUACUCGUCGGAACCUCUGCGUGUAAACAAUACAUAGCGAAAAAGAAAAACUUUUAUUAUUGCUAAUUAUAAGAAACUUACAAGCAAAAGAUACUGGAACUUAUGGAUAAAAACGGCGCAGUUUGUCUAUGUGCCAAGAAAUGGGCACGCGUGUUCCAUCUCGAUAUGCCAGUCUGUAGGAUGUAGGGCGUGUGACCUCGGCGACCACAAAGGGUCCUUCCCAAGGCGUGGAUAACUUGUGCGUUCUUUCCUGGCUUGUUUUCCACUUGAGUACUAGGUCACCGACUGCGAAAGAAUGGUCUUUGAUGUUCCUGUUGUGAUACCGCCUGAUGGCUUCGAGAUACUUUGCUGUUCGAAGACAUGAAAUUAGACGCUUUUCCUCCAUGCAGUUGAUUUCGAGCUCCCUGGCGUUGUCAGCCGUUGAUUGGUCGAAGUUUUCAACUCUUGGAGGUCUGAAGGUUAUAUCAGACGGAAGUACUGCCUCGGAGCCAUACACCAUGAAGUAGGGUGAUACACCUGUAUUGCGACUGGCCUGUGUUCGGAGACCCCAGACCACGGCCGGCAAUUCUUUCAUCCAUGGACCAGGCGCUCUGUCGUUCUCGGUGUACAACCUUUUCUUUAGGGCAUCAAUGAUCAUUCUAUUUGUGCGUUCGACUUGACCGUUUUCUCGUUGGUGAGCAACUGACACGUAUUUUAUGACUAUGCUUCUGUCAUCGCAGAAGUCCCAGAACGUAGUGCCAGUGAACUGAGUGCCCAGGUCGGUGAUUAUACUGUUGGGGAUCCCGAAUCUGUGUAUGAUUUGAUUAAGGAACUCCACGGCCUUCUUGGAGGUUGCUUUGACCAGUGGUGUAACACCCUAGGGGUUUGUCACUUGCUAAGUACUAGGUUUGAGCUCAAACAUGACAAGUUCAUUGGUAAUAAAGAGGUCAAAGUCAAUCUAUGAAAGUAAACCCCAACUUGGGCUUGGUGGAUGCAACCUUGCUUGCAUAUAUGCCUUUUUAAAAGGUAUGCUUUGAUGAUGCUAAUGGAACCUUUUCCAUGUGUCUUAUAUCCAUCCCAAUCUAUGUUGGUCUCUGGAAAAGUUUGGUGAAGUUUGGAAUCAAGAAGUCACAUGAAAUGAUAAGUUAUAUCCUUGUUGGAAUGGCUCUAUUAAGGAAAUAGAAUCAUGGGUCACCAACCAGACCUUGCAAACUUGCUCAUAUGACACUAGAUGAAUUAUACAACAAAAGUCAUGAAGGGUUCAUGUUGAGCUUAUGUAAAGAAAAUGCUGGAAUUGGCCUAAAACCCUAUUUGGAGCUUUAUCAGGAUACUGCUUUGACCAAAGUGAAAGUUUGACUUCGGUUGGAGUUAUGAGGAUUGACCCUAAAUAAAAGUUGUAGUUUUCCUUCUGUAGAAGAAACUUUAUUCAAGGGUCAAGAACCAAAUCAGCCUGCAAAUAGUUCAAACAGAGGCUCAAAGUUCGAAUCAGCUGCUGCUUUUUAGCCCUGAGAAAUAAUUCUAAGUCCCGGAAAGUGACAGCAGCAAGUUAGCUUCUUUGUGACAUUUUAGCAUCCAAAUUCAUAUAGUAACUCAGUUGGAUUCCUUAAUAUGAGUUGGAUUACUCUUCUUGAUGAAAGCAAUGGAUCAAGUAUCAUCAAAUUUAGAGUUCAUUUGGAUAUCUAAAAGUAGCUCCCAAAACAGCAAAUGAUUAUUUUAUCGCUAAACGGACGUCGACCCGUUGGCAUGCCGUGUUCUCAUGUUUUUGUUAAGCAACAAAAGUUGGUCCAAGAAUAGAAGUAGUGGACAAUUACUUGGAAAAGGUCAUGUAAAAAGUUGCAUCAUGUUUGACGUGAUUUGGACCAUCAAUUCUUAGUUUUGCUAAUCACCGUCAAUACGUUGACACUCGUGACUUGGCAUCUAAUUAUCUCAUAAUCUGUUUGUCUAAUGACCAUGGUCCCUUAUUAAAAGUUGUAGUGCACGGUAGGGUGAGCAAACUUCGUUUUUGGCCCAUCUCCAAAUUCGGCCCGGAACAAGCCCAAAAUUGCCUCUCACCUUGCCAACUCCGACGCGCGCCACGUGCUCGACAAAAUACUUCAAAGGACGACGCGUGUCCUGCGCGUGGUCACCAUGCACGGCCCUGUGCCCCACCUCCCCUGUCCUUGCUGCUUCGAUGGCAUAGAGCCGCCCAGGCGCCCUCCACUCCGUUGGCUCACUCUCUGUGCUUCCCCAGUCCUCCCUACUCGCCCCCUCUCGCCCAUCGUUCGCUCUGGAGCUUGCCAUGGCCAGCAGCAGCCAUGGCCGGUGGACAGAGCUCCCUGCCAUCGCUGCUCUCCCUAUUGCGCUUGGUUAAGCCUCAGGCUGGAAAUGUCCCGGCGUCCACCCCGCCUUCCUCCUCCUCCUGCGCAUGCUCGCGUGGCCCAUGGAAGCCGAAGCCGCGCCGGUGUCGGGCCACCAUCGCUGCAGCCGUCGGCAUCCAUGGCUAAGCCACCCUGGACCACCACGGCGUGUGCCGCGGCCACCACGGGGUGCGCACGGCCCCCCUGGUCCUCCCCCGCCACUUCUUCGUCGCCGACGUGCCGCUAAACCGCCGGAAAACGCGAGUCCGAGCACCUCCUCUGUUCUGAUUCGCGUUAGGGAUCUCGCGCGACAAUUCGACGAAAUGGGAGGGGUUAUGUGCGAACCUGUGAGUCAUGUGAAUAGUGUUGCAAGGAUCUAUUCGUUGGAAUCUAGUUUGUGAAAAGUUCAGGGUUCCUGAUGCAAGAUCCAUUUUGCUUUGUUUCAUUCAGAUUUCUAGAUGAUCUUUGAUAAUGCAUAGAAAUUUAUAGAAAAGUCGUAAAAUAGCAAAUGUGAACUUUUUGGAAUUCUUAUGAAAUUCACUAUGCAGUAGAUCUAUAAUAUGGCAUGGUUUAGUUUGAAGUUUUCGUCGUAAAAAUAGAUUUAUGCAGUUAGGUUUUAAUUGCUUGUUAUAUUUGUCUUUUUCAUAACUGCUGUGUUGUUGCCUAAAUAAAUGUGAAAAUAUUGUGACAUGCUUUUCAUAUGAUAUUUGAUGACUGGUACAAUUUUCAUGAAUUUAGGAACAAUAGAUUAAGAGUCAUAAAAAUAACAAAUACCCCGUGUUCCUUUGCUCCUAUUCUGAGUGGAUCUGCAUAUUUGUAUUGUUUGGCUCAGUUAAGUUGUGAAUCAUGCCUUAAUGAAAAUAUAUAAGUUUUAUUACUUUUCAUGAUAUUUCCAAAAAGAUAAAUAGCACAAUUUUCGGUUAAGCACAUGUUUAGUUAUAGUGGUUUAAAGUAUUGUUCCAGUUUCUGUCUAAACCCAGACAGCACUGCAUUGUUUGUAAUGUACGACCUUAUUAAUGGUAGGUUUAGCUGUAGAUGUUUAUAACAAAGAUGUUCACAAUUUCGUAAGAUUUCUAGAAAGUACACAAUCAUAAAUUAUGGACAUGUGAACCUCAAGUUAUAGCUGUUUAAUGUAGCAUGACAGAUUCUGUCUAUGUUUUGGACAGAGAUGCCUUCAUGGGAUUAAUUGACCUUGUUAACUGUGGAAUCAUAUUUAGAUGAUAAUAAGAAAGUUGUAGGUAACUUUAUAAGCUUUCCACAAAUAUAAGAAUUAUGUUUGCUGGAGGUCAACAACUCCAGUUAUGCUGCUUUGAAUUGCCUAUCAGUUUUCUGUGUGUAAUUGUACCCCUACUGUUUGGGCAGCAUGGGCAGUUUUGAUUGUGCAACUAAUUUCAUGAUAUAAAUGAUGUUUCUUGUGCAACUUGUCUAUAUACAAUAUGUAGAUAAUUUAUUAACAUAUCUUGUGGUAAAGUUUCAUAUCAUUUGGCUAAGUGGUUUAUGAGUUACAGUAGUAUGAAGUUCAUCCCCUGAAAUGCUUGUUCUCUGGAAAUUCCUGGACCAGAUUAUAUGGUCAUGCAUGUUUGACUUGGUUAACUUGUUAAUCAUGCUAAUAUGAUUAAAGAUGAAUUGUAUAUGAUUUUAUAAUCUUUCCAGAAUGUCCUAUUGCAUAGUUUUUGGAGCUGUGUAGCUCUAGUUAUGAAUUGUUUACUGAGUUGCUGCAUGUAUGUCCAAAAUUGCUGAAAAUGCAUGAAUGCUUGAUUGCUUUACUUGUUGUGUGCAAACUGUGAUUCAUGUCUUUAAUGGUGAUUAAGUAAUACACUUGUAACCUUGUAAAACUUGUGUCAUUAUUGAUAUGUUUGCUCUAUAUAAUUGGUCGUGUGAUGUUAGCUAAAUAACUUUAGAUGCCUAUGUCUUGCAUACUUUUCUGUGAUGCAUGUUGUGUUAUUAUUCUUUAUAUUCAUGCACUUGCAUCUUGCAUCUCAUCUAGGUGCGCUAGAUGAAUCACGUCAAGGUCUUGGUGUGGGAACAAACCCGAAGACAGUGUUGGGUGGACCCAUCCUGAAGGUGGAAGGACAAAGCAAGUGUUGUGACCUAAGAUGUCACCAAGAUGGAGCAACUAAUUGAACUGACUCCUUGUUGAUCCCAGGCAAGCCCCGGAGCAUUAUAAGUCUCCUACUACUUUUGAAUGCAAUUGAGAAUAUAUGUUAUAUAUGUAUUGUUGCAUUAAGUAUAGGAGUUGGGUGAAACCCUUGCUGCAUAUAUCACUCCUUGUCCAGUAAAUAUACCUAUACCCCUACGUAGAUUCAGAAUCGAAUCUAAAUGCUUAGUUAUGCUUAGACCGGUAAAGCCAGGUGACGUUGUGUCACCUGAGCCAAAUAGGUGAAUACCUGGAUAAGUUGGCUAUAUAUGCUAUCAUGGAAAUAACCAAGUGAUGAGGAUGAAUAAUUGGAGACCGGGCGGGACGAUGGUAGAGAAGUAACAAGACAUGGAGGUCUUGGGUGCCUAUCUAUCCCCGCAUGUGUCGAUUAAGGACCGAUCGUUGACAGCUCUCUUGUCAUGUUGAACGCAUGUCCCACACUUAGCUGGAAGGAUAAGUCGUUCCAACCGCGAAGCCUGAGCACUUUCCGGGCCGGGAAUCGGCCCGAUGUACGCGCUGUAUUGGUGAUGGUUGAGGAGAACGACGAGGGCGCGGCGCGCAACCUUGGUAUACCUUGGAUACCUCGGUCUCCGGAACGGUCCUCGGGUACGGGCGGUGCCUGUCGAACCCGCGAAUUGGUCCUGGAUAGUGCAAUACGGUGAUCUGUAGCUCACUUGAUCAGUGAGUGUGGUUUGUGUGGGGAAUAACUCGCCAGUUGGUUAGAAAUCGAUUCGAAUCGCCAUCGCUCCUGGACAGUGAGCACUUGACUUGAGCUUCGUCAUCGUAGUAAUGUUUAUGGAACACUUGGAAGGUUAUGGUAUGAUGAUGUUGGAAAUGCCACAUCAAAUAUGGGUACUAUGGUUGUAUCUUAAUCAAGUGAUUGCUUUAGUACAGGUGCUAAUCUAGAUGACAGGUUAAUAAUUAUUAACUUGAGCUAAAUACCUGAAAGGUUACUUAGUUGCAACUUAAGCUUUUUAUGCAAAAAGUGUUGUCAAGCUAGCUCCACCAAUAAAGCCUUGCAUACUCCUUGGUGUCAUAUUAUUUCUGGUUUAUGACGGGUAAGUCUAGCUGAGUACCUUCUCGUACUCAGGGUUUAUUCCCACUUGUUGCAGGUUGUGAUGUAUCAUGGCUACUGCAAGAGUUGGAUGAGUCCUACCAUAAUAGAGGAGUAAGAUCAUGGGCAUGAUCCUUCUUAGUUACCUCAUCUAUGUUGCUUUUGUUGGAGUUGACCUGAAUACUGGCAUGUAUUUGAAAUGAGGGCAAUAUUGGUUUCAAAUUACUUUACUUCCACUACUUUUCAACUCAAGUUGUAAUAAAUAUAUUAAACUCUGAUGUAUGUCAAACUACUUGUGAAAUGGAUGUAACAUGUGACUUGUUAUGUUGAAUCACUAUGAUCUUGGCUUGUAUGAUGGUUGGAUUGAAAUCCCUCGUGAUUUUACAAACUACCGGGUUUAUGAGAGUUCGACUAUGUUAAAGCAACUGCUUUGGCGGGAGUUUUUCAUAGUUGAUCUCUUGUAAAUUGGGCGGUUCUGUUACAAGUGGCAUGUAUUCGAUCCACUUCGAGAAUUUAUCGAUUAACACGAAGACGAACUUGAAGUUGCCGGGAGCUGGUUUAAAUGGCCCGAUCAUGUCGAGGCCCCAGCAGGCGAAAGGCCAGGAUGACGGAAUAGUUUGAAUCUCAUGAGCAGGUACGUGGGUCCUUUUGGCAAAGAACUGGCAUCCUUCGCAAUGUCGGACCAGUUUUUCUGCGUCGGUGACCGCGGUUGGCCAGUAAAAACCUGCUCGGAAAGUCUUCCCGACCAGUGUUCUGGAGGCUGCGUGGUUGCCGCAGGAUCCGGCGUGUAUGUCAUCUAGGAGCUUGAUGCCAUCAUCUUGGGAUAUGCAUUUGAGCAGCACUUCGGAACUUGCAUUUUUUUCGCAUAAGUUUGCCGUCCACCAGUAUGUAAUUCUUUGAUCGUCGAAUGAGGCGCUCGUUCUCCGUUUUAUCCUGAAAGCCUGACCCGUCCGAUAUAUACCUGAUGAACGGGGUGCGCCAAUCACGGAUGCUGGAUGUCGGAGUAGCGUCGUCUAUGAGCAUUGCCUCAAUAGGUUGCUUUUUGACCAGGUCUGUGCCCACACUUGGCUCAUGGAUGUCCUGGAUGAAAACACCUCGCGGGAUCUGGGCCCGAGAUGACCCUAACUUUGACAUCGCAUCCGCUGCCUGGUUCUUGUCCCGGACCACGUGGAUGUACUCUAUGCCAUAGAAGUUGGAUUCCCAUUUGCCGAUUUCUUUGCAGUAGAGAUCCAUCUUCUCGUGGGUUGCGUCCCAUUCCUUGUUGAGCUGGUUGAUAAAUAAAGCGGAGUCGCCGUGGACGUAGAGGCGUUUGACUCCCAACUCAACGGCUAGUCGUAUGCCAUGUAAGCAUGCUUCGUACUCAGCGACGUUGUUUGACGCCGGAAAAAGGAUCCUAAGGACGUAACGCAAUUUGUCCUUGUUAGGCGACACGAAAAGUAUCCCAGCGCCGGUGCCGUUGAUGUUCAAGGACCCGUCAAAGAACAUUGACCAGUGGUCGGAGACGUCGGAAACGGGAGGCUCGUUAAGAUCCGUCCACUCUACGAUGAAAUCGACCAGGGCCUGAGACUUGACUCUGGUGCGGCUCUGGAAAUCUAGGGAGAAUGGGCAUAACUCCAUUGCCCAUUUUACAAUUCUACCGUUGGCGUCUUUAUUGCGCAGAAUAUCACCAAGAGGGAAACUGGUGGUUACCGAGACCCGAUGGCCGUCGAAGUAGUGCUUUAGCUUCCUCGAUGUUAUUAGAAUGGCUUAUAUGAGCUUCUGUAUUUGUGGGUAUCUGGCCUUGGACUCAUUUAAGACUUCGCUUAUGAAAUAUACGGGUCUCUAGACCUUGUAGACGUGGCCUGGCUCGUCUCGCUCGACCACUAUUGCCGUGGAGACGACCCUGUCGGUUGCUGCAAUGUAAAGGAGUAGGUCUUCAUUGGGCUAAGGCACUGUGAGAACAGGCGGUGAGGUGAGGAAAGUCUUGAGCUGGGUGAACGCAGCGUCAGCUUCCUCUGUCCAGGAGAAUUUUUCUGACGCCUUCAAGAGUUUGAAGAAGGGAAGGCCUUUUUCUCCUAGUCUUGAGAAGAAGCGGUUGAGGGCGGCCAUACAUCCGGUGAGCUUCUGAAUAUCCUUGACGUUCUUAGGUGGUCGCAUGUCGAGCACUGCUUUUACUUUUGAAGGAUUUGGUCGUAUGCCGUCGCGGCUGACGACGUUGCCGAGCAGUAGACCAGAGGGGACCCCAAAGAUACACUUUUUCGGGUUAAGCUUCCACUUGUACUUGUUUAGUGCCUUAAAGGUUCGGUCUAAGUUAUCGAUUAGGGUGAUUGCGUCCCUUGUUUUGACGACGACGUCGUCUACAUAAGCCUCGAUGAGGUCAUCACGAAUCUCAUCGUGGAGGCAUUGCUGGAUGGCCCGUUGAUAGGUGGCUCCAGCGUUUUUGAGUCCAAAGGACAUGGUCGUGUAGCAGUAUGCGUCGAAGGGAGUAAUGAAAGAUGUUUUGAUCUGAUCAUCUUCCUUUAGCGAGAUCUGGUGAUAGCCAGAGUAGCAGUCUAGAAAAGAGAGGAGUUUGCAUCCGGCUGUUGAGUCGACCACCUCGUCGAUGCGAGGGAGACCAAAAGGAUCUUUAGGACAGUGUUUAUUGAGAUCAGUGUAAUCAACGCACAUUCUCCAUUCAUUAUUCUUUUUGCGUAUAAGAACCGGAUUGGUGAGCCAAUCGGGAUGAUACACUUCUUUUAUGAAUCCGGCUGCUAGAAGCCAUGUUAUUUUUGUCCUAAUAGCCUCCUUUUUAUCACGAGCGAACCGUCGCAGCUUUUGCUUGAUGGGUCUUGCGGUCUUCGAGACAUUUAAGGAGUGCUCGAUCAGGUUUCGUGGGACGCCGGGCAUGUCUGCGGGUUUCCAUGCGAAAACGCUCACGUUGUCCCUUAGAAACCUGACGAGCGCGUCUUCCUAUUUAGGGUCCAGGUUGGCCCCGAUGAGGGCCAUUUUCUCGGGGCUGCCUUCGACCAGCUGUACUUCCUUGUACUCCUUGGAUUUUGAAAUCUUCCUGGCGGUCUCCUGCUCGGGUAGUCGGAGCUGGUCGGGAGGGAGCUGUGCGGCUUGGCUUGCUGUUUCUGCCAUGCGAAUUGAAAGAUCAAUUGCUUCAGUGAUCUUGAAGCUCUCCUCCUUGUAGGUAUAUGCAGUGUAGACAUUGCCUCUGACAGUUAGGAUGCCCUUCUCUGUAGGCAUUUUGAGGACCAGAUAUGAGUAAUGUGGAACUGCCAUGAACUUUGUCAGCGAUGGUCGGCCCAGUAUGGCGUGGUAGGUUUCAUCGAAGUCGGCGACCACAAAGUUGACGAACUCUGUUCGAAAGUGGUCGGAUGUGCUGAAUUGGACAGGCAGUGUUAUCUGUCCGAGGGGCACUGAACUUUGACCUGGCAAGACUCCCCAGAAUUGAGUGUCGUAGGGCUUUAGCUGUGCCGGGGUUAUCUUGAGAGCAGGCAAGCUGUUGCGAAAAAGGAUGUCAAUGGAGCUUCCCCCAUCGACGAGCACGCACUCGAAUCUGAUGCUGUUGAUGCAAGGAUCCAGUAUUAGAGGGAAACGUCCUAGUUCCGGGAUGGUGGCCCACUGGUCCUUCCUGCUGAAGGAGAUUUCCCUGUGCGACCAGGGAGGGAAUUUCGGGUCAGCGAUUAGGCCAUCCGUGGUGUCUAUAUUGAGGCAGGCUCUUUUUAAGAGCUUUCUUUCUCGCUUAGACUCGGUGGAGACCUUGCCCCCAAAGAUGGAGUGGACCACGUCGGUGGGACUGACAUACUAGUGUCGUGGGUCCCUAUCCUGGUUAGGACGCGCAUUCCUCCAUCGUGUGGCUGGACUUUGGAUGCAGCUGGCAUGGUCCCUUCAACGUCUUGUUGUAGUCGUCCUGGUAGUCUCGCCGCCCAUUGGGACGCUUGACCGUAUUCACCUCGUGGUCGUGGUCAUGAGGGCGCUUGCCUCUGAAGUCAUCGCGGUUGUCACACCGCCUGUCCCAGCCUUCUCUGUGGUCCCGAUUGUCGGGGCGACGAUGGUUCCUAUUGUCGAAACGACCUCAACUGUCAUCUCGUCGAGGGGGCUGGUCGGGACCUCUCGCAUCGUCCCGGAUGAGUUUUUCUGCGUCGUCGGCGUCAGCGUAGUUUUUAGCCGUGGCAAGAAGCUCGGCCAUCGUUGUUGGUCUUUUGCGCAGCAGCUUGUUCUUCAGUGCUUCAUGGAAGUGCAGCCCCUUGAUGAAAGCAGAUAUGGCCUCGUCGUGGGAAAUUUUCGGGAUCUUAAGGCGCAUAUCCGAGAAUCGUCGGAUGUAAUCGCACAGAGGCUCGUUUUUCCUGUCCCUUAUCCUUUCGACGUCGUACUUGUUCCCAGGCUGCUCGCAGGUGGUGAUGAAGUUGUCGAUGAAAGCUUGGCAUAGUUCUUCCCAAGAAUCGAAAGAGUCCUCGGGCAGGCCUAGGAGCCACUGGUGACCAGCCUGGUCGAGGACUACUGGGAAGUUGUUGGCCAUGACGUGCUCAUCUCCUGCUGCUGAUCGGACGGCGAUCUCGUAAAGAGUGAUCCAGUUUUCUAGGUUUUCCUUGCCGUCGUAUUUUUUGAGUUUCUCGAGCUUGAAAUUGUGGGCCACACGACCUGGCGGAGGUGUGAAGAGAACUGUCUCAGGCCCGGGGGACCAUGCGUUGCAUCGUACUCAAUGCGACGCAGGUUUUCGUGAACUGCUCUCUCCGUGGCGCGCCUGUUGAUGCGGUCCCGGGCGUCUUUGGGAGGGAUAUUGUAUCGGAGAUCCCUGUGCUAGUUUACUUCCUGACCACGUCCGCGAUUAUGCUCGCGAUGGCCGCCAGCAUCCCGACCACCAUCAUCGCGCCGUGAAUCUUUUCGAUGAUUAUUGGGGGAACGGCUGCGGUGGUGCCUGCUGGGUUGUGGUGAGGUCUGGCUGUGAUGGCUCUGGUCGGAGGAGACCUCUGUAUAGGAGAUAGCUUGGACUCUUUUGAGCAGAGUGGCUGUCUGUCCCAUCGUGGCGAUCAGGUGUGCUCGAACGCUGGAUCGGACGCCCUGGCAUUCGGGAGUAUCAGGGAGUCGAUCUAAGUUGGCCAUGGCAACAGCCACGUUGGCGCUUGGUGUUUUGUAGACUGGCUGAUCCCCGACCAUGUCGAAAGCGUCGGUGAGGUUAUGUGGUGGGAGUUGGCGUUCCUCGUCUGCGCGUCAUCGGGUGCGGUCAGCAUUGCGCUGCUCGCGGAGCUGCCUUUGCUCGUCUGUUUCUCCGUCAACGACCGGCUCGUCGGCGCUGACAUUGAAAACGAGGUCUCCACGCCGAGGUGGAAAGACCGGGAAGCAAGAGAAACCCGGAGGAUACGGUGGUAAAUCCAGGUCGUAGUCUUCGUCCUCAGAGUUUAUGACUUCAGUAGGAACGGAGCCAGUGCUAGAGUUUGUGCUGGAAGCCUGGCCGUCCCGUAGUUCUCGGAUCGUCACCAUGUUGAUGUAGUGACGAGUUGGCCGAUUCUUCCGCUUUGGCAACCAACCAGCCCCGUUGAAGAGGGAUUUGAUGUGUCGCGAGUAAUCAACGGUCGAAUUGUCCAGCCCGUAAGGAGAGCCUUGAUCUGGACCAGCCUCGAGUUUGACGGACCAUCCUGAGGGGGUGGAGGUUAUCGUCAGAGACGUUCCCAGCUGUUCGUGUGUGACGACACAAGUUGGCUGGUAGGAGUUGUAAAAACCCGUUGGCGCGGCUUGGUCAGGCUGGUGUGAGAUCCCAUCUAUUAGUUGGGAGGCUUCGAGAAGCUUGAGGUCGGCGCGAUCAAGAGCUCGGAAAAGGUCCGAGCCAUCGAUCUUCUUUCCCCUGUAGCGCGGAAACGGCGGUCGGGUGCUCGGUGCCGGUGUCCGCGUGGUCAGAGCCGAUGCCUCCAUCGUCCCAGAUUGGAUCUGGGUUUCUUCCGAAACCGUGGCCGUGAGGCCACCGCCGCGAGUUGUCCACGUAAUCUGGCCGACGGUGAACGUGAGGCCUUCAGGCACGGCCACAGAAUCUGGAACGAUGACCAUCUUGUUCGCUGGAAAAGCUGUAUGCACACCCCCUACCUGGCGCGCCACUGUCGACGAAAGCUAGUCGGCAGUCUACCCUGGGGUAUACCCACGGUAGUAAUUUAUCGGUAGACGGUGCGCAAGCUACGAACUUGACGGUGACGCAAGACACAGACAAGGUUUUUAUCCAGGUUCGGCCGCCGUGUGGGCGUAAUACCUACGUCCUUCGUCUGAUUGUAUUGGAUUGUGUUGAGAGAAUCUCCUAGGGGGGUCCCUUGCCUCUCCUUAUAUAGUCCGGAGGGUAGGGUUACAGAUCUGGAAACUAAUCCUAGUCGGUUACAAUUGUCAUAGAUAGUUCGAUAUCAAUUCCUAUUCUAACCGACUAGAAUCCUGCUUGAUCUCCACGUCUUGUUUCCUUGCGCGAAACUCCGAGCUUGUCGGAUCAAGCCUCGAACUUGUCUCGUAAUGGGCCAAGCCUCCUGGCCCAAGUCUAGCCGUAAGGGUAUAGGGGUUUAUACCCCCACAAAUAUAGGUUUAAGCAUGGUGCUUAGACCUAGAUUACUUGUGGAUAUCCCCUGUCUAGCUGGAUCGUGUGGUAGGCCGCGUAGGUGACAGUUACGUUGGUCCCCUGUAGUCCACCUCUUGUUAGCAGGACGGGUAGGGUUUAUAGGCCUAUGGAUAAGCAUCCUUUGUGGUGUAUUCUUAUCACGUGGUUCGUCCCAGACAUAGACAUACCCCUUUGAAGUAGAGAAACCAUAGUUAUCCUCUCUAUUCUGCUACCAUCGCCCAUAUAUUAGAUUGCUCUACUCUCUAUUCCCAUAUUAUCACCCAUUGUUAUUUUACCUUUAAUAUUGUUCUUAUUCAAUUCUACCAUCUUUCCUAUUUACACCUACCUAUCUAUCUAGGUUAAGUUAGAGCGUAGAUCAGUUCUCCCGUUUCCCUGUGGAUAAGAUAAAACCUUUAACCGGGUAAAAGCUACAACGGUAUCCGUGCGCUUGCGGAUUUAUCUGUGUGCGUAUAAAUACCAUAGUACACUCUAGUGCCAUGUUGGGGAUGACAACCUAGUAUUCAAGUGGUGUUAGCAAGUGUGAACAAAGACCUACCAAGCAGAAACUGCGACGGUUCGCUCGUGACAAAAAGGAGGCUAUUAGGACAGAAAUAACACGGCUUCUAGCAGCCGGAUUUAUUAAAGAAGUGUAUCAUCCCGAUUGGCUCGCCAAUCCAGUUCUUGUAAGAAAAAAGAAUAAUGAAUGGAGAAUGUGUGUUGAUUACACUGAUCUCAAUAAACAUUGUCCUAAAGAUCCUUUCGGUCUCCCUCGUAUCGACGAGGUGGUCGACUCAACGGCCGGAUGCGAACUCCUCUCUUUUCUAGACUGUUACUCUGGUUAUCACCAGAUCUCACUAAAGGAAGACGACGAGAUCAAAACAUCCUCUAUUACUCCUUUCGGUGCAUAUUGCUACACCACCAUGUCCUUUGGACUCAAAAAUAUCGGAGCCACCUAUCAACGAGCUAUUCAGUAAUGCCUCCACGACGAGAUACGAGAUGACCUCGUCGAGGCUUAUGUCGAUGACGUUGUCAUCAAAACUAGGGUCACAAGCACCCUGAUCGACAACUUAGACCGGACUUUUAAGGCGCUGAAUAAAUACAAGUGGAAGCUUAACCCCAAAAAGUGUAUCUUUAGGGUCCCCUCUGGUUUACUACUCGGCAACGUCGUCAGCCGCGACGGCAUAUGGCCAAAUCCUUCAAAAGUUAAAGCUAUGCUCGAUAUGCGACCACCCAGAAACGUCAAAGACAUUCAAAAGCUCAUCGGAUGCAUGGCCGCUCUCAGCCGGUUCAUCUCCAGAUUGGGGGAAAAAGGCCUUCCCUUUUUCAAACUGCCCAAGGCGUCGGAAAAUUUCUCCUGGACUGAAGAGGCCAACACGGCAUUCACCAAGCUCAAGGCCUUCCUCACCUCACUGUUGAUGGUCCUUAAGUAUCAAAUUUAAUUAUCAAAUAAAUAAAGAAAAUGAUCCAAAUGAAAUCAACAUCUAGACUUAGGGUUUUAUCUGAUAGAAUUCCACGAGUUUUGGUGUUUGUCUAUUUCUGCAGGAGGUUAUUAGGAAAUACGGAAGAAAGGCCCACACGUCGGGAUUACAUAGAGAUAUUAACGUGUCGCGCAAUUAUCUUACAUCUAGAAGACUCCAGAAGACACGGGAAGAAAGCGGUGGCCGAACGGGGCCAGAGGCAGGGCGCCCGCCAUCCUUCCCUGGGCGCCCGCCCCCUCUGAGAGUCCAAUCAGGACUCUGUUUCUCGGGAGAUCUCCACCGACCUAAAGGAUCAAGGAUAACCGUUCAAUCUAAGUCGGUUUGAUCCAACGGUCCAUAUUCACUUGAAGGGACUAUAAAACCAGAACCCCUGGCCCCUGGAGGAGAGAGUCUCUCAACACUAAUUCAUUAUUCUCAAGGGAGAAGAAGCCUCUGAUCAAGAUUAGAGCCACCACAUCAAUUAGACAUCUAGAUUAGCAUAGCUACAUAGGAUUAGAACUAGAAGGAGUCAAUCUUCGAUUGGUUUCCGGAUCUGUCAAGAGGAUUCUUGGUAAUUCUCUAAUUGUGCUUCUAAUUGCUUUCUAAUUAUCUUUGUUCUUCAAUAUUAUGAAUAUGACUUUGUUCUACUUCAAUAUAUUGCUUAUGACUUUGCUCUACUUGUUUAUAUUCAAGAUUAUAUUGUUCUUAGUUUAUCAUAGUUAUGUACUUGGCUUAGUUAGAUUGGAUCUAUAUACAUGCUUAGGAUCGUAUAGCGUUUAUCCAUCGGAUCCAUGGGUAAAUGAUAGAUAUUGUGUAGGCGUGGUGCUUAUACCGUAUUUAUCUGCGAUUGUACCCAAUAUGCCAGAUUGUGGGGUAGUUCGUGAUAGUGACAGCUUCAUUGAUUCUUAUAUAGUCCCCCUCUCGUGUAUUGGGCUGGCAGAGCAAUAUUAUUACAGGGGAGUGAUUGCUAUGUUUCUCAUUUACCUUGCUAAUAUCACUAUGCAUGGGCGUAGUCUUGUCUUGCAAAGAUUGCUAAGUAUGCUUGCACUAAUUAUGAUAAUGCUAGACUAUAUAGUUGAGAAUAACUUAGGAAAUAUUCUUGUAGUUCAUUCUAAUUCCAUGCUAAUGACUUUCUAGAGUAUCUAAUUGAGGUGCUUAUCAUAUUUAUUAUGUGGCUAAGUUAUGAUCAGCUUAAUUAUCUUUGUCACUAUUCAUUAUUUCAUAUAUCUUAUAUGUGACACUUAUCCCUGUAUGAAAGAGUUAGAUAGAUGUUCUCAAUUAUAUAUGCAAUGAUAGAUACUCAAUCUCAUAUUCUAUUCUGUAAUCAAUAUUGAUGAUUGCUAAUCCCUUCCCAGUGGUAAAAAUAUAAAUAACGAUACCUGGAAUACUUCCCGGUUAAAAUGCUACAUUGGUAUUAAUCUGUGCGCUUGCAGAUCCCAUUCAUUAUUUAUUUAGAAGAGCAAUUUCAUAUUUCAAUACCGCGUCUCUCAUAUCAUGCUGGGGAUGACAACUUGGCUUAAGUGGUGUGAGGGAUAGGUUUGGCUUUUUUGGCACCGUUACUAGAAUUAGAAAACUAAUUCUACUUUUGGUAAUGAUGUUAAGAAUACCCAACAAGCAUUUUUGGCGCCGUUGCCGGGGAAGGUUGAUUACUAAUUAGGAAUGGAAUAAAGGAUUUUGAGUUAUCAUUCGCAUCACUAAUAUGAUUGAGCUUAUCUAUUCUCUCAUACAGUUUUACCCUGAUAUUUUUCUAUUUUAUCUUAUGCAGGGGAAUGUAUGAAUAGAAGACAUCUUCUAGGAAAUUUUGUUGACAAUCCCGAAGCAUUAUUCAAGAAGACAAGAGCCAAGCUAAAGAAGAGAUCAUCAACACUUCAGCAAGAAGCUUCAUCCAAUCAAGAAGAUCACCGAAACUUGUCUUCAGAGUUUGAAGCCAUAGCGAACAAAUCAAUCCGCGAGUUCUCAGCUCCCACUACGGACAACAUCUGCACUGGACCUACUGCAGAGAUCGAUGGCAACUUUGAGCUCAAGCCUAGACAUAUCAACAUGGUGAAAUCCAACCAGUUCUGUGGGAAGGCACACAAAGAUGCUAGUGCUCAUCUACAACACUUCCUGUAGAUUUGCAACACAUUUACCAUAUCUGGAGUUUCCAGAGAUGCUAUACUACUUCGCCUCUUCCCAUUCUCACUGUUAGGGAGAGUGAAGCAGUGGUUCUACGCUACAAAGGAGAAGAAUACUACGUGGGCACUCUGCUCAACAAACUUCCUGGCUAAGUUCUUUCCCAUGGGCAAGACCAAUGCUCUCCGUGGGAAGAUUACAAGUUUUCAUCAACAAAAUGAUGAAUCUGUUCCAGAAGCAUGGGAGCGCUUUCAAGACUACAUCCUAGAAUGUCCCCAUCAUGGAAUGGAGAGUUGGCUAUUGAUGUAGAUGUUUUAUCAUGGGCUCGGCAACAGUGCCCGAGAAACCAUGGAUGCUGCAGCUGGAGGAGCAUUCCUAUCACUUACCAUAUCACAAGCCACAGCUCUUGUGGAGAAGAUGGCGUCCAACCAAAGCUGGAAUGAAGAGAGGACCCAAACACGCAAGAGAGGUGGAGGUAUGCAUCAGCUGAAGGAGGUAAACAUGCUGUCUGCAAAGCUAGACCUACUCAUGAAGAAGCUCGAUGAUAGAGCUAGAGAUAAGAAAGAAGUUAUGCACAUCUACGACUCUCACAUGACUUGUGAGGAGUGUGGAGAUACUGGACACUCAGGCAAUCGCUGCCCUGAGAUACUUGAGGAUGUGAACUACAUCAACAACAACAACAACUACUACUACUACUACUACAACCGUCCUCAACAAAAUCAAGGUUGGAAUCAACAGAGGCCUAACUACUCAGGUAAUUAUCAAGGUAACAAUUCUUACAACAAUAAUAAUAAUUUUCCACCUCUGAGAGAGUUAGUGUCUAAUCAAGGAAAGCUAAUGGAUAACCUAUCUAAGAGAUUGGCAUCAAAUGAUAAAAUGCUAGAAAAUAUAAAUAAUAGAAUGGAUAAUUUCUCUACUGCCAUCAAGAAUCAAAUUAGCUUUAAUAAAAUGAUUGAAUCUCAGUUAAAUCAAAUAGCUGCUGUUGUUCCUACUACUAACCCCGGUAUACCAUCACAACCGGAAGGAUUAGAAUCUACAAAUCUUGUAGACAUGAUUGAUGCAGGUAAUUGGAGAAACCCCGUCACUGAAUUUACUACUGACCUUCUGCCGGUCAAGAGAGGCGAUCCAGGACGCCCCGUCAUCCCGAUCUCCAUCGGCAUGGUGGACGUCCCAGAAGCACUCUGCGACUUUGGCUCCAGCGUCAACAUUAUACCAAGGGUACUCUAUGAAAAACUCUUUACAUAUCCUUUAUUAAAAACAACCAUGUGUUUGCAGUUUGCAGAUCAGACGAUAAGUUUUCCAAAAGGAAUAUUGAAGAACCUUUGUGUCAGAGUUGGUACCUUGUACGCCCCAGCAGACUUCGUAGUGAUAGAGACCGGUAAUGAUGAGAGAGCACCCAUCAUCUUAGGGAGGCCAUUCUUAAACACCUCGGGAGCUGUCAUCUAUGCUAGUGCUGCCAAGAUCAGUUUCUACAUCAAAGGGAGGAAGGAGACAUUUUUCUUCAAGAACAAGACUACACAAAUCCCAGAUCAAUCCAGACGUGAAUCAAGGAAGAGGACCAACACGAGGAACAGGAACAAGCGAGUGUGGACCGAGUCAGGUAAGAUGGUCACUGCAGUUCAUGGAGGUCAAGAUCAUCAACUUAAGUCACCAUUUUUGACCAAGAAGGACAACCCAGGAAUGCCAAGCAUCUAUUGCUCCAUAAAUGGAUGCAACUUCUACAAGACGACUUGCGACACCGGAUCGGGCGUCAACAUAAUGGUCGUAGUCACCUAUCGGCUCUUGCUCGGAACCAUGCCCCUAAGACCAACAUACAUUCAGCUCCAGAUGGCAGAUCAGACAUUUCAAGAAGUUAAAGGAACAGUAAUUGAUGUCCUAGUCAAAAUAGAUGAUCAUUUUGUCUACACAGACUUUCAAGUUAUUGACAUGGGAGAAGAUGAAUACGAUCCACCCAUCAUCCUUGGAAGACCGUUCCUCAGCACCGUCAAAGCAAUCAUCUACAUUGGAACCGGAGAAGUCCAUAUGCACUUCCCCUCAGAGAAGGUACGCCAUUCUUUUAUUGACCCUAACUAUAUCGUUGAAGAAUCUAAGCAGGUAAGAAAAUGACGCAACCGCAACUAGUGGAGGGAAAUCAUCAAGGACGGGUGGGCAAACUAUGAAGGAGAAGUUGUAAGGUCAGAAGACGUAGAGUUUAAAUAGAAUUAUCCAGAGGAGACCGAAGCACCGAGUCAGGUAUGGAAAGAGAAGAUAACUAUACACGAAGAGGAGGCGCUGCUGAAAGUACCGACUCCGCCAUCCAACGAAUCCAAGGACAAUUGAGAAAACGGAGAGUCCCGUUCGGAGGACUUAAAAACACCGAACGCCUUGCCAAGAGUUCCACAAGCUUUAUUGUCUAUUUGAGCUCCGCAGAAUUUAAGAAUCAAGAAGACUAGCAGAUGAAGGACAUUCUAAUCGCUGUCAGAAUCCUGCUGACUUUCAAAUACACCUCUACCACCUGCUACCUACAUCAAGAGAAAUUACGUCAAAAUUCAGUUUGGGGGAGAGCACCCCCAUUUUUCCCGAUAAGUAUUUCUAUCUAUCUAUCUUUAUACUUAUACUAUAUUAAAAUAUAAAUAUACAUAAACCAGGAAAAACCAAAUAAAGAUUUUGUGCUUAUAUAUCUUUUGCUUAGUGUGUUUAAUAAAUAAAUAAAGUGGCUAAGCAAAUCUGUAUCUUAAUAAUAAAACUCUAGCACGGAUAUGAUGAAUAGUUGCUCUGCCUAAUUUGCACAUUUUAAGUUCUCUCUCAAGUUUAGAUAUAACUGUUAUAAUGUAAAGCUUGCUCUAGACCUAAACUUGUGGGAUGAAAACUUGAUCUAAAGUCUAAGUUGUUAACGGGUAUGAAAUUGGAAGGUUGAGCUGCUGUUUAUCUGUUCCUAGAGAUGCUAGAAUUCUGGAGAAUUUUAUCUUUUAAAAUCUUUAAAAUAUUGCAUGAUGAGUUCGUGUAUGAUGAGAGUUUAAAUUCCAACCACAGCCAUAUAUACAUGCUUGCUAGACUUUGAGCCACACAUUUACUAUUUACUGCUUAUGAGCAUUGAGUGUGGUCAAGCUGUGUAGACCCUUAGGAGCUUGUCAUGUGGUUAAAUCAAGAUUUCACUUGCACGUUCACUCAUAUAUGCUACUUCUAUUUUGGAAGUACCAUCCACAUAUAUCCAUCCAUUUCCAUCUCCAGAACCACCAAAAAAAAUAUUCUACUCCUAAUCCGGGAGAGAAUAGACAAAAAUAUUUUUGUUUUUCCCUGUGAAAUAAAUGCUCAAGUUAUCUUGUUACUACCACUUGCUAUAAUAUCUCAAGAGAUGAGUGCUCUAAAAAAAAGAGAGAGAUACGAGGAAAUAAAAAGGGGCAAGUGCCCGGAACCUCAAAAGAAAAGAAAAAGUGAAACGAGAGGUAAAAAUGGACAAGUGUCCGACAGUAGAAUUAGGGGUACAAGAUACCCACCUGAGAGAAAAGAAAAAGAAGAGCAUCUCAUUCUCCUCAUAAAGUUUCAAAAAGCAAGGAAGGUAUGUAUCCCCUCAAAAGAGCAAAAGUAGAAUUAGACAUCCACCAUUGUUAUCACCAUCAUCACCAUACACCAUUCAUUCGCCACACAUGCACAUCUUGAUUUGGCUUAAUGAUUUGUUUCUUUGGAUCCAUGGUUUGACUAUACAAUACAUGUCUUGUAAGUAUGUAUACUUUAUCUCCCACCUAUGAGCCCUAGAUAUUAAAGCCUUAUUAGAGUAGGGUGAGAGAGAAGGCAAUGUCACUAUGCUUUAUACCACAAAUACCACAUAUAUUGAGAGAAGGCAUAUAUCAUCACUGCCUUGGUAAGGAUCCAGAAAUACCACAACAGAGAGAUUUGAGAAAGUCAUACAAGGAAUCUCUAAAGUUUUAUUUGAAAAUCUGCAAAAAACUCCAGAGCUAUAGAUGAUCAAGAAUAAGAGACAUGGCACUUGACUAGACUGUUCUAUCUUUUAACUACUCAAGACAGAAGUGACAAUUACAAGUCCCAUGAUGAAGGUAAAGUAAGUAAGUUUUAAGUCUUGACAGUUUACUCUAACUCAAAGAUGAGAUCUUAUUUAAAAGCAUGUGUACCGUCAAUUUUUAAGAUAUUGCAACAACUUCUGGUCCAUCACUGAGAUUAUCCUUGCUCAGGGACGAGCAAGAGGUAAGCUUGGGGGAGUUUGUUGACGGUCCUUAAGUAUCAAAUUUAAUUAUCAAAUAAAUAAAGAAAAGGAUCCAAAUGAAAUCAACAUCUAGACUUAGGGUUUUAUCUGACAGAAUUCUACGAGUUUUGGUGUUUGUCUAUUUCUGCAGGGGGUUAUCAGGAAAUAUGGAAGAAAGGCCCACACGUCGGGAUUACAUAGAGAUAUUAACGUGCCGCGCAAUUAUCUUACAUCUAGAAGACUCCAGAAGACACGGGAAGAAAGUGGAGGCCGAACGGGGCCAGAGGCAGGGCGCCCGCCCUCCUGCCCUGGGCGCCCGCCCCCACUAAGAGUCCAAUCAGGACUCUGUUUCUCGGGAGAUCUCCACCGACCUAAAGGAUCAAGGAUAACCGUUCAAUCUAAGUCGGUUUGAUCCAACGGCCCAUAUUCACUUGAAGGGACUAUAAAACCAGACCCCCUGGCCCCUGGAGGAGAGAGCCUCUCAACCCUAAUUCAUUAUUCUCAAGGGAGAAGAAGCCUCUGAUCAAGAUUAGAGUCACCACAUCAAUUAGACAUCUAGAUUAGCAUAGCUACAUAGGAUUAGAACUAGAAGGAGUCAAUCUUCGAUUGGUCUCCGGAUCUGUCAAGAGGAUUCUUGGUAAUUCUCUAAUUGUGCUUCUAAUUGCUUUCUAAUUAUCUUUGUUCUUCAAUAUUAUGAAUAUGACUUUGUUCUAUUUCAAUAUAUUGCUUAUAACUUUGCUCUACUUGUUUAUAUUCAAGAUUAUAUUGUUCUUAGUUUAUCAUAGUUAUGUACUUGGCUUAGUUAGAUUGGAUCUAUAUACAUGCUUAGGAUCGUAUAGCGUUUAUCCAUCGGAUCCAUGGGUAAAUGAUAGAUAUUGUGUAGGCGUGGUGCUUAUACCGUAUUUAUCUGCGAUUGUACCCAAUAUGCCAGAUCGUGGGGUAGUUCGUGAUAGUGAUAGCUUCAUUGAUUCUUAUAUAGUCCCCCUCUCGUGUAUUGGGCUGGCAGAGCAAUAUUAUUACAGGGGAGUGAUUGCUAUGUUUCUCAUUUACCUUGCUAAUAUCACUAUGCAUGGGCGUAGUCUUGUCUCGCAAUGAUUGCUAAGUAUGCUUGCACUAAUUAUGAUAAUGCCAGACUAUAUAGUUGAGAAUAACUUAGGAAAUAUUCUUGUAGUUCGUUCUAAUUCCAUGCUAAUGACUUUCUAGAGUAUCUAAUUGAGGUGCUUAUCAUAUUUAUUAUGUGGCUAAGUUAUGAUCAGAUUAAUUAUCUUUGUCACUAUUCAUUUUUUCAUAUAUCUUAUAUGUGACACUUAUCCCUGUAUGAAAGAGUUAGAUAGAUGUUCUCAAUUAUAUAUGCAAUGAUAGAUACUCAAUCUCAUAUUCUAUUCUGUAAUCAAUAUUGAUGAUUGCUAAUCCCUUCCCAGUGGUAAAAAUAUAAAUAACGAUACCUGGAAUACUUCCCGGUUAAAAUGCUACAUUGGUAUUAAUCUGUGCGCUUGCAGAUCCCAUUCAUUAUUUAUUUAGAAGAGCAAUUUCAUAUUUCAAUACCGCGUCUCUCAUAUCAUGCUAGGGAUGACAACUUGGCUUCAGUGGUGUGAGGGAUAGGUUUGGCUUUUUUGGCACCGUUACUAGAAUUAGAAAACUAAGUCUACUUUUGGUAAUGAUGUUAAGAAUACCCAACACCCACCACCCGUCCUCACCGCACCUCAACCUAACGAGGACCUGCUCCUCUAUAUAGCAGCAACUGAUCUGGUCGUCUCCACGGUGCUCGUUGUCGAGCGAGAUGAACCAGGGCACGUCUACAAAGUCCAGAGGCCUGUAUACUUCAUAAACGAAGUUCUAAACGAGUCCAAGACCGGGUACCCUCACAUACAAAAGCUAAUCUAUGCCGUCUUAAUCACCUCAAGAAAGCUGAAACACUACUUCGACGGACAUCGGGUGCUAGUCACCACCAGUUUUCCAUUGGGGGAUAUUCUGCGUAAUAAAGACGCUAACGGAAGAAUCGUGAAGUGGGCAAUGGAGUGAUGCCCGUUUUCCUUGGAUUUUCAGAGUCGCACUACCGUCAAGUCUCAAGCCCUGGUCGACUUCAUCGCAGAAUGGACGAACCUGAACGAGCCCCCCUCCCAGAUGUCUCCGACCACUAGUCAAUGUUCUUUGACGGAUCCUUGAACAUUAAUGGAGCCGGCGCUGGAAUACUUUUCGUCUCGCCAAACAAGGACAAACUCCAAUACGUCCUUAGGAUCCUCUUCCCAACAUCCAACAACGUCGCUGAAUACGAAGCAUGCCUGCAUGGCACCCGACUAGCUGUUGAACUGGGAGUAAAACGCCUUUAUGUCCACGGUGACUCUGCCCUAGUCAUCAACCAGUUAAACAAGGAAUGGGACACAACUCACAAGAAGAUGGACCUCUACUGCAAAGAAAUUCAGAAAUGGGAAUCCAAUUUUUACGGCAUAGAAUACAUCCACGUGGUCUGGGACAGGAACCAGGCAGCAGAUGCGUUGUCGAAGAUAGGGUCAUCCCGGGCCCACAUUCCGCAAGGCGUUUUCGUCCAAGAUAUCCACACACCAAGUGUCGGUACAGAUCUGGUCGACAAGCAACCCAAUGAGGCAAUGCUCAUAGACGAUACCAAUCCGACAACCAGCAGCCACGACUGGCGCACUCCCUUCAUCAAGUAUCUCUCGGAUGGAUCGGGCUUUCAAGAUAAAACGGAGAACGAGCGCCUUAUUCGACGAUCUAAGAAUUACAUACUGGUUGAUGGCAAACUUAUGCGAAAGAAUGCAAGCUCAGAAGUAUUGCUGAAAUGCAUAUCCCAAGAUGAUAGCGUCAAGCUCUUAGAUGACAUACACGCCGGGUCCUGCGGCAACCACGCCGCCUCUAGAACACUGGUCGGGAAGGCUUUCCAAGCAGGUUUUUACUAGCCAACCACGGUCGCCGACGCUGAGAAACUGGUCCGACACUGUGAAGGAUGCCAGUUCUUUGCCAAGAGGACCCACGUACCUGCUCACGAGAUUCAAACGAUUCCGUCGUCCUGGUCGUUCGCCUGUUGGGGCCUUGACAUGAUCGGGCCAUUUAAGCCAGCGCCUAGCAACUUCAAGUUUGUCUUCGUACUAAUCGACAAAUUCUCGAAGUGGAUCGAGUACAUGACACUGUGAAAGCAACUUCCGAGAAGGCCGUGGAGUUCCUCAAUCAAAUCAUACAUAGAUUCAGGAUUCCCAAUAGCAUAAUCACUAAUUUGGGCACUCAGUUCACCGGCACUACAUUCUGGGACUUCUGCGAUGAUAGAGGCAUAGUCAUAAAGUAUGUGUCGGUAGCCCACCUACGGGCCAACAAUCAAGUAGAGUGAGGAAACGGAAUGAUCAUCGAUGCUUUGAAGAAAAGGCUGUAUACUGAAAAUGACAGAGCACCAGGACGAUGGAUGAAAGAGUUACCGGCCGUGGUCUGGGGUCUCCGAACAUAGGCUAGUCGCAACACAGGUGUAUCGCCCUACUUCAUGGUUUACGGCACCAAAGCAGUGCUCCCUUCGGAUGUGGUCUUUGGAUCUCCAAGAGUCGAACAUUUUGACCAGUCUUCGGCCGACCACGCCAGAGAACUUGAAAUCAACUGCAUAGAAGAAAAGCGCCUAAUCUCGUGCCUUCAAACAGCGAAGUACCUCGAGGCUAUUAGGCGGUACCACAACAGGAACGUCAAAGACCGCUCCUUCGUGGUCGGUGAUCUGGUACUCAAAUGGAAAACAAGCCAGGAAGGAAUGCACAAGUUAUCUACACCUUGGGAAGGACCCUUUGUAGUCGUUGAAGUCACACGCCCUACAUCUUACAGACUGGCGUACGUAGAUGGAACACGCUUGCCCAACUCCUGGCAUAUAGACUAACUGCGCCGUUUCUAUCCCUAAGUUCCAGUACAUUUCAUUUGUAAAUGUUUUAUGAUGAGUAAUAAUAAAAUUUGUCUUUCUUGCCAUUUACCUUUUUCAUACGCAGAAUAUUCGACAAGUGCGACAAUAACUUUCAAGAACAAAGGUCCUCAAAAGGCCGUCAACAUGAGUCAGUGAUACAUCACUCAAACAAAUUUACAGCGCUCAAAACCAUGGUUAUGAUAAAUCAUGCUUUAUUACAAACUUUAUAUACAAAGUUUACAAUAAAACACCCCUCUGGACGGUCUCUAGUCUACUCCUAACAGACUACUUUACAAGCCUAUUGCUCGGGCUGAUCACCCGCACGGCUCUGCUGCUAUUCCGCCGAAGGGGUCGGCGCCACCGGCGUCUGGCUGGUCGAGACCGCAGGCGUCGACCGCCCAUCUCCCGCAAUGGACGCCCCUGACAACUCUCUGGCUGACCUGUCUGAUCCGGGCUGGUUGAGGGGAGUUGACGUCCCACAGAGAUUUAUGUUGUCGAUCACUGUCGACGACAGGUCGAGCAGGCCGACGCGAAGUUCAUCCACCUCCUGUGGACCGACCUCCUUGGGAUACCCCCUCUCAAGUCGGGACCAGUCGACCAGACGGUAGUGGGCAUGUACCAUGUUGAGGACGUGCGCUCCGGCAAACUCUUCGGCGUCCUUGAUGAAUUGCUGCAGCCAACCCCACGCUUGCUGCGCUUUCUCGACCGGGGUCAGCCUCGGUGCACGGGGCUGGUCUUCGGGGAGUUCGGGGCUGAUCAAGUCGAGAACCGGGGCCACUCCUUUCCAGAUCCUGAUACAAUUGAUCUUCUAGGAGUCCCAGUCCUUGACCAGCUCGUCGAGGUGCUUCUUGGUGUUGACCUUAAGCACUAUGACAGAAUUUUUAAAGAAAACGAAGCUAGGAGUCAGUAUGAACACGGGAAAAGGAACGUUAUGUAGUCAAAAAGGGCAAAACGGCUCUUACCAGCCAACUCCCGACUCUUGUUUUUCAGCUCCUCGCCCGCCUGGCGCCCAGCCUCCAGUACGCUGGUACGCUCCUGGUCGAGUCGCUCUUUUUCUCCUCGAAGGCGGCCAAUCUCCUCCUCCAGUUCUGCAGAAAUAAUCGCUGGUCAAAAACCUGACCACGCAGUUAAAUACAACAGCUCGAAACGCAUGACAAACCUUUCUUCUCCCGAUCCUUGUUGGCUAGUCGCCGAUUAAGAUCGAGUAAGCGCUCUUCCUGAGCCGCCUUCUCGGCUGCCUUCUCCUCGGCCUCCCACCGAAGGCGGUCCACCUCCACGGUCAGGGCCUUAUUCUCGGCCAUGAUCCCUUCAAUUUGGUCGAAGCACCUUUUUUGGUACUUCGCCGUUUUCAUUGCGCCCUGCAAGAGUUGCACAUAUUAAAAAAACAACAAUAUAUACAUAUUUUGGCGAAGCACAAGACCACCUACCUUGACUUCAUCAACGAGCCGCUUGGCAGCACGCAAUACCCUUGUCGCCUCCUCGGUCUCGGCGAGCUCUUCAUGGCCGAUGAAGUGGUCCCCACGUUGGCGCCACAUGAAAAUGUGUUGGCGACCAUCAUGGGGGCGCCCUUGGAUCUCUUCCACCUCGUCGUCGGAGGCUGCCUAGGCCUCCCCGCUUUCCGCGCUACCCCCAGCCGUGGUCACGGGUAUUACUGGACCCUUACCCCGGCUAGGGGAAUCCUUUGGUGGAGAAGCUCCUGCUCGGGGUGGAGUUGGGAUCCUCCUUUCUCCAGCUGGCGAGGAAGUCGGGGCUCUGUCUUCCUCCUCCGCAACACUGCUCGGGGAGGUAUCCUUACAGCCUCAUCAUCCUUUGUCGGGGUGCUCGCCCCGGUCCUCGCCUGAGCCGGCUCCUCCUCAGCAGUUUCCGUCGCGUUCACAACCGUGGGCUACUCCUCGGUUUGUUCUUGGGUGGUCUGCUCGGCGGCGUUUUCAACAACAGCCGUCGGCUCAGCCGUUUUCUGGCUGACGACGUUGCCCGGAUCAACAUCCGACGCCAUACUGGCAAAAUAAGAUAUCAUGCCAGUAUUACAACUCACAACAACAACAAAACAAACAACAAGGAAGAAGUGUAGAAGACAGGUUGUAGAACUCACAGGUCGGAGCGCCUGUGCGUCGCUACGAAGAACCUCCUCCUGGUCCUACCAGUCGCCGUUGCUGCCUCUACCCCCCAAGUCGUGUCGACUCGGUGUGUGGGACCGGAGGAUCACUGGUCUCCCGACCAGCGGUGAUCGGCACAACGUCAGGCCAACUGCGCGGUCUCCUGACCAAAGAUGGCGCAGCCUCCUCCUCUCCGUCAUUGUCGUCGGCGAUCCUCACAAGCCGACGACGCUUCGGAGCUUGGCUGGUCUCCGCUGGCAAUGCCUCUGUAGGGGAUGGCCCUACCACCAUUGGCCUUUUCCCCGCCACCCUGUCCUCGGUGGUCGGAGCAGGGCGGCUCUGUUCUUCCUCACUGCUAAUGUAUUGAGGACACCGAGCAGCAUCACCCUCCGGCGGGUCCAUCCCUGCGGGAUUCUCCAUACCAGGUGCCAGUGACACAUACACCGUGCACCGGUCCACGUCUCCUAUCUACAACAAAAUAAACGGCAAGUUAUCAAUUAAAAGACUACAGUGUUCGCAUAACAAUACAAAUCAAUAAAGGUACUUGUUUACCUUAGGAGCUAGUCGUCCCAGCUUGAAGGCAUGCAUCCGGUCGUCACUUCGAACGAAGUUAUCAUCCAAAAAAUUGAAUAACUCGUUCAUUAGCUGCUGGACCUCGGCCUUCUCCAGACCAUCCGGGCACAUCCUGGUCGGGUCUUGGCUCCCCACGUACUCAUACGCUGAGUGUAUCCUCCUCUGGCAAGGCAUCACCCGACGCACAAGGAAGUUCCCAACCACACCUGACCCGUCUAAGCGGGACCAGUCGAUCAGGUUCAUCAGAUCUUCAACUUGCCCAGUGUAUUCCGGACGAUCUGUCCAGCUGACCCUCUUCUCGGGGAUGUAGCCCACGUCGCAGAACGUGGCGCUGCCCGGCUCUUCUCUGAUGUAGAACCACUUCUUGUACCAUUCGGUGAGGGAAGUGUUCCAUGGGCAGGUGAGGUACCGGUUCCUCAUCCCGUCGCGCAGAUUGAGGUAUACUCCACCUGCAAUCUUGGAGCCUCCAACUGCUCCUUUCUUCCUCAGACAGAAAAGAUAACGGAAGAGAUCGAAGUGCGGCUCUAUUCCAACAUAGGCCUCGCACAGAUGGACGAAUGUGGAGAUAAGAAGAAUAGAGUUCGGGUGCAAAUUGCAAAUCCUGAUCUCAUAAUAGAGUAGAAGACCCUGGAGAAAUGGAUGAACGGGAAUCCCAAAACCCUUUUUAAAGAAAUCCUCGAAAACUACAAUCUCACCGACGCGGGGGUCGGGGAAGCUCUCCCCCUCCGGUGCCCUCCAUCCUCCGAGUUCUUGAUUGUGCAGGAGCCCCUUUUCGACGAGGUCGUUGAGGGACCUUGUGUUGCUCCGGGACUUCUUCCAUUCCUUGGCCAUCAUCUCGGCCCUCUUCUUGGCGUCGUUCUUCGCCAUUUCAACUCUUGAAAAGUCUCGAGCUCGGUUUUGAGGUUUGAAGGUGUUGAGAAAGAUGGAGGCUUGGCAAUGGUAUGCAGCUACCGAGUAAGAAACAAGGAUACAACCUUGAGCUUUUAUAACAAUAGCCCCACCUCUACCACUUCCCGCAUUCUGGGGAAGUGGGCGGAUCCUGCGGCGGCCGCGGCGUUUCAAUUUUCAAUAAUUGUCGCCAGUUAAUAUGGUGGAUUCUUUGCAUAAUUGAUGGUUUCCUUUUCUUGGACCGCGCAAAGAGCAGCUGCACAGUUACCAGGCGCACCUUUUUACGCAACAGCCUAACAAUGUGCCAGGAUGCUCUAUCACAUCGCGCAUUAAUGCGGUGGUAUGCUUUUUUCUCAAAAACCAAGUGGAUCUAUUGGAGGACCGAACAUGACAUACUUAUUGACUGUACCGACCACGGAGCAUGACAUACUCGGGGACUGGUCGACCAGUCUCCUUAUUUGAUAAAUAUAUAGACUGUACUGACCACCGAGAAUGACAUACUCAGGGACUGGUCGACUAGUCUGUUCAUUUGACAAUUCGGUUGACUGCACCGACCACCGAGCAUGAUAUACUCGGGGACUGGUCGACCAGUCUGCUCCUUUAGCAUCUUGAUUGCCUGUAGUGACCACCGAGCGUAAUAUGAUCGGGGACUGGCCGAUUAGCACACUAGUCUGACAAUCUGAGGAUUGUGCCGACUACUGAGCAUGUUUACAUUCUCAACUGUGCUCGGGAACUCGUCAAUCAUUCCCUUCACUGUGCUCGGGGCUUGCUUCGAUCACUCUCCAACCACAGCUUGGGGACUGUUCUUCUCAGUUACAUAUGAAUUGGACUCAUAUACAACUGAGGGGUAAUUUUAUUUUUUAGACCUUGCUACAAGGCUCAUACUUCGCCUUCCAGCAAGCUCAGGGACUACAUUGGUACGAUGCAUCUGGCGAUGCAUUUCAGUAUCAAAUUUUCUAUGUGGUUUUUCUCUUUAGACCCUAGCACCACGUGCCUACGUCACCUACUGCCAGGCUCGGGGACUAAGUGGGCACACUUCACCUUGCGGUGAAUAUGCUUGCUUUUUGAAUAUUUAUACUUUUCAAAAAAGUAAAGUGGGCACACUUCAUCAGGAAAGAAAUAUUUUUUGAUUAAGAGCACCAUGCAUUCUUCGAACAACCUGCUUCUUCGAUAUUAAUGUUGAUCAACUGUCUUUUGAGUUGGUCAAAAUAUCGUUACAACUGUUUAGGCGACUUUCAUGUUGACCGAAGAUGUCAAGCCUUGCUGGUCGAAGAAGCUCAAGAUGGCGUGUUACAUCACAAUACAUGGUGCUCGGGGACUAGCUGUGGGGGUAUAAACCCCUUGUUGAUGCAAAACUGAUCUGCAAACACAAAGGGCUAAUACCCGAUUCAAACGUUAAGGCGUGCCAGCCGAUUUGACCUUGCUAUCGGCAAAGGUGAUAACUUGAAUACUUUAGUCCUGACAACAGCGAUGCGCCCGGAUGUCACGGCUAAGAGGUACUCACGCGGAACUUGAGAACACGCCGAGCUUAAGUCGACGAAUUCCUAAGAACUCGUAAUGAAAAGAAAAAAGAAUGACGAAGUCGUCGAAAAGUAGAUACUGGAAUAUGAGUAAAAACGUGUGUUUGAUUGAUUUCUUGAUAGAUAUCUUGAUUACAAGGUCUAGGGUUUAUAUUUAUACCCUGCUCAAAGAGCUACGACCAGACACGAUUAGAAUUCGAAUUCCAAAUUACACGGAACCCGUAUACAAAACGAUACAAAUAACUAAGGAAAUAAUAAAACUAUCCUUCGUAACAAACCGAAACUCCUCCACAUGACAACUGGCAGCUUCCAGACUCCUCCUUCGCGUCAUCGGCAACCCCCUUGCCAUAGUCAUCGGCAGGCCUUUUUACCUGGUCAUCGGCACCAUAUUACUGCCUGUGGACUUAGUCAAAUUCAACCUUUCCCUCAUCGGCAACCAUCCUUAUCAGCAACCCGCAUCGUACUGCCACCUUAUCCUGCCAUCCUGGACACGUGCCCAAAAAAAUGGUGUCAACACAUGCCCCCCAGUUUCGGAGUAUAAAACUAUUAAUGCUCCAAAAUUCUCUGCAGUAAUGAUGCCUUCUCCGCAAUUAAUGCUCCUAAUCUGGUAACCGACAACCUCAAUCUGGACAACUCUGAUCCUAAUCCUCCGCAGAUUCCUCGAAAUCCCCAACUUCCUAAACGGGCAUCUUUCUUAUUCGUACAUCGGCAACAAUACCGUUACAAAGAUCUGCCGAUGCUCUGCCCAGGAGAUUCGCAAAAACGGUUACCUCCCCUCUAUCCGCCCAUCGGCAGGAUGACCGUUAUAGAAUAUCGCCGAUGGACCGACCAGGAGAUCGCGCACAGUAAAAUAUCUUUAGAUAAUGACCGCUUCCUGUCAAAUCACCUGCACAAUCCCUGGAUUACCGUGCGAACAGUUACCAUAUCCACUUGAGUACCCUCGGGCUUCUCGGAUGCGGCAAAGAAAUAAGUCAGAUUUGCCCUUGCCCAUUUUGUCCUAUAAAUAGUUCCUUCUUGGGUACUCCUCCCCCAUUACACCAUUCUGCCAUCCAACUUCACUUUUCCAGCGGCGGCGCCAUUCACAACCCUCAAGAUCUCCGACAAGCAUUCCUCUUCAUCAACUCCGGCGCCCUCCAGGGUCCCCUUCACGACAAGAUGGCCGUUGGCUUCGUCGUCCCUGAGGUCAGACUUCCAUCUCAUCUGCUGUACCCUUUUCUUGCAUUCCUGUUCAUCUGCGAUUCAUCUUACCGAAUAUUUUCCUUUUCCUUUUUCUUUGUAUCUUUAUUCCCCAAAACACUAGGAGUUAUCCAACAAAAUUGUCAUUCCUACCGAUCAACCACAUCUUCAAUGCCUCGGCCCUCUAGGGGAUCCAGAUCCAACCGACCUUAUCAAUGCAGAAACCAACAGGAUUCCCUUUAGAGCUGAAAACUUUGCUUUAGAUCUAUGGAAGGACACCUUUCGCUCUUGGCCCAGCCCUACUGUAGGGUGGAAAGACUGGUUCUUGAGGGUCAGCAACUCUUAUGAAGUUCAAUGGGGUGAGAGGAAAUUAGCCCAAUGCAUUAGGCUGUCCAUUGCCGAUAUGCACAGGAACGAGUCAUUGCUGAUAGCUGCAUCUUACUUUUGGUCAGACACUCUCAACGCUUUUGUUUUUGGCCACGGCCCUGCUUCUCCUACCCUUGCCGAUGUAGCCAUGCUUACUGGAUUAGAUAUAUCUUCUGCCGAUAGCACCCACUUUUUUGAUACCGCCCCCAGUGCCAAAGUGGAGACUCGCGCUAUCGGCGGUUGGUCAGGGUACAUCCAGAAGUACCGCGGGAGAGGGCCUGUCACCAUAAAGGAGCAAACCACCUUUCUGAACAUGUGGCUAGACAAGUUUGUAUUCUGUGGUCGAUCGGCAGGACCGACUUCUGUCUAUCUAUCGGCAGCAGAAAGACUGGCUAGCGGUGGUCAAUUUCCUCUCGGCCGUUAUUUGCUCGGCGCUGUUUAUCACCUUCUUCAUCAGGUAGUCCAGAAACUCCUGCUCGGCCAACCUAUCGGCAACUUGGGAGGUCCUUGGUGGUUUAUUAAUAUGUGGCUCAAUCUGCACCUGCACAAGCGCCUUGAUCUCAACUUGUUCUCACAGCACUUCCCAAGAGAUAUAGCCGAGAACUACGUGUUGGGUGAAGAGGAAUCGGCAACACGUGCCCCCCUGAACUUUGGCGAAGCUGUUAUAGUCUUACCCGGUUCAGGGAACACUCCGGAUCAGAUCGGCCGAUUCUUCGAGACGCUGUAUGAGGGUCUGGCCAGAGAUGAACGACCAUGGCUGGCUUACGACGACCCAGACAGCAUGCUCCCUCUGACCUUCAAUCCGUUUGAUGAAGCUCUUGAUAGGGACAAUGAGGUGAUGAUGGCAAUCGUGACUCCCAGAGCCAUACCAGUGAAUUUCUUCGGCAGCACGAAAACCUCUCCCCAAACCUAUGAAUUUUAUAAUCCAUCGGCAUUAGCUCGUCAGCUAGCUUUCGGCCAAUUGCCGAUCGCACUUCCUUAUGCCGAUGUAAUAAAGCCCAGAGAACCUAUCGCCAACCUCCUCGAGUGGACUCGAGUAGCCCAGCUACCACCAAAUGCCGAUACGGAUGUAGAUCUGUCAGAAUGGGUUCCAGCUGCCUUUAUCACCCAGGCAUACAAGCUAUGGUGGACAGAAUGGAAAGAGAAUCUGUUCUGCAGAUCGGCCCUCUCAUACCGCGGCAUGAUCGACCCCGAAUAUGAAGUCCCUGAUGACACUGUAAGUAUUUUGAACCGAUGUCUCAUUUUCCAAUAUCACUCCCAUCGGUAACUUACCCCUGUAUUCCUCUUGCAGAUUGACAACACUCCCCCAUCAGUUAGCAGGAGUGGCAAGCCGAUUGACUUAUUCCCAUCAGGCCCGAUCUCCUCAAUCGGCCAUAAUGCUCCCACUCUGGCUUCCAUCGUGCACCGGGGUGCGCGUCUCAAAAAAGUUACCACCAGGAAAACUCCACCGGUAACUGCUUCCACUCUGGCGCAAGCUUUCAAGGCAAUCUGUUAAAACCUUUUUUCAUUUACGCUGACUAUCUUUGUAUUGGCUAUCUGUGCUCAUAAACUCCUUUUUGUUGUCGCAGCAAACUGGUGCAUCGGCGAAAGUCAAACGCCAAGGCGCCGAUGCCCCCCAGUCUAGCCAGCCAAAGAGGAAGGGCAUCCACGGUGCUAAGACUGGAACAAAGCGCUAGAAAGUGGCAACUCCUCCUCCUCCUCCGGUGUUUUCAAUCCCGGUGGAAUCUUCCCCUUCUUCUCCAGACGUCCAGGCACAGCAAGUACUAUCUCCACAACCAACACAGGAAGCACCACAGAUGGAAGAACCCCAACAGGAAGAACCUCAAACGGCAGGUAUAUCAGCUGAUGUAGGUGAACAAACACUUGGCCCGGCAGGUACAGUUACAUCAUCGGCGGAUGUCUCAUUUCAAGCAACUGUUGUUUCUCCUCCGGGUAACAUAUCUCAACGAUACUCCUACCGAUAAACUUAUUCUCAUUUAUUCUUAUAAUCCUUCCUGUCUUCUUUCAGGCGAUAUCGUUCUAUCGGCAACAUUUGCCGAUCAACCUGCAGCUCCAUCGGCCUCUCUGAGUCAAAGGCAAGAAAUCGCCUUGAAGCAAGUAAGUCAUCCACUUUUCCAUUAGUAUCGUCUGCCGAAGUUUUGACCAUAAAAUUGACCUAUUUCAUUUUCAUUUUCAGGAACAAGAUUCUCCCAACAGCUUGUUCUCCUUCGCUAUUGAUAUCUUCGAAGAAGAAGGCGAGGAAGCAAGCUCCUCUCGGGCAGUUGGAAUUGUAUCGGCAGAAACCAGAGCUAAGCUGGAGGAGCUAUCGGCCAUACUUCAUCAAGACACAACUCAACUGGUCAACGAUUCUGACCCAGCCAAGGCCCUGUUCAAGACUCUUAGAGGCCAAAUUCCUGCCGAUGCUGAAGAAACACUCUUCCAUGCUGCACAUCUAGAAAGCCGCCAGCUACAGUACCAGAGAGCUACUCGACGCCUUGCCGAUAGAGCUGCUCAAAUCUAGCUUUCUGAGGAGAUGAUGAAAGAAAAACUCUUAGCCGAUGAGAAACAUAAGAACAUCGGCACCUUAAAGUCCUCAGGUGAUGCAUUGAAGCAGAAAGUGUCUGAUCUAUCGGCAAAAAGAGAAGCUCUGCUGGCUGAACUCAAGCAGGUAGAAGACGCUCUGUCCCAAGCCCAGCAAGAAGAGAGUCAACUGCCGGAGACCAUCAAGCAUCUUGAACAGGAACGAAACGUCCAUGGUCGCAAAGCGCUGCAACUGAAGAGGAAGCUGAAGCCGAUCGAAGGUUCUGCCGAUGAUGAUAUCAAAGAGAUAGAGACAGCCAACCAGAUUCGGCUGCGCGCCAUAUCAUCAAUCCAAGCGCUGCUGAACAUCUGAAGCUUUCAUCGGCGACACACCUUGGUUUUUCUACUUUUAGCUUUUAGUCUAGCCGAUAAGACUGUUAUCGGCACCUUUUGAAACAUUAAGUCUGCCCCUGAACAUUUAAAUCCAGCCGAUAGGAGUGUUAUCGGCACUUAAACUUUUAUGCGUCAACCCAUAUGCUGGGGUAGUACUUCUUUAAAUAUUUGCCAUUUAAUGCUCUGGGAAAUUCAACUCCUUCGAGAGUUUCUAGAAUAUAGGCAUUACCAGGAGCUGAGUGUCUUAUCCGAUAAGGACCUUCCCAAUUAGGAGACCACUUCCCAAACUUCGAACUCUUAGUCCCGACUGGCAAAAUCAACUUCCAUACCAAAUCCCCAUCGGCAAACUCCUUAGCCUUUACUUUUUUAUCAUACCAUCUAGCAACUCUCUUCUUAUUUUCUUCUAUACUCAUUAGAGCCUUUAACCGAUGCCCUCCUAAAUCAUCUAACUCAUCGGUUAUCAAAGUGGCAUAAUCAUCGGCAGCCAAUUGAUCUUGAAAAGAUAAUCGCCUAGAUCCAGCCUUAAUCUCCCAAGGUAACACUGCAUCAUGUCCAUACACCAAUUGAUAGGGUGACACCUUGGUUGAUCCAUGACAAGCCAUCCGAUAAGACCACAAUGCUUCAUUUAACAAUGUAUGCCACCGCCUAGGAUUUUCUUCAAUCUUUCGUUUAAUAAGCUUGAUAAUUCCUUUGUUAGACGCUUCGGCCUGCCCGUUGGCUUGAGCAUAGUAAGGAGAAGAAUUCAACACUUUAAUUCCCAUACCGAUUGCGAAUUCAUCGAACUCCCCCGACGUGAACAUGGUGCCCUGAUCGGUAGUAAUUGUUUGGGGAAUCCCAAAUCGGUAAAUAAUAUGCUCCUUCACAAAAUCAAUCAUAUUGGCCGAUGUGACUUUCUUCAAAGGAAUAGCCUCGACCCACUUAGUGAAGUAGUCAGUGGCAACUAGAAUGAACUUAUGCCCUUUGCUAGAUGGUGGAUAAAUCUGGCCGACCAGAUCAAUGGCCCACCCCCGGAACGGCCACGGUUUUAUUAUAGGAUUCAUAGCCGAUGCGGGUGCUCUCUGGAUAUUACCGAACUUUUGACAACCUUGACAUCCCUUGAAAUAUUUAAAACAAUCUUCAAGUAUGGUUGGCCAAAAAUAUCCAUUCCUUCGAAUCAUCCACUUCAUCUUAAAAGCUGACUGAUGCGCUCCACACACUCCUUCAUGGAUUUCCCCCAUCAAACUUCUGGCUUCAUCAUCACCCAAGCAUCGGAGAAGAAUUCCGUCGAUAGUUCGAUAAUACAAUUCAUUUUCAAGGAGCACAUACUUAGUUGCUUGAAAUCGAACCCGUCUCUCAACCUUUUUGGACGGAUCUUCUAGAUAGUCGAUAAUUUCUUUCCUCCAAUCACCGGCACUGACUGCCGAUGUCGCAUUAAUCAUUGGCUGAUAUCCUGAGGCAUGCUGGGCUAACCGAUUAGCGUCUUCAUUAUGCAAUCGGGGAACAUGCUCCAAUCGGAAGUUCUUGAAUUCCUUUAAUAGUUGCAUACUUCUCUCGAAAUAAGUUAUGAGAACUUCACUUCGGCAUUCAUAGCUUCCGGCCAAUUGAUUUAUAACCAACAUGGAAUCCCCGAAUAUCUCAACAGCAUCAGCACAAACCUCUCUUAACAACUCCAAUCCCUUGAUCAGAGCUUGAUACUCAGCCUGAUUAUUUGUUGAUGUAGCAACAAUCGGCAAGGAAAAUUCAUACUUCCUCCCCUUAGGAGAAACCAAUACAAUGCCGAUUCCUGCCCCCCGGUCACAGGUAGAUCCAUCAAAGAAGAGUGUCCAGGGUGCAAUUUCCAAGGUUUCUACUAGACCGCAAUGCUGAGUCACAAAAUCGGCCAUGAUCUGCCCUUUGACUGCCUUAGCCGAUUCGUAACGCAAAUCGAACUCCGACAGCGCUAAAAUCCAUUUGCCGAUCCUACCACUCAUAAUCGGCAUAGAUAGCAUGUAUCGGACCACAUCAUCUUUGCAAACAACAGCACAUUCAGCCGACAACAGGUAAUGUCUCAGCUUGAUACAUGAAAAAUAUAAGCAUAAGCACAGUUUCUCAAUGGCCGAAUACCUGGUUUCAGCAUCAAUCAACCUCCUACUCAAAUAAUAAAUUACUCUCUCUUUCCCUUCAAAUUCUUGAACUAAAGCUGAACCGAUGACCGAUCCAUCGGUAGAUAAAUACAAUUUGAAGGGUUUCCCUUGUUGAGGUGGAACUAAAACUGGAGGAUUUACUAGAUACUUUUUGAUUUCAUCCAGAGCCAACUGCUGUUCUUCUCCCCACACAAACUCCUGAUCGGCUUUCAAUUUAAGAAGAGGACUAAAAGCACGAAUUCUCCCAGAUAAAUUCGAUAUAAAUCUUCUGAUAAAAUUCACCUUGCCGAUCAAUGAUUGAAGUUUAGUCUUAUUGGUAGGGGCCGCUAUUUUAUUGAUGGCAUCAAUAGAUCUCCUGCCAAUUUCAAUCCCUCUCUGAUGUACCAUGAAACCAAGAAAUUGUCUUGCCGAUACACCAAAUGUGCAUUUAUUAGGAUUCAUCUUCAAACCAUGCUUCCUUGUGCACUCCAACACUUUUCGUAAAUCGGCAAGAUGCUCUGAGAAAUCUCCAGACUUGACCACCACAUCAUCAAUAUAAAUUUCUACGAUCUUGCCGAUGAAUUCAUGAAAUAUAAAAUUCAUAGCCCUUUGAUAAGUAGCACCAGCAUUCUUUAAUCCAAAAGUCAUGACUAUCCACUCAAAUAAUCCAACAUGACCAGGACACCUGAACGCGGUCUUUGGAAUAUCCUCCUCUGCCAUGAAUAUUUGAUUGUAACCUGCAUUACCAUCCAUGAAGCUGAUGACCCGAUGGCCAGCCGCAGCAUCAACCAGUAGAUCGGCGACAGGCAUUGGGUAUCCAUCCAUCGGCGUAGCUUUAUUGAGAUUCCUGAAAUCAAUGCACACCCGAAGCUUUCCGUUCUUCUUGUAAACCGGAACAACAUUGGAAAUUCAUUCGGCAUACCGACACUGCCGAAUAAACUUAGCUUCAAUAAGUUUAGUGAUUUCGGCCUUAAUAUCAGGUAGAAUGUUAGGAUUACAUCGGCGGGCUGGUUGCUGAUGUGGCCGAAAUCCAGACUUGAUGGGUAACCGAUGUUCAACAAUUGAUCGGUCUAAACCAGGCAUCUCUGUAUAAUCCCAAGCAAAGCAAUCUUUAUAUUCCUUUAACAAACUAGUUAACUGCCGUUUACACUCAGGAUCUAAUUUAGCACUAAUAAAAGUAGGCCUAGGCUUAUCACCACCACCUAUAUCUACCUCUACCAAAUCAUCGGCCGAUGUGAAUCCCUGGCCUAAUUUUCCAUCAUCGGCGAAUCUAUCCAUUAAAAACCGUCGUCAGAACCGACUGCUUGGAUCGGCGGAAUCUCAUAAUCGGCAACUUUGAGAAAAUCUUUCUCCCAAACUUCUCCUGAAAUGCACCUAGUCUUUUCAUAAGUAUCCGCUUCUGCCGAUGCGAUAACAUAAGAAGAAUCCCCUGGGACGAUCUCAAUCUUGUCACCUACCCACUGAACCAAGCACUGGUGCAUUGUAGAUGGGACACAACAAUUGGCAUGAAUCCAAUCUCUCCCCAAUAAUAAAUUGUAGGCACCUUUUCCGCUGAUCACGAAAAAAGUUGUCGGCAAGGUUUUGCUGCCGAUGGUCAACUCUACGCAUAUCGCCCCCUUGACUGGAGACACGUUUCCUUCAAAGUCUUUGAGCAUCAUAUCGGUCUUGGUCAAAUCUUGGUCCCCUUUCCCAAGCUUCCGAUAUACUGCAUGCGGCAUAAUGUUAAUAGCAGCUCCACCAUCAACUAGGAUCUUAGUCAUUGGCUGCCCAUCAACCCUUCCUUUGAGGAACAAAGCUUUAAGAUGCUGCCUCUCGUCAUCGGCAGGUUUCUCAAAGACAGCCGUCAUCGGAUCCAGAGCCAACUGAGCUAUCUGAUCAGAAAAUCCCAACUCAUCGUCACUGGCUGGUGCAAGAAACUCCAUCGGCAACAUGAAUACCAUGUUGACGCCUGCCGAUGGACCUUCCCUCUUAGUGUCUGCCGGCUGCCGACUUUCAAAACUCUCUCCUUUAUUUAACUCCUCUUGCCUUUCUUGUUGCAACCUCCUUUUCUGUGUCUUGGUUAAUCCUUGAGGGCACCAUGGAGGAAGUGGCCUUUGCCUGGCCAUCGGGCGUUGGUUCUCUCUUGACUCCAUGCGAUGCGUGUUAGCAUCUCUGCAAAAUAUGAACUCAUCGGGAACCCGCGCAUUAGCCAUCUCCUCAAGCUCUUCCUGGUUACUGGGAAAAUACUGGACACGGUCACCGAGCCGAUCGCGAACGCUAAGCCUGCCCCCCAGCCGAUCAUGAACUGACGCCCUUCCUCUGAUUGGCCCAUUAAAUCGCCGUUCAUCAUUAUGAUAACGCCGAUCGGUUCUACCGUACCGAUCAUAACCGUUGCACUCAGGGCAGUCUCUGACAUUAGGAAGCUUGAUAUUUUCCUCCCAACAAUGGAUGAAGAAGGGACAAUUCCAAUGAUCCCUGUGCCGAUUCCACUCCUGUCGGCGUCUUUCUUCUUCCCGUCGAUAAUCUUCCUGCUGGCGCCGAUACCGAUCUUCCCGCUGUUGCCAAUUUUCUCGAUGCCUUCUAUGAGUUAUGACGAUACCAGAUCGAGGAAGCCUUCCUGAGCUAGUUCCUUCCUGGACCAAGCCCUUAUUUCUUGCAUCGGCAGUAGUAACUUGAUGCUGAGGAUCUACCGAUGCACUCUUCUCGGCUGUUUCCGACGUUAAGACCUUAGCCUUCCCCUUAGCGUCCAACAUGUUUGUCGGGAAAGGGUGUUGGUCUAUCUUCAUCGGCUUCUGGGCUUUAGAACUGUCAAACUUGAUUCUCCCUGACUCUAUAGCCGAUUGCAGCUGCUGUCUGAAUACUUUGCACUCGUUGGUGUCAUGUGAAGUUGCAUUAUGCCACUUGCAAUAUCUCAUCCUCUUCAACUCUUCUGCCGACGGGAUCACGUGGUUAGGUGACAGUUUGAUUUGACCUUCCUGAAGUAGAAAGUCAAAUAUCCUAUCGGCCUUGGCGGUGUCAAAGGCAAACUUCUCUGGUUCUUUCUGCCCAAAAGGACAAGACAUCGGUUUCUUGUUUUUUACCCACUCUGCCAAACCGAUUACUGGUUCCUCGUCGGAAUCUGAGCUUGUUGCUUCGUCAACAAAUGACACUUUCUUAUUCCAUGCCCUCUUAGGCUCGAAAGGCUUGAUGUCUUGAUCAGAUAUCCUCUGCACCAAAUGACUUAAACUUUCGAACUCCUGAGAUGCAUACUUAUCCCUGAUAUGUGGCAACAAACCCUGGAAAGCCAAAUCGGCUAGCUGCCGAUCAUCCAGAACCAGGCUAUAGCAUUUAUUCUUGACCUCUCGUAUCCUCUGCACGAAUCCCUCAACCGACUCAUCAUUACGUUGUCUCAACUUGACCAAGUCGGUAAUUUUCUUCUCAUGAACCCCCGAGAAGAAGUAUCUGUGGAAUUGCUUCUCUAGAUCGGCCCAAGUAAUUACUGAGUUGGGAGGUAAUGAUAUGAACCAAGUAAAGGCCGAUCCAGAUAGUGAUGACGAAAAUAGACGAACCCUUAAUUCGUCCCUGUUACCAGCCUCUCCACAUUGAAUAAUGAACCUGUUGACAUGUUCCAUGGUUGACGUGUCGUCCUGUCCGGAAAACUUUGUAAAGUCCGGUACCUUGUACCGAUGUGGAAGCGGGAUCAAAUCAUACGCUGGAGGCUACGGUGUCCGAUAAGAAUAAGUGUUGACUUUGGGUUUUAUCCCAAAUUGUUCCCUCAUUACUUCAGCAAUCUUAUCGGCCCAAUACGCAUCGGCGUCUUGCCGAUGAGGCGGCUGCGGAUCUGGCAUUUGGUGGCGAGCCUCCACGUGUCUGUUUGGGACGUGACCUGUAUGGAACAUCGUAUUGGUCACCUGUCCUCCAAUCUGCGGACUACCAAACUGCUGUCCACCGAUUGGCUGUCCAAAAUUUAUUGGCUGGUUGGGAAUUCCCUGACCUUGGAACCCGGGAUAAACCUGCCCUUGCUGGAACCCCGUAGUCUGAUAACCUUGCUGGGGCGAUUGUGGAAAGGCUUGCUGUCCAAGCCAUCCAUUAUUAGCGUUCAUCGGCAUAGGUGCCGCCGAUGAUUGGUAAUUGGGUACCGUCGUUGAAUUGACAUACCCCGACUGGGCCAUAAACCUCUGUUGCAUCAGCAUUGACUCUGCCGAUGCGUUGGGCAUCUGGAACAUUGAGUCUUGAGGAUUCCCAGUGUAAGGCCUUGCGGUAGUAGUUGUGGUAUACCGAGGACUCUGGUUCACCGGCGCAUUGGGAGGUGCCGAUGUCACAGGAGUUUUGCCUCUCAUGUCAGUUAUUUGUGAUGUCCCCGGCGUCAACUCUGGAGGCAUACCAUAACCCCACCAAUUAGGAGGAAGAUUUAACCCUGACAUUGCCGAUGCCAACAUAUCUGUUGUCAGUUUAUGCUGCCCAACUGAAAUUUGUGGGUUGGUUGCCAUCGGCAUAGAUGGUGCGCCAGUAGUUCCCAAUGUACUUGGAGGGACGGCAGACUGUGCACUUGCAUUCGUCAAGGUAGCCGAUGGAGCCGUGACUUCUGGUGCCGUGGGUUGAUGAUGGGAAGGGCCCACAUAAUCCGGCGGGAUUUGUCCUUCCUUGAAGGUUCUUGCCACGGCGUUGAAAACCGUAUUAGACAGUACACCAGCUUGGUUAAUCAACGCUCGAUUGAUGGCAUUGUCAACCAUAUCUUGAAGCUUGCCAGGAUUGGCGUCGAAGGUGACCUGCCGUGGUGCCGGCAGUGCAUCUUUCUGGACCACUUCGCCGCUCCUGUUUAUGCUGAAAGACUUCAGGCAUUGCUGCUUGAACUCUUCCAUGGCUUGGGCAAUAGCUUGCUUCUGCUCAUCCUUGAGGUUGGCUUCCGUCACGGGGAUGACGUUGUCUUGAUCGAGGUCAGAGAUCGACAUGUUGAUCUUGAUCUUGAAUCUGUCCCACUGGGCGUGCCAAAAGAUGUGUUGAUGCAAAACUGAUCUGCAAACACAAAGGGCUAAUACCCGAUUCAAACGUUAAGGCGUGCCAGCCGAUUUGACCUUGCUAUCGGCAAAGGUGAUAACUUGAAUACUUUAGUCCUGACAACAGCGAUGCGCCCGGAUGUCACGGCUAAGAGGUACUCACGCGGAACUUGAGAACACGCCGAGCUUAAGUCGACGAAUUCCUAAGAACUCGUAAUGAAAAGAAAAAAGAAUGACGAAGUCGUCGAAAAGUAGAUACUGGAAUAUGAGUAAAAACGUGUGUUUGAUUGAUUUCUUGAUAGAUAUCUUGAUUACAAGGUCUAGGGUUUAUAUUUAUACCCUGCUCAAAGAGCUACGACCAGACACGAUUAGAAUUUGAAUUCCAAAUUACACGGAACCCGUAUACAAAACGAUACAAAUAACUAAGGAAAUAAUAAAACUAUCCUUCGUAACAAACCGAAACUCCUCCACAUGACAACUGGCAGCUUCCGGACUCCUCCUUCGCGUCAUCGGCAACCCCCUUGCCAUAGUCAUCGGCAGGCCUUUUUACCUGGUCAUCGGCACCAUAUUACUGCCUGUGGACUUAGUCACAUUCAACCUUUCCCUCAUCGGCAACCAUCCUUAUCAGCAACCCGCAUCGUACUGCCACCUUAUCCUGCCAUCCUGGACACGUGCCCAAAAAAAUGGUGUCAACACCCCUAUACCCUUACGGCUAGACUUGGGCCAGGAGGCUUGGCCCAUCACGAGGCAAAUUCGGGACUUAAUCCAACUGCUCGGACUUUCACGCAAGAAAACAAGACGUGGAGAUCAAGUAGGAUUCUAGUCGGUUAGGAUAGAAAUUGAUAUCGUACUAUCUAUGGAAAUUGUAGCUGACUAGGAUUGGUUUCCAAAUCUGUAACCCUGCCCUCUAGACUAUAUAAGGAGAGGCAAGGGACCCCCCUAGGACAUCGAAUCUCAACUCGACACAAUCCAUAGCAAUACAAUCAGACACAGGACGUAGGUAUUACGCCCACACGGCGGCCGAAACUGGAUAAAAACCUUGUCCGUGUCUUGCGUCACCAUCAAGUUCGUAGCUUGCGCACCGUCUACCGAUAAACUACUAUCGUGGGUAUACCCCAAGGUAGACUGCCGACCAGCUUUCGUCGACACCAGUCUAUUCCCCGAUGGCUGGGGAGGGAUCCCCUGCCUCGCCGGGCCUAGCAACGUAAGCAGCCAGAGAAAUCGAGUCCGCCACACCGCCAAGUGACUACACCGAGUUCGUGGACCCCUACCACAAUGGCGAGGAAGUCUGUUUUGUCCGGAUUGACGGCAUCAUCGGGGAAGCAGAGGUGCCUGGGGUCGCAGUGCGGCUCCUCGACGACGACCCCGAGCUUCUGCUGAUCAGCGCAGAGGAGCCCAUGACUUUUGCCGUGGCAGAACGUGACCCAAAUUGGCGGCGUGCCAUGUUGGAGGAGUUGCGGUCCAUCGAAGACAACCACACCUGGGAGUUGCUUGAUCCGCCGGCGGGACGCCGGCCGAUUGGCCUCAAGUGGGUGUACAAGGUCAAGAAGGACGAGCGAGGUGUGAUCGUCAAACACAUGGCGUGGCUGGUGGCCCGUGGCUUUGUGCAGCACGAGGGCAUCGACUUCGAGGAAGUGUUUGCGCCGGUGGCGCGCAUGGAGUCGGUGAGACUACUGCUGGCACUCACAGCAGCCAAGAAUUGGGGCGUCCACCACCUCGACGUCAAGUCGGCCUUCCUGAACGGCGAGCUGGCGGAAGAAGUCUACAUCAAGCAGGCGCCAGGUUUUCAGGUGAAGGUGGAAGAGCGCAAGGUGCUCCAGCUGCGGAAGGCUCUGUAUGGCCUGUCGUAGGCCCUGCGGGUGUGGAAUGCCAAGCUCGACGCCACCAUGGCGGAGCUCGGCUUCGCGCGGUGCGCCACGGAGCACGCCCUAUACACGCGACGACGGGGGAAGGAGGAGCUCAUCGUCGGCAUGUACGUGGACGACCUGAUCGUCACCGGCGCGCGGGAGGAGGACAUCGCCAAAUUCAAGGCGGAGAUGGCGGCCCAAUUCAAGAUGAGCGAUUUGGGCGUGCUCUCGUACUACCUCGGCAUCCAGGUGAAGCAGGGGAAGGACGCGGUCAUGCUGGGGCAGCGCGCCUACACGCUGAAGUUGCUGGAGCGGGCCGGAAUGGGCGAUUGCAGGGCCGCAGCAACACCGAUGAAGGAGCGGAUCAAGCUCUCGAGGCAAAGUGUGGCAAAGAAGGUGGACGCUACGUGAUACCGAAGCAUCGUCGGUGAGCUGCGAUGGCUCACACAUACCACACCGAUGGAGGAGCGGAUCAAGCUCUCGAGGCAAAGUGUGGCAAAGAAGGUGGACGCUACGUGAUACCGAAGCAUCGUCGGUGAGCUACGAUAGCUCACUCAAACCCGGCCGGACAUCGCGUUCGCGGUCGGGUAUGUGAGUAGGUUUAUGGAGGAUCCAAGGGAGGACCACUGAACGGUGGUCAAGCAGCUGCUACGGUAUGUCCAGGGGUCUCUGGACCUCGUUGUCGUCUUCCCCAAGCAUGACGAUCUUCGGUUGAAGGUGUUCAGCAAAGCGCCGCCCAAGGCAAAGGGCGGCGAGCUAGGGCUCACGGUGUUCAGUGAUGCGGACAUGGCAGGCGAUGUGGAUGGGCGGAAAAGCACCUCUAGGGUGUUCGUCUUCCUCGGAGCAGCGCCGGUGGCCUGGCAAUCACUGAAGCAUAAGACGGUGGCUGUUAUGGUAGGCAAGACAUAUGAGAGGCGCAAGGCUAGAGAGCAGGGCUGAGCAGCUGGACGUCCAGCUUAGCCCAUAGGCUGGCCGCAUAGCCUCAGUAACUAGUAUAAGUCUAGGACUCUGGAUUAGUUUAGAAAAUCCUAGGAGUCUUAGAGUUUGAUUCUUAUUUCAUAAUCUUAGUAAGAGUCAGUUUGUAAUUGCCUAUAAAAGGCUAGCAUAUCAUAUGAAUAAAGAUAGCCUGGGAUUGUGUCAAGUUGACACCCUUGGGCACCCGGCGUCUCUCUCCUGUGCCCUAAUUCUAGAACACGACGGCUCCCUGCCGCCGCCAACGUUCUCGCUCCAAUCCCCUCUACUCCCCACCCUACAAUCUAUCAGCAAAGCUAGAAGACGUACCAGUGGCAUUGUCAACCUGCGAGGCAGAGUAUGUCGUGGCUGCCACGGCGGCUUGUCAGGCGGUUUGGCUGCGGCGUUUACUGAAGGAGCUCAGUGGGAAGGAGUCUUAGCCACCGGCUUUGCUGGUGGACAACCAGCCGACCAUUGCCCUUGCCAAGAACCCGGUGCUCCAUGACCGGAGCAAACACAUCGACGUUAAGUUCCAUUUCCUCAGGGAUUGCGUCGAUGGAGGGCAGAUCGUCAUCGAGUUUGUCGACACCGGUAGGCAACUCGCUGACAUUCUCACCAAGUCCCUCGGACGCCUCAGGUUUGUUGAGCUGAGGAAGAUGAUUGGCAUGGAUGAGGUCAAGGCUUAGCAGCAGGAUUAGGGGAAGAAAUGUAAGACAUAAUCUGCAGCUAAUCCUUUCUUUCUCUGAUAGUGAUCAUAGGCAAGCAAUAGGUCAGCUCUUGGUCAUAUAGGAGUAUGGCAAUAGGCCACUCUAGUACAGUAGUUGGUAGAAGCAUACAUCCGCCAUACUUGGUAGGAGGAUGAUGUAUGCAAUGUACUAGGAGUAGUUGGGGCUGUACUCAACCAUGCCUUGUGUACCUUAUAGUUGGUACAAGGCCUGUAUAUAUGUACUAUGUAUGCAAUGAAGGGAAGGCAGUUCAAGUGCCACAUUUCAUGGGUUCAAGUUUCAGCCAGCGCUGAAACUGAGUGUGUGUGUGUGUGCCUGAGCUCGGCUCAUCUUCUACCUUGGGUCAGUGGAGAGGAAGAGGGAAGGUGAGCAGGGACUGCUCACCAGGUGCUUGUGUCCAGGUGCCAACAAGAUGCAACAAAGCAGGGGCCCAAAUGCUAGUGAAAAAUGAGGAGGAGCAAAGUGGAUUGAGAAAAAUUCUGUUGGAUCCCCUUCGUUUGAGGGAUUGAAGGGGGAUUUUGAAGGUUAGAUAAAAAAUAUAGUGAAAAGGGAUUUAGAAAGAGGAUCUGCUGGAGCUAUUGUUUUUUCAAUACUGUCAAAGUGGAGACAUUUGCAAGAGACUACACACCUCUCCAAUAUCUCACACUUCUCCUGAUCGAUCUUGGUGUUCUGACACCUUCUGUUGUUAGUGAUGAGCUCAUCCAAUUGUAUCUAUGAUCUUCGCUGCGGAUGCUGUUGUUUCAAUGGCAUGUAACAUACUGCAGUUGAAUCUAGGGUUUCUCCUAUCAGUUUUGACUAUAAUGCACGCAUGCCUUAUUGUGCUGAUGCGAUGUUUACGAGAGUUUCUCAGAACAAUUAUGCUGAGAAAAGUUAACUGUUUUGUCAGAGCUUAAAGUAUAAUCAUUGAUGCGAAUCUGCCCCCGACCAUUUUCAGUAAUAAAACCUAUUUGCAGGACUUACUCUAUUAAAGUUAUGGAUCUCUCAAACAGUAUUAAAACACUUACAAUUUUAAAUGUUUCUCCACAACAGAAUAUUAAUCCAUUAGUAUUGCCUAUGCUUGUGCACUCUGGAAAUAUAAUUUACACAGAGCUAUUACCUGAACAGGAAAAAUGGUUAUAGCUUCAGCUGCCUGUUGCUUCUGAUUGAAUGAAGUCAGAAUGGAAUGAAAAUGGGCAACCGACGAUGUCAAUACAGUGAAGAUGAUGAAUAAGAAUGAUGGAGGUUUCAGUUGCCAAAUUGUGGCAGAUUGGCUGUACAUUAUUGUUAGGCCACACUAGGCUGACAGUCAAUCACAGCUAUGAGUUUUAAACAAUUGUCACCGUUGGAUGGUAUCUGGAACACUAGUGUAUGGCAAGAUUCCAAGAUGUACAUUUCCAUGUAGGGGGAGAAACCCAUACUGGGUUGUGGUUGUACAAACAUAUACUAAGCAUCUCUUGUGACUGGCGAUGAGAAUGCAAACAGCAGACGGGACACUUUGAGUACUUCACAUUGCAGUGCCAUCCACUUGAGCCACCCCCCUUGUUUAGCGAUUAUCACCACCAGUCCAAACUAGAGAGAAAAUGGAAUAGUCAGUAUAUCAAAUAUGAAUAACCAAUAUGUCGCUGCUACACCUAGACCUAGUCGGCCGAUCAUGUAGCAUCAGCAAAAUAAACUAGCAGCAUCAAAUGUUGGACCACAUAUUUCAGAGAAAGGAGUACAAAUUAUGGAUGAAUAUACUUGCCUGGUCUCCAUGAGGAAGCAACUUCUAGCAAAAGCCUUGACUGAUGAGCAUAUUUCAAGCACAAAAGUGCCUCCAAUAUUUUGAAGACUUUGUCUCUGAUCAUAAAUGAUGUUAGAAUUUAUAAAAACAAAUAAAAGGUAAUAAAAAAAAAUACUAUACGCAAAACUAAAAUUAUUAUCUUUGUGUCUAAGGUGCAAGAACAAUUAAAAAUAUACAAUAAAAACUAUAUGCAAAGUAGCUGUGAACUUGCAGAGAACAGGUAAAGCUUUAUUUAGAUCUCAUAAUUUUAUCUGUGGUCUACUCUAUCUAAAUUAAAACAUUAUUUAUUUUUUGUUCAGACCCUAAGAACCAUUUAAAUUGGGUUUAAGUUAUUUGAGUUAGAUCAUUUGAUUUGUGUUUAGGUUUUUAGGUGCUUUUUCAUCAAUGGAAACAAAUAACAGAUAAAAAUAGUGCUGUAAAACCUAUAGCUUCGAAAGCAGAUUCAAACACAUUUUUUCGGAAGCUUGAAGUAAUUAGGAGCAAUGGUCAUAUUUUUCUUCAGAAUAAAAUACAAAUUAGAUACGAUGCUUUUUUUCAAAUUCAACAAUAUCUUAGUUUCUGUAAUAAAAUUUGCAUACACAAAACAUAUAUUCUAGGAAAUUUCUACAAUCGAGGUAUGAAUACACAAUUUGACAGCACUAAUUUGGGAUGUCACAUUAUAUUGACUAAAUAAAGUUGGGUUAAUUAGUUGAUUUCAACUUGCAGUCACAAGCAAGAUAAUAGAAAUGCAGCCAUUAGCUUUCUUUUUUACCACUAGAGCACAACAUAUAUUUUGUAACUAAUAGAAUGUGUCAAGUCAAAUAGUUGUUUUUUUACAAAUCAUUACAUUUCAUUUAAAAAGAUAGAGAAAUUGAAGGUUACCUUGGUAAUGAUGGGCAUCUAGUUUUUUGUCCUCGUCCUUGAGAUCGCCCAGUCGUUGCUGUAGGCUCUGGGGAAGCAACUUUAUACCAGGACAAGACUUGAUAGUAAGACGCCUGAGAGAUGAGUAUGCUUGAGGCCCGUUUGGUAAUGACACCAGGCUUUUGCAACGAGAAAGGUAGAGCUCUUCCAGCAAAGCGAGCUCUCCUAAGAAAGAUUCCAGUGAUUCGAAGCCAUUGCAUUCCAAAAUCUCUAAUAUUUGGAUGGCAUCCAGCUGUCCUGAAAGGGCUUGAAGAUUUCUGCACCAUCGAAUUCUCAAAGUCUUGAUGGAAGGAGGAAGAUCGAGAAUCUCUGACAAGCCACUGCAGAUGUCUAUUGUUAGAGAUUCUAGACAAGGAAGGAAGUGAUGUUUGGUUGAUGACGAGAGCUUAGGAACUGGUGUGGAUGCCGUGGCUUCGCUGCAGGACCCUGACCCUGGAAUUAAUGCUGAUUUGUCGUCCUGUGCUGCAGCACCACCUCGUGAACUCGUACUAGUAUCCAGCUGCUUGCUGAAUGCGAUGGACUCGAGUUUAGGACAGCCAUCAAUAGAUAAUGACUUGAGAGAUUCCGGUAGUACACUAGUGGGGACCUCUACCAAACAUUGACAAUUUUGUAUAUCCAGAGACUCCAGGCAUGGCAGUAGUACACUGCUCCAUUGGGGCGUAGACUUCUCAGAAGAAGCGCGUCUGCGUCCUGUUAGAUUUUUGCAUUGCCAAAUUCUUAGGCUCCUCAAGGAUUCCAGGCUCUGGAACACUUCCUCUGGCCAGUGGACAAGAGCAUCACAGCACCAAAUUUGCAAAUCUUCAAGCUGCACUAAACAUGCCCAAAGUGCCAGAGCACUUGAGUGAGAGAAGAAAACGUUGCACCCCUGCAACUCCAUAACUGUGAGAGGGGAAGGGGAUUUAUUGUGAUUCUGUUUCUCCUUGCCAUCCACCAGUUGAAUCAAGCUGUCACCAUCCAGCCAUGCUGCCUCUCUGUCGUCAUCGAUCCACAAGUCCAGUUUCGACAAUGACGAAGCAGUGACGAUGCAGUUUGCUACCUGUACGAGCAUUUGUUGACUGCCUCCACGGAUCUCCAAUUCACUUAGAUUUGGUGCUUCAGGGAGAGUAGUCAAUUCUGGGCACCACCCAAUUACAAGCUUCUCAAGCCGAGGAAAUGUCACCUCUUCUCCUUGGACUGCCUCCCAUCUCUGAAAGGUUUGCAUACCAUCUAAAUUUAAUUUCUUCAGCGCUGGAAAUGCCGAGCGCCACACUUUAUUAAUAACUCCUCCUGAAGUAUCCUUAAUAAUUGAUGCUUUCGGCAAUGCAGUCAGCCUUUUGCAGUUGUCUAUGGACAACUUCUCAACCUGAGGAAAUAUUGACUCUUCCCCUUGUAACUCAUUAACCCACCAUGUCUCAAAAUUUGGCAUCCAGUACAGUGAAAGCUCCUUCAGUUCCAUAAAUGGCGUGACUAGUGCAUCACUGCUGCACAGGCAAUUAAGACUGUCCAAUCCCUCCAAGCUAAGAACCUUUAGAGCUGGUAACUGCCACAGUGGACGAAGCUCCUUGAGAUUCUCGCAAUCCGAUAGUGUAAGCUUCACCAUUUGUUGCAACGUAUUUAUCCAUGUCGGAUACAUGCCACCCCUGUAGUCAUAUAUAUCUAGAACCUUCAGACCAUCAUGAGGCUUGAGGGCCUCCACCACCUUAGUACUCUUAUCUUGUUCCUCCUUUUCUGGAGAAGACGUCCAUCUUAAUGUCAACCUGGUUAAAUCUUUCUUGUUCCCAAUAUGUGCUGCUUUCGCAUCUGCUUCUGCCACGUUCUCAAGUUGCCUUAGCUCUAGUGGACCACCAAGCUGGUCUAACUGGCGAAGCUCUCUCACAUUACUACAGCUAGAGCCAGUACCUGCCACAAAGCAUGUAAGCGUCUGUAGGGAAGUGAGGUGUCCCAACUCUGAGGGUAUGCUCUUCAACUCAUCACAUCCAUGAAUAUACAGGUGACGGAGGCCAGUCAUAUACUUCAUUUCCUUUGGAAGUCGAC